rnacentral:lncRNA from 1 species
UGGAGUUUCGGAGCGUGCACAAGCCAGGACAAAUAAAAAAAUCCACAAUUGAAGACUUCAACCUCAAUGAGGCUGGGGAAGCAAUAGCAAUUGGGCGCUUGUCCUAUCCCUUGAUUAAUCUCCAUCUUCACGAGCAUACGACAAUCGUAUAAAUGAAGCACCUCUAAAUGCGAAAAAUUGCCGCUCCCUUUUAAUGAGUGACUUAUCGGGAUGUGGGUCAAGCCCUCGCAAUUCUUGAUAUCUACUCUCCUUAUGCGUCUCUGAAAGGAUUGGAAUAUUUUUAGGGUAGAGGAAGAUUUGUUCACCUUGAUAGAUAAAUCGGUGAGACCUUGCAUGCGCCCUAGUUCCUCCACCACCUCCUUUUCAUUCUCUAGACUUGAUCCCCAACUACUGAACACAUUCAAUGGUAAGCUUGCGAUUGCCCCUCUCGAAAUUACGAUGCCUCCCGAUAGAUGGUCUAGUAGCAACCACCCUAAAUGAGUCAACUUCCUAAUUUUCUUGGGCAUCGCAUUAAUACUAGUGCCCGACAGGUUCAAAUAUCGUAGAUUAAUCAGAUUGCAAAUCCCUUCGGGGAAUGACUGAAUUUUUUCAUUGUUAGACAGGUCCAAGACUGUCAAACAAGCCGCCAUCGAGUUGAAAAAUCCUUUUGGCACAAGCGUCACAUUAGUUUCUCUUACAAAUAAAGUUUCGAGCUGAGAACACAUGGGUGGUGUUUGAUCGAUAUUUUGUAUCCAUUGUCCCCAUAGAGAUACUUUCUUUGCUUCCCACCAUUUGGAGAUCAUCUCUGCGGACAUGUCUUCUUGGUUCACUAUCACUAGCAAUUUGUUCUCUUUUUUCCCAUGGUCACGAGCAAUCCAGGUUGCCAUGUCGCGGAUGACGUCGUGCAUCUUUACAUGCCGUCCCUCAUAAUCAUCAUGCCCACUUUUGUUCAUUGGAGCGCCGGAGUGCGGAGGUUGGUUCUUCCCAUCAUUGAAGUCAGAGUGUGGGACUGACUGAAUGAUAAAGACAAAAAAGUGCUUAGUUUCGUUGGAAAAACCAACCCAAAUAUCAUAUUUACUUUCUCUCUCCCUACUUAUAAAGAUAGAUAGAAAAGGGUUGAGAGACUUACUUUCUUAAAUUCUCUCCUUUCUAAAGCUGCGCAAGGCGGCCCCCCCAGAACAAAGCCCACCCCUCUUUUCUCCCCUUUCAUGAAAGACCCUUGCCCCGCUUCCUAUUCAUUUGUGGGUCGGGACCCUAGGGCCUUUUUUUUUCUCAAGAGGUGAUUUCGAGAAUCAACCAACCGACAAAUCCGUAGCCCAGGUGACUCACAGCCUACCUCUCGCCCAGAUGGGGAUGAAGCAAAUCAAGUUGCUUUUUGAUUUAUUCAGGGCGCAGCGAAGCCAAAUUCAAUCAAGACAAGGGGGGCUUACNNNNNNNNNNNNNNNNNNNNNNNNNNNNNNNNNNNNNNNNNNNNNNNNNNNNNNNNNNNNNNNNNNNNNNNNNNNNNNNNNNNNNNNNNNNNNNNNNNNNNNNUUGCUUAGGGGUCGCACUUUGUUUUGUCCCGCUUGGUGGACGAAAUCUUCUCUCCAUACUCUCCCUUAUACCGCAUACUAUAUACAUCAUUGGUGUCUCUUAGCAAGCCCUCUCCAAUCCAGAGUUCAAUUAGGCUAUCUAUUCUUAUAGGGUAAUCCUCAGGGAAGAGACAACAGUAAAUGAAGCAAAGCUUAACAAUAGAGUCAUUUAAACUAUUAUAACUAAACUCUAGUAUGUGGUACACUUCCUCCACCAUACCUGGCAGCUUGUAUGGAUUGUUCCUUAGCGUUGUAAGUGCAUGCUUCCACUCAUCAGGAUUCUCUCUACCAGCCAUGGCUCGCCCGACGGUAAUAAGGGCUAGUGGCAACCCUUUGCACUCUCUGACAAUGUUGUUGGCAAGCUCUUGAAUUUCUGGAUGAGAAUGUAUAGAUGAUUUGCUGAUGUUGUUCUCGAACAACGCCAGGGCUUCUUCGGGCGUCAAGCAUUGUACUUCGAAGGUUUCAUCGGCUCCCAUAUGAUGGCAUACUUGCUUCAACCGAGUUGUGAAUACUAUUUUGGAUUCGUUCUCGAGACUAGAAUGAAGAACUCCGAUUUGAGAAAGUUCGAGGCCCGCCCAUACAUCAUCCAUCAACAACACAAACUUCUUCCUGCUCAAAACUUCCCCCAAAAGGUGGACCCUCUCAUUCCGAGAUUGUCCUUCCCAGCUCUCGUCUUUAAUGUUCAGCUUUUUCCUUAUGGUGUCUCGAAUGCCAUCUUCAUUCACGUGCUUGGACACCACCACCCAAAUAACAACCUCGAAUCCAUGAUUUGCGUGCGAAAGCUUCUCGUUGAUCCUUCUCAUGAGGGUGGUCUUUCCCACACCACCUACUCCAUAUAACCCAAUCACUCGUGCUUCGUUUUUGUCCACAAGCCAUUUCCACACUGUAUUAAGGGAACUAUCAAGCCCCACAGUCUUGUCUAGGGGCGUAUUGAGCACUUGACGAGGAGGAGGCAGCGAUGACAUCAAAUCAUUGAUUUCUCCUUUCUUACCUUGGAGCUCUCUCGCUUCAUUGAGCAAUCGAUCAACUCUUUUCCCCAAUUUAUAGCUCGACCAGCAAUUCUGAGGAAGACAACGACUGAAACAUUUGAUUCGGUCACAUUCCCUGGCUUCUUCAAGAACUCGAUCUACUUUAUCUUCAAAAUUUUGCACCCUGCAUAACCAGUUCUCCACUUGAUUCGUGCGCUGUGCACAUCCUCUUUCUUCUGCACGUCCCACCUCUGCCCUCACAUCUAAGCGCAUGGCCUCCAGAUCUCCAAUGGCCGUCCCCAACGCCUCCACAUUAUCUGUCAAAUUACAAAUGUAGCCCAAAGGUUUGCUGGCCAAGCCGCAUAACCCUUUGACGAGUUGUAACAGACAAUUUGCGAAAUCCAUAGAUUCUUUCGGGAGAUGAGAGAUCGAAAAAAGGAGUAAUCCAGAUGGAUUGAGAGCAGGAUUGAGAGCAGGCGAAUGGGUGGAGUUCGAUAAUAGAGGGUCAUGUAGUAAGGGACGACUUUUACAGAUUCAAUAAUGGAGGCCCUGACCAAUGGCCCCACAACAGGACAAUAAUACAAGCAAAAGUACAAAUCACAGCUCGGGAGUUGAAUUAUUGCGCACGCGGACAAACAACUUUUUAGAAAGUUGGAUUAUGGAAAUAAAGCACUCCUCGCAACCACACACGCAUAUAUAUAAAAGCAAAAAGUACAUAACACAACUCAAGGUCGAAUUAUUGCGCAUACCGACAAAUAACUUUUUAGAAAAUUGAAUUAUAGAAAUAAAGUGUAACUCACAACUUUUCCACAAAACAGUCUGAACAUUCAUGAGGCUUGAAAUUUGAAUAUAACGCAUCUAUCAUGCAAGAUACCACUGAUCCUCGCUUCCGACGAAUUUUAGGAUAAUGUUAAAAAAAACAUGGUAAUAUUUUUAAAUACAUCAAUUCGUUGUUGAUUAGGUCCAUAAUUUUAUACAAUAAGGUUUUUCCUAGCACUGUUAUGUAAUUUUUGUAAAGGAGAUUAAUUAUAGGGAGAAGAAAAAAAAAAUUCAAUAGGAAUUGGCAACUUUAAUUAGUAAAAUUAAUACCUGCGUAAUAGGAAAUUGUGACUUUGAAAUAAUCUUGCAUUAUUAUUAUUAUUAUUAUUAUUAUUAUUAUUAUUACAAAUCAAAGACUGGACAUUAAAAUCCACGUGCAUCGUGCAUUUAAUUAUCCAAACAUGCCUCCCUUUCUUCUUGAGAUUAUUAGUUGCCGAUGGUAUUCGUUUUGUUUAAUUUGGAUCUGGCAACACCGAUAUCCAUAUAUAAAAUUAAUGGGUUGCAAUUAUCUAGUGGUGCUAAGAAGAUGGGGCAAAAAAGUAGACUCGUAUCUAGUUAGAAAUAUCUUGUUUACAAUAUGGCAAAAAGUUGAGGACAGUACAAUACCAAAAUCGUAUGAAAUAAAAUUUGAAAAUGAAAAAAAUUAAGCUCACUCACAAAACACAUUCGUUUCUAUCACUGAGUACAGGUAUGAGCAUGAGUUGUGGGUCUCUAAUUAUCAUUGUAUCAGUAGCCAUGAAAAUUAGACAAAUUUUUUUCACACCAUUCCCAAUCCAAUAUUCUUAGGUAGUACUAUGAGGUAAAUGCACGUUGUGCAUUUACCUUCUAACCCUAGAUGAUCCUCAUCAUUUUAAUCUCAAAUACUAAAUCAGAUCAAAUCAUAUAUUCUUACGAAACAUGAGUGUAAUCUUUUAAAACACAAGGUUCUCUCCCUAGAGAUUCGUCAUGCGAAAUGUGAGAUGCGAACGUUCGUAUAUGAUUUUUCGUCAACGGUCAUAUCCAUGAGUUUUUCUAAUUUUGGCCAACUUGUCACCCAUAUGCCACUAUCCUAUUACAAAAGAAAAACUAAGGACCGAUGAUUGGCGAAACUCCAUACGCAUCAAUAUUAUAAUUAUUGGUGUUAUUAUUAUUUGACAAUAAAAGAGAAAAGUCCGAGUGUUACACUAUUAUUCUCUUAAGAAAACUUGAUACAAUCGAAUUCUCUAUUAAUAAAGGAAAAAAAACAGAUUAGUAUAUAAACUAAUUAAGGAGAUUCCAUGUAAACAGAUUAUUAUAUACUAAGCUCCCAUUACUAUGCCGUCCCACUUAUCAAUGUUUAAAAUAUUGGGUCACUUUAACUUAUAAUUGAAAGAUUUUUUCUUUUAUGUUUGGUCGAUUGGAUCAGUGGCCAGCUGGACAAACAUUAGUAAUCCUUGCAAAACUUUUUAAUGGUCUUGGCUUGCAAAUCCUUUCAAACUCACCAUCUAAAUCUCAUAAAGUGACCUAGAUUGUCUCUGAAGAGUAGCCCUUGAAACUAGCAUUACGACGAAAUAAAUUACAGAGACGGAAAGUCAGUGGCGGGCUUGGGAUGAGUGAUGGCCCUGCCCCUAUCAGGAAAAAAAAAAUAUUACCCAAUUAUAAUUUUUCUAAUAUAUUACUACAUAUUAUUAGAAUUUUUUAUCACCCCUAAUCUUGAAUUUGCUACUCCAUUCACCCAUGGUCCCAACAUAAUGUCGACUUUCGAGUAAGAUGGAAAUUGCUAAAGAGAAUAGUAUAGGAUGCGAUGACACUAACAAUUCAUGGAAUUUCCUGUUUUGCUUGAUUGAUUCUGAAAUGACCAUAUAAAAAAUAUAUCAGUUUAUCAUUCCAAAUAUUUUCUUUUUAUUAAUAUUGAGUUUACUUGUCAACUCUGGACAGUGGGGUUUUCACUUUCCAGCUUCGAAUUGGUUGGAGAAGUUAAAGCCAGGUUUUCACUUUCCAACUUCGAAUUGGUUGGUAAAGUUAAAGCUGAGAAACUAAAGGAGAAGAGUGGGCCUUGCUUUGAUGGACAGCAUAUUCAUCCCCACUUUCCCAUAUUUGAUUUUUUUUUUUUAAGUUACUUUUUCAGCAAAGAUGAGGAAUCUUAAACAACUUUUUUCCCCGUUAUAAAGAUUAAGAUGUGAUCGAAUAAGAUAAAAUAAGAAGUCUCAUCAUUUAUUUGAUGAAACUAUCUAUUACCCUAAGACCAUAUUAAUGAUCUCGCAUAGUUUGAUGUUAAUUCCCCAAUCACAGGCAAUCAACAUAUCAAUUGUUGUCCUCUCACGCACAAUCUAUUGUAUUUGUCUCCUCUUUCUCUUAUUUGAAGUUCUCUUACAAGUAUUCUUAACAAGAUCGACCCACCCUAGAUGUCAAUUAAUAUGAAUUCAAACUCCAUGAAAUUCAAGCAACCUCACUCCUGAGUUGAAGUAAAAAAGACACCUCUAAAUCUAGAUGAAAAGCCCAUCGAUUCCUCCAACAUAGACAAAACAUAGCCACUAAUUAGCCAGGUUAUCACCUUUUAAUUUGCCUCUGACGAAAAUUCCUUCAAUUAAGAGAUUAAGAUAUCUCCUACUAAUAUUGAUCAAGAAGGUGCCAAAAUAUCACAUUUUUUCCCUAAAAGAGGAGAAAUUAUAUUUGGCCACUUCAAUAAUGGAACCGAAGGAUCAGCCGCUGCUAGCACUGCCCAGCUCCCCCCUACCAUCGAAGGAAGGACCCCAUCUGCAAAACCUGACUUGAGGCUUCAACCUUCAAAGGCAAUUAAAGGGGAAUUUGUUCUUGUUUUCCACCAAGAACUACUGAUAAAAAGACUCGUCAAAAACUCUACCACCCUCUCUGUCUGCCCCACGCAAGGCCCUUGCCGCCACCAUCUCCACAGUACCGCCAUUACUGGCUUCGACAGUGAUGGUCUCUCUCUAAGCUACACCUUCUCAACAUUAAUAAGUCAGUCAUUGAAAGCGAAAAAANNNNNNNNNNNNNNNNNNNNNNNNNNNNNNNNNNNNNNNNNNNNNNNNNNNNNNNNNNNNNNNNNNNNNNNNNNNNNNNNNNNNNNNNNNNNNNNNNNNNGAGGAGACACCAAGCUUGCAGAAAGAAAGCCAAUCACAAACACAAUUAAAAAGGGGAAUUAUGCAAAUCGAAAUAUAUGAAGGAACAAAUGGUAAGACUCAUGUUCAGUUAAGCAAACCACAAUGAUCCCUAUCCAAAUUGUUUGAGAGUUAUAAUAAAACACAAUGAUCUCUCACAAAAAAAGGAACCAUCAUAGUCACCCUCUUCGUACUAUUGUCAAAACCCACUCAUUCUAAUCACUUAUACUUCUCUCUUAAAAUUAUUAAAAUAAUGUUAACAUUUUGCACAAGCGCUAUUAUUUUACAAUUAGUCUGUCACAAAUAAUUAAAAAUUUAAACAUAAGUUGCAUACAAUCAACAAUUAAGUUUACUUUUAUUGAUCUGUUACUCCAUAAAUCUAAUGUCUCAUGGAUUUGAUUUCUUAGCACAAUUUUAAAUAUAUAUAGUUUAUUGUGAAUAUAAUUAUAAAAUAACGACUUGAAUCCAUUUGAAUCCAUUUAUUUACAAGUAAAUUAAAUUAAAAUCUGAAAGUUAAGAAUUAACAUAGUUUAAAUAUUGUACAAUUUGAAGUGCAGAAUUGUUUCCUCAUUACAUUCAAAUUUGUAUAUUGGCAAGAAAAAAAAAUAUGUCGACAAAUUAUUCUUCUAUUAAGUAUGAAUAUAUAGAUAGGAAACAAAUUGAAAGUAAAGUUAUUUAGAUUCAUUCUAUUGCUAGUUCAAGAAAAAGCUUUGAGAAUUAAAUGACUAAUAACAUAUUUUAUUGAUAAAAUAACAUAAUUAAAAGAUUUAAAACUGAAUUGGCCAAUAGAUCCAAGACUUCUUGAACAAUUUUCUCCCUAAUCUUCAAUUGUCAAGGAUUCUACCAAGGAACUAAACUGCUCCAACUUCUUGAUCCUCCUUGACAGGAGAUCCAAACCUCAUCUAUGAAUAAAGUCGGGCGGCAUGACUCAUGCAGUGAUCUUUGUCACAUCAUCUUGUUCACCAUUUAGCGAGAUUUGAAGACUGAUGUUUAUAACAAAAUGUAAGUCAUUGUCUCGAAUGAACAAUGUAGCAUAUGAAUAGACUUGCUACUUUUCCGUUUAUCUGUCUCCAAUAGGAUUAAGACUCCAAUUUAAUAACAAGUUAAAAUGAAAUCACCAUUGGAUUAGGCAAGUAGAACACGUCAACGGGGUUUCAAUGGUUUCCACGAAAACGCUCUUCAUGUUUAUCCAGGGCAUCUCAUCACAGCAUCAAAAAUUUUAUGAGCCUUUACUAACAUAAUGAUUAUGAGAACUUAGCAUAUUAAAUUUCCACAUGAUAGCAAAGGUGAAAAAGAGAAAACUUACAAAAUGCUUGAAAGGCUUUCCAUCUUUAAAUAUGAUAAAGGUUAGUAAAUGCCUAUAAAUUUGGAAGCACUGAUCGUCAAGCAUCCAAGAGGUAAACUUAAAAUGAAUCUUUUACUUAUGCGUUCCAAUCAUUAUAAAAUCUUGCUUUGUGAAAUUAAAAUGUUAAAAUUUCAAUUCAAGUAAAAAACACACCUAACUCACAAAACUAAUUACAUUUGAUUCCCAUUUUUUUUUUUAACAUGAGACUUGUAUGCGACUGAUUAGGGAAGGUACAGCUGUUAAAUGAACUGAUUCUUUUAAUCAAUUAAAUCUCUCAUGUGCACACAAGCAUUAUUGUAAAAGUGUACCGAAAAUAGACAGAACAAUUUUAUUUGGAUAGGCUCAAUGGCGCACACGACCUUCAUUAGUUGAUAAUUUCUUUUGUAGCUUAAUUAUUCUAGACAAAUUGGACCAUUUUUUUUUGUUUUGCUUGUUCUUGUCCACAAAUUGCUAAAUUAGGCCCGCAUGCUUUAUUCGCGAAAGGUUGGGAUCCUCUGAAAAUUACAAAAUCAAUUUAUAUUUUACAUUUGCCUCGGAAAAAAUUGAUGUAUCUUAAUUUUUCUUUUCUUUCACUCUUUUCAUUUUAGACUUUUUCUGUCCCUCAGGUCACAUCGGUCCAUGACCUCGAAUUGAAGUCACCUGCUCCGAGGAAUGCCGGCCCGAGCAAGUCGCCUUGGCUUUGUUUGCAUUGGGGCCAAGAUAAAAGCAAUCAUCAGAAACUCUUAAUGCCCCUCUCUGUAUGUCCCACCCCUAUGUAAAGCCCUUGCCGCCAUGAUCUCCACGGCAUUGCCAUUACUGGCCUUGAUUAGGGUUGUCGACGGGUAGGGUCGGGUCUGGUUUUCGGUUUUCUUGGCUGCUUGCCUCUCUGCAUUGCUUGUCCGCAAGUGAACAAACCUCAUUGCAUUUGCUAUAAAGUAGACUUAUUGGCCGUAAAUUGGCCGUAAAAUAUUUGAACGCAUCAAUCACGACUAGAAAUAUGCUCUGUUGUCAAUGGAGCUACGAAAAUAAGAACUGGCAGAGCAAAGAAUUUGAAGUAAAUGUGUUAGGGCGAGACGGGGUCAAUCUUUAGAAAUGGGAGCCAUACACGCUGCAAAGUGCAAAUUACACGGUAUAUUUCUUGGUGGAAAAUUUGGGUCCUUCUGCUGCUCACGCUCACCUCUUCUUUAUCAGGCAAUUUUAUGUCGUGAAAAGACUGUCAAUCUGGUUUUAACCAUUCCAUUUCCUAGGAGUUUGUCGGAAAAACCAAAACUGUUUCUAAUUAUAGAUCAACCAAUAUAAAAGUGAGUAACAAAGUUAAAAAUAAUUCUUAAAUAAUUACCCUCAAAUUCUAGAAAAUAGUAGGCUUUAAAUUAAACAUGAAGAGAAAUACAGAGUUUUAGUCUUGAGAUAGAUUUCCCAGCUUGGUUAUGGUUCAAAGAAACAUAGCAUCAGGUGGAGAUUCAAACAAAAUACGAGACGGUUCUUUCAGCAUCCUUCCUCUCCGAGCAAGCUUAUCUGCACAAUCCUAGGACCACAAAUCCUUCGAAUCUACAUCUAUCAUACAACAAAAACCACAUAUAUGGUUUUGAUUACUUUUGUGCUUAUAAAAUUUAUGUUUUCUCUGUAAGUUGUGAUGAUAUGCCCUGUUUCUUCAAAGGCCUUUAGACGGUAAAGCAACCCGCCGACAAUACUCUGCAAGAGCCCACAAUGGGAAUAUGUUCCUGUAAGCGGCAUAGUGUAACAUGCAAUUCCUGAAGAAAACCCCAGUGAUUUCCUGCAACACAAAACUAUUAACUAUUAAGAAUAAGGGCAGGCAAAGUUCAUGCUUAGAUUAUGUUGUUUUGUUGUAAGGCAAUUCUCAUCGAUCAAGUUCUCUCUCUAAUUAAGGUUUUUUUAUUUGCAGUUUUUCCUGAUGAUGUUUUGAGUAAUUAAACAAAACUGCUUGUGAGAUAAUACACCUGGACAAUAAUCAUCUCUAGGCUCUACUAGUUGUAUGGAUUAGUGCUCAGGAAAUUCUUUCCAAGGAUAUCGGUGGGGCGCAGUCUCUUAUUUCCUGAGAUAUUAACCUAUAUGAGAUCAAGUGAUAGAAAGGUACAAACCUGUUGGGGGUAAUUUCCGUCUUCCAUUUGUGAAUUGAUUAGCAGCUUUGUGGCCCGGUGCACGGGAGUUGGAUCCCUCUCCGCCUGAUAGCAGAUGAAAUAUCAAAGUCAGAAACUUCACAUAGAAUAUUGACUUUUACUAUCGCCAAAGUACGGUUAAUGCGAUUGAGACCCAGACGACAAUAUCAUUCACUGACCCGCCCCGCGUGAAUCAGACCCAUCAUAGCCCAAGCGGUGUGCGCCAGAUUUGAUCUGUUUCCUUCAAGUGGUAUGUAUUCCUACAUCGACCGAUCUGGCAUUAGAAAAUUCAAGAUUUCCAUUCUCCCAGAAAAGCAUGCAACUAAAACAGCUAAAGCCGAACAUGCUGUUGAAGGUCCCUCUCUAAAUUACCUUCCUCGGGCAAGAAAGAUUGCUCUCUCCUCACCUGCCAUUCUGCAACUGUGUUCGUAGAAGAAAGGUGACUCCAUUGCGCAUAGCUGCACAAUUGAUAUAUGUCUUGCCAGCAGCUGCUAGUCCUCCAAGCGCAAACCAUGAGCCGUAUAUAAAACAAACUCCCCAGCACCCGUACCUGCAAGGAUUGCUCAAUUAGCUAGCUGUUUCCUUGACUUAUCCCAAUUCUUCACAACUAUCCAAUGGAAAAGGAACAUACCAUGACCCGUCUGGCUUUUGCAUGCUCUCCAGAUACUGUACAGCAUUUGAUAUAAAAUCCACUAUCUCCUCCUUUUUGUGACGAGGAUACAAGUUCCUGAACAAAACCAAAGCUUGGAUAGCUGAUGAUGUGCAUUCAACAUAUUCAUGCUCAAUGACGACGUCCUCUAAGAACUCUGUCGGAUUUAGAAACCGCAAGUGACAAAUGAUGAGAAAGAAUGCCCUGAUUUAGUAAUUGAUGAACAAAGAAACAUGUCUUAAUUAGUGAGGACCACCAAGGAAUUCCUACAAAAUUUAGUAACUUACUUCUAGCCAAUCCUGCGCUCCUGCAGGCUCCCAUGCUGCCAAUCUGCCAUUUUUACUCUGGAACAAGUGACAUCCAUGGUUGAUGUGACCAUAUUACAAUUUAUUAUCACACUUCGACAUAUGAAAAAAGUUAUGAAACUCUAAGAAAAACUUAAAUAGCAACGUGAUUUUGGAAUGCAUAGAGCAAACAAAGUUUAGCCUAUAUUUCUUGUCGAGAUCAAAAAUUUUCUCAAAGUCUUGCUCAAGAAAGAAAAACGAUGAUAUACUCACUUGUUGAGAGAGUAAGAUGUUUGACAGCAUCAUCCAAUCUCCCUGGCUCCAUCUUGUCACCCACAAUUUCAGGUGGCAUCAUUGAAAAAAGCAAGCAACACUGAAUAUACAGCAUAACAGAUUCAGUGAAAAACCGGGCAAUAUAGGAUUGGAUUGACCUGCGGAUGCAGUGAAGGUAUCCACAGCAGCAUUACCUUCAGAGCUUCUGCAGUGCAAUCAGAUACUUGCCAACCGUGAUCUUGAUCCGAUAAUGUCCAAGAUCCUUUAGAAAUACGAUGGUACAUGUAUUUGAAGUCAACAGAAGGAUUCUCCUUGACCUGAAAUGUUGUAAACGGAUCUAUGCGGUUCAGCUUAUGCGAGGAAGUGAAAGAAAGUAGAAUGUUUGGAGUCAAGCAGAAGCUCACAUGAAUCAAAGAUCAAACCUGAGAUUUUUUAAUGAAGUCGUGUCCUCUAGCUAAUACUGGCGCUAUCUCCUCAGUCAUGUUACUGGCAAGCAAAGCUUGGAUGGCGACGCCUGCGUCCCACUCUUGGCUACCAAAACUCUGCAUACGAACUAGCCAACCGCCAAACUAAGCUUUCCUCUAGAUGAUAUCACUUUACUUAAUCAAUCUUCUCAUUGUUAUAAGAAGACUUCCAUCUUUCAAAUUUGCAGCAUAAAUAUCUAUCAGUACAAUUGAAGCCCAAUUCUAUUAUAGCUCAGUGACACUAUUACUAACCUGCAUCUUCAUUCCGUCUUCAGCAACCCAAAGGUAAUCUGGUAUCCUAGCAAGAUGCUUCUUGAAAUAGUCACUGUCUGGGUCCUCUACCCAGCAAGCAAGCAUGCAUAACACCUGUCCGAGUCCAAAGCAAAAGAAAUACUCAGUGAUGUUUUCCCAUGAUGUGUGAAUAUUGAGUUAUCUCUCUCUCUUUCCUCCUUAAAUCUAUACUCAUUACCUUUUCCACACAUCCAAUAGUGAUAUAUCGACUGUUCUCAUCUUCAUAGUGGAUGUGCUUCAUCGUCACCUGAAGAGCCUUCUCUCUAAGUUUAUUAAACGGCCAACAGUUGAGAAAAGGCUCUGUAAAUAUGUGAAGACUAUCCCAGAUCAGAUCUUGUACUAAGUGAUGGGGAUAGUAGAGAUCCUCCUGCAACAACAACUUGAAUCACUUCAUUAAAAAUUUGCUGACUCACAAACUAUCUGAUUCUGGAUCGAUAUUUUGGACCCGGUAAUGAUACUUGCCUUGGCACAAAGAUGGUGGACUUUUCUCCAGCUAAUCGUGUCAUAGGGUUGAGUAUGAAGUUCUUCUCUCUCAACUGUGGAACAAGAGGCGUGAUUGGACUAAUGAAUCUUUUCACAUACAAAUAUGACAUGGGCAUGUAAGUCAUCCAACAGUAGCAAUACAUCUUAGCUACAUUAUGCAAAACGGUACAAUUCAGACAACAUCUCCAUGAAACUAAGGAGAAACGCAAUUAACGAAACAGAAGUUGAAACUUUCUAUCUUUUAAUGGGCAUUCUGGGAGGGUGGCCAUUUUAAAAACAAGCCCACGCCAUAUUCUUGUUGGUGCAGCAAAAAUGCCAUAUCGUUUCAAUUUGAAAACUAAUCCAACACCUUUGUCUUAAUACCUAAGCAAAAUUAAAUAUACAGGACUACUAUAGAAUACCAUCAAGGACAAGAUUAAGAUAUCUGCAAAAACAAACCAGGAUGAAUGGGGACGAAUGAAGGUAAGAUCCAGAACUCACGAUUCACAUCCACGGGGGGCAAAGCUGGAGUUUCGGUCACUCCUGGUUUGGUCAGUGGAAUACCUUUGGAAAUGUUAUCAUGUUGACAGAGCACGCUGCAAACUAUCAUUCAAGGCCAAUUCCAGACACGGAAGUUCCUCGUCUCUGAAGGUCAGUAGAGUGUGCACAAUUAGGGGUAUAACAUCUGACCGCAAAAGGUUGGAUGAUUAUUUUUUGUUGAAGUUCUUAUGCUGUGUAAUUCACCAGAAGCACAACACGCUCUUGAUAAGAACGACAGCAAUCAACAAGGUCAACAAUUACUUCUUCCUUGAAAGCCUGCCACCAUGUCCUCCAUUAUAAGAUUCAAAAUGUAAUGUCAAAAUCCAACUCAAUCUGCACUGAAGAUUGCAAGCUACAUAACUGAAAAGGUAUCUUCCCAAGGGCAAAAAUCAAGUCUGCAAGCAAAAAGGAGAAACAGACACGUGCAUGGACAGCAUAGCCCAUCUUAUGAGCCUAUUCAUGGGUACAGUGUGCAGAAGAUAAUUGUCGUAUUUUUCUAAUUUGAAAUAUGCAAAGCCUUCCCACCAAAAAGAGAUGCAAAAGUUUUUUUUUUUUUUUGGACAAUUAAGAUAGAUAUUAUUACUAGGUAAUAGUCUGAGCAAAUACAGCAUAUGCUUCAGUACAAAGUAAAUCCAAAAGCGCAGGAGGGGGAUGUUUGACCCAAUUUGUAGGAAGGAAAUUCAUGCGCUGGGCUUUUGCUAACCAAUCAGCCACUACAUUCGUUUUCUGACUACAAUGGGCGAAAGUCAGACCCGAGAUAUUCUUCAGUUUGUGCUUGGCUCGGUUCACAAGAGGUUGCACUGACCAGUCUAAAACGGGUGUGGAGAGAAUACUCUCCACCAGCAUACUGCAAUCAGAUAGAAUUUCUAUUUCUUUUUCUGGGGAAUUUGGGAGGAUUUCUGAGGAGAUAAAGUCUAGGGUUUCUACCAAAGCUACGGCCUCCGCUUGUUCAGGUGAACUUACCUCGACAUUCUUUGCGAACCCAGCCCUUAUUCGGCCAAAGGAAUCUCUGCAGAUACAAGCCACAGAUGCCCGAGUUUUGGAUCUACUCUGCUGAGAGCUGGAGAGAGAUACAGUCUUUGCUCUGGUGGGGUCACAGCUUGUUGCCGAAAUAGAAUUCCUUUCACCUGUUUUGUCGGUGAGAUCAGGGCCAGGUGAAAAUGCUGAUCCUUCCUCUGUUUCGUUACAACACCGGUAAGUUGUUUCCCCAUAAGUCUUGUGUGCUCUGCAAAUCCUAUCAUGGUGGGCUUCGAUGGUCUUUCUUUGUUGCUGCAGCUGUUCUGAAAAUUCAAAACCAAUAGAUCUACGCUCAAUUUCGAAGCGAAUAGGUCUGCGCUCCAGUUCCACUUCAGCAAAAUCAGAAGGGUCUUCCUCAAUUGUAUCGCUGUUUAGUGGGGGUUUUCGAUGUUCUUGGAUGACGCCUGUGCUGUACAACUUAGGCGUUCGAGAGUUGGUGCAGAUCUGGAACAGGUGGGGCAUCUCCAUUUGGUCAGACCCAUCUUCGUGAACUCUGCUGAAAAAGUGAGGUUUGCUCCUGCUCUGAUUUGCUGCUCUUUUAAUCUUUGAUGGACGAGGCGUCAGGUUAAUCCUCCUCCUCCUUGGCUGUGUUCUGGAAUCAGCAAUGUCAGAUGUGUCUUGCGGAUUGAGUUCUAUAGGUGGCAGAGGGCUAGCUUCAUUGAGGCCACGAUCCAUGGGUUGAUUCCCAUAGAUUUGUGCCCGAUCUCUACCGUGCAUCUUAGAUGUGCCUAUGUGGGCAUACCUUGGACUCGGGCUGGGUUUUCCUCGUCUCUCCGUUCUGUUUUGCCCAGGUAAGUGUUGGGACCUGGCUAUAUUUCUGACUACUUCUCUGGGCGGCUUAGGUUUAUAUAUGUUGUCCUUCCUGACCGUGCUGUUAGCCUUUAGAUGAUGCGUUAAAUCGGACUCUUCCUCUUCGACAUCUGUAUUUGAAGCUGGAGAGUGACUUAGGGAGGCAUAUUGGUUGACUAAACUUAUAUCGCAGUUGGAGGGUAAAGGUUGGGAAGGAACUGAAGUGCUUUCAUUUGGAUACACCACCUCCUCUGGAUAUUUAUCAGACAAGUUGCUGGCAUUAUAGGUACUGGCAAAAGAAGCAUCAAUAUUGAUUUUCAAUACACCUGGGGGUGGAGGUUGCCAGUGAUCAGGUUGUUCUUGGCCCUGUUUGCAUUUGUGGGAUUUUUUAUUCCAUGUUGAGAAGCUUUCCUGUGACAUUGUAGCUCGUAAGAGGGUGUGGUGUGGGUUGAGGGGUUGCUUUUUGAAGAUGGAGUGGUUGCGGUCUUUCCAAAUGCACCAAAGAACUAUGGCAACCAGUUCAAAAUUUUGUGAGUUUCUUUGUCCUGCAAAAUAUUUGCCCAACCAAACAUCAAACCUUGUUAGACCCAUUCGAUUUGUGUAAUCUUGUAAGGUUAGCUCUUUCCAAAUAGAUGCUGUCCAAGGGCAAAGCAGUAAGGUGUGCUCGAUUGUCUCCAGUUCCAUCUUGCAUAUCGGACACAUUGGAGCAAGUACAAUCUUUCUUCUAUAAAGAUUAUCUAAAGUAGGAAGUGCAUUUUGGCAGGCACUCCAUAGGAAAAAUUUUAUCUUCGGCUGUAUGUUGGAGUUCCAAAUAAGUUUCCAUAUGGCUGGAUCAAACUGGUGUGAUGUUGUUGGCACGGACUCUCGAUGCGUAACAUGUUUUCUAAUUGCAAAGUAACCGCUUUUUACUGUAUAGGUUCCCGACUUGUUCUUUGUCCAAACCAAUUUAUCUUCUGUGGUAGGGAGGCCAAUAGGUAUUGCUUUGAUUUUUGUCGCUAGGGAGUCAUCGAACAGGGACUGCAAUAGGUCUUCCUUCCAUUGUACAGCUUCAAAAGUACAGGGAUGAACUCAGUAUCUAAGAGGGACAAGCCUUGAUGUGCCUAAAUACCAACUACAAAUUUUCGUUGCAGAUCUUGGGCGAUAACUAGAUACUCCAAUUUUUAGUAAGAACAAUUUUGUCAGUACGUAUUCAUCUAAGCAUUUAGAAAAAAAAGAGUUUUUCAAUUACAGGAAUCAUCACAGUCCAUUUCCGGAUUACUAAGAUAGGUUUGUCAGAUGUUGAUUCGGUUUAAUAAUUCAAACAGAAGCAUAUCGAAAGAAUUUCAGAAAAGUGGCCAAGAUAAAAUUCAGCCCCCUCAGUAGUAAAUCAAAGAAAACCCGACCAACUUCAAACGUUCAAAACUGAGUCAUACCGCCACACCAAUGCUUAUAAAAAAUCACAAUUCUGCCCAUUGGGGGCUUCUAUCUAGACAUAUAAUUCAGUAUACCAACAAGCUGUCCCAAUCGUCACUGUUUCAAUAUAAUCAACUUUCCCCUUACAAAGACAGUUUCCUGCAAAUUGCUUAGGAUACAGCUAACGACUAAUGGGGCUAAGCUAUUAAUACCCAAAUCAAUAGAUCAUUCAUCGUCCUCGUGGAAUAAUCUAUUGUAUCCAUAGCCACUUACUUCAGGUUAUCUUGCAAGAAUUCUUGAGAGAUCGACUAAACCAAGAUGUCAAAUAAUAUGAAUUCAAAGUCCAUAAAAUUCAAGCAACCUCACUCCCCAGCUAAAGUUAAAAGACACCUAAAAUUCCAGACAGAAAGCCCACCACAAUUCCUCCAACAUAGACAAAUAUAGCGACUGAUUAGCGGGGUUCUCACCUUUUUAAUUUGCCUCCUGCGAAAACCCCUUCAAUUCGGAGAUAAAGAUACCCGCUACCAAUAUUGAUCAAGAGGAGAAAUUAAAUCUGGCCACUUCAGCAAUAGUAAUUCUUAUUAUAGGAUCAGCACCCGCUUGGACCACCCAUCCGCAAAAACUGAGUCAAGGCUUCGACCUUCAAAGCUGUUCCACCAAGAACAAUUGAGCUUAUCACGGAAAUUGUUGACGCUACUGAAUCUGCAGCCAUACACGAGAGUAGCUACUCUAAACUCAACAGCAGAUGACCAGAACCUACGCAACCAGAGCAAGCUAAUGUGGUCAAAUCGGGCCGUGACAUAAACAUCGAGGUCGCUUGCCUUGGGGGACCCCAACCCAGGUCCGGGGGGGCCUAGGGGAGCAAGUUGCCCUGGCCUUGUUUGCAUUGGGGCCAGCGGUGGGCGAGAGAGAGAGAGAGGGAUGCUUGAAAAAUAGUUUACUAGAAGAAAAUAAGAAGGGCGAUGUAAUUUUCUUGUCCGUAAAAUAAGCAAAUCAAAGUCUUGGCUCAAUUUAUCACAUUAUCUUGGUAAGGUUUGGGCUUUCUAGUGGAAAUGGUUCGAAUUCAUUUCCUUAAAUCGAAAUAAAUGGAUGGAGAAAUGAUGAAGACUCAUGUUAACGUUAAGGAAAAAAAUGCGAUCCUAUCCCCAAGUUGUUUGAGAGUUUUUGCCAUCGUAAUGAUGAGAUAAACGUAAUGACCAUUCCUCCCAAAAUGAAUACAAAAAGGACGGGUAGAUAUUCACCACCCUAUAUAUAUAUAUAUAUAUAUAAACGCACACAAACGAAGUACAAAUUAGAAGCUAUGAAAAGAUAGGUAGAGACACUCCGCUAGAGAAAGACAAACGAAACUUCUUCUUUUUAAAAUAAUAUUUUACACUUAUCAGCCUCUCUUUCAUUUCACCUGAGUGCGUCUCCAAAUGACAUUUCUUCUCCGGGACACUCAUAAAUGCGGCCGCUGGGAAGUGAGUCAGGCGGCUGGGUCCCACUCAAAACUCAGCCCUCCAAUGUCCGUCCCCCAUUGAUCGAGAAGGAAAGACCUCACUUCACUCACUCGGCCCACUGGGUCGGGACUCGGAAUCCAAUCCUGGAAUACCAUUUAGACCUAUCUUUCAUUUUACGAACCGCCUCUCCAAAUGUCAUUUCUUCCGCCUCUCCAAAUGUCGUUUCUUCGUCUACGGAUCUCUCAUCCGGCCACUGCAAAGUGACCCUUGCCGUGGGGUCCCACUCAAACCCGGCCCACCACUGUCCGUCCCCACUCAUUGAGAAGCUUCCCCUUGCGUUGCUCGAGUCCCAUGGCAACUUUUUGAGACCAGGGCAAUAGUAUAUCUUGAUGUUUAACCCUUUAGCGAAAAAUAGUGUGUGGUCACAAAUACUCCUUAGUUUUGGAAGAUGAUAGAUAUCUAGGAGUUCGAGACAUGAGAAUAGUUCCGAAGCAGCUAAUUUCUCUCCUGCAAUUUCAUCCCCGAUUAUUUUCUCUAUCAAAUCGCAGAACCAAACCGUCAAUUUCUGGAGUUUCGGCGCGUGCACGAGCCAAGACAAGUCUGAAAAUCCGCACCCUUCAACUAAAACUUCAAUGAGACUAGGGAAGCAAAGGUAGUUGGGCACUUGUCCCGUCCCUUGAGUAAUCUCCAUCUUCACGAGCAUAUAGCAAUAUCGUAGAUGAAGCACCUCUAAAUGCAAGAAAUUGACCCUCCCUUUUAAUGAGUGACUUAAUGGGAUGCAUGUCAAGUUAUCACACUUAUUGAUCUUCACUCUUCUUAUGCAUCUCUGUAAGGAUUGAAAUAUUUUUAGUGCAGAUGAAGAUUUGCGCACUAUGAUAGAUAAGUCGAUCAGCUCUUGCAUGCCCCCAAGUUCCUCUACCAUCUCUUCUUCCUGGUCUAGACCCGAUUCCCAUAUACCCGAUUCCCAUGUGCUGAACACAUUCAAUGCUAAGCUUGCGAUUACCCCCGUUGGAAUCAAGACAUUAUUGCUUGUACGGUUUAGUAGCAACCACCGUAAGCGAGUCAAGUUCUUGAUUUCCUCGGGCAACUCAUGAAUACGAGUGUUCGACAUGUUCAAGUACCGUAAAUUAAACAGAUCACAAAUCUCUUCAGGGAAUAAUUAUAUAUUUCUAUUGUUGGAUAGGUCCAGCACCUUCAAACAGGCCAUCAUUGACUCAAAAAAUCCACUUGGCACAAACCUCACAUUAGUUUCCCUUACAAACAAAGUUUCGAGUUGGGAACACAUAGGUGGUGUUUGGUUGAUAUUUCCAAUCAAUCCUCCCCAUAGAAAUACUUUUUCUGCUUGCCCCCAUUUAGGCAUCAUCUCCAUGGACAUUUCUUCUUCGUACUCUAUCACUAACAACUUGUUCUCCUUUUGCCCGUGGUCGCAAGCAAUCCAAGUCGCCAUGUCACGGAUAACGUCGUGCAUCUUUACAUACUGUAGUCCCAAAUUACCACCCAUCUCACUUUCCAAUAAACAAGCCAUCUUUAAACUCCCCAAUAUAUACUCUCCCCUAUCCCGCAUAGUGUAUACAUCUUUGGUGUCUCCUAGCAAGCCCUCUCCAAUCCACAGUCCAAUAAGAUCGUGCGAGUUUAUGAGGUAAUCCUCAGGGAAGAGACAACAGUUAAGGAAGCAAAGUUUGACGAUAGAGUCGCUUAAACUAUUAUAACUGAACUCUAGUAUGUGAUACACUUCCUCCAUACCUGACAGUUGAUGCGGUUUGUCCCUGAGAGUUGUUAGCGCAUAAUGCCACUCAUGGGGAUGCCCUCUGCCAGCCAUGGCUCGCCCGACGGUAAUAAGGGCCAAUGGCAACCCUUUGCACUCUUUAGCAAUGUCCUUGGCCAGGCGUUGAAUGUCAUCAUCACAAUUUUCAAGCGAUUUGCCGAUGUUCUUCUCAAAUAAUGUCAAAGCUUCUUCAGGCUUCAAGCACGAUACUUCGCAUGUUUCGUUGGCUCCCAUUUGGUGGCAUACUUGCUUCGACCGAGUUGUGAAUACUACCUUGGAUCCGUUCUUUGGACUAGGAGGAAGAACUCCGAUUUCGAAAAGGUCCAGCCUCGCCCAUACAUCAUCAAUCAACAACACAAACUUCUUUUCAGCCAAAAUGUUCAACAAAUGAUGGACCCUAUGAUUCUGAGACCAUCCAUCCCAGAUCUCAUCUUUAAUGUUCAGCCCUUUCCUUACGACGUCUCGAAUGUUAUCUUCGUUCACUUGCUUUGACACCACCACCCAAAUAACGACAUCAAAUUUAAGAUUUGUGCACAAAAGCUCAUUGUUGAUUUGUUUCAUGAGGGUGGUCUUUCCCACACCGCCCAUUCCGUAUAAUCCAAACAUUCCUGUUUUUUUUUCGUCCGCUAGCCAUUUCCACACUUCAUUAAGCAAAAUAUUAAGCCCCACGGUCUUAACCAUAGGUAUCGCAAGUAUUGCCGGGCUAGGCAAUGGUGACGUGAAAUUGCUGAAUUCUCUUUUCUUACCUUGGAGCUCUCUCGCUUCAUUGAGCAAUCGAUCAACUCUUUUCCCCAAUUUAUAGCUCGACCAGCAAUUCUGAGGAAGACAACGACUGAAACAUUUGAUUCGGUCACAUUCCCUGGCUUCUUCCAGAACUUGAUCUACUCCACCUUCAAAUUCUUGCACCUUGCAUAACCAGUUCUCCACUUGAUUUGUGCGCCGUACACCUCCCUCUCGUUCUUCACGUUCCACCCUUUCCUUCGCAUCCUCGUUCAUGGCCUCCAAGUCUCUAGUUUCUUUCUUCAACGCCUCCACAAUAUCUUUCGGAUUACAAAUGUAGCCCAAAGGUUUGCUGGCCAAGCCCCAUAACCCUUUGACGAGUUCUAAAAGAGGACUCGCGAAAUCCAUAGAUUCUUUCGGGAGAUGAGAGAUCGAAAAAAGGAGUAAUCCAGAUGGAUUGAGAGCAGGAUUGAGAGCAGGCGAAUGGGUGGAGUUCGAUAAUAGAGGGUCAUGUAGUAAGGGACGACUUUUACAGAUUCAAUAAUGGAGGCCCUGACUAAUGGCCCCACAACAGGGCAAUAAUACAAGCAAAAGUACAAAUCACAACUCGGGGAGUUGAAUUAUUGCGCACGCGGACAAACAACUUUUUAGAAAGUUGGAUUAUGGAAAUAAAGCACUCCUCGCAACCCCACACACAUAUAUAUAUAUAAAAGCAAAAAGUACAGAACACAACUCAAGGUCGAAUUAUUGCGCAUACCGACAAAUAACUUUUUAGAAAAUUGAAUUAUAGAAAUAAAGUGUAACUCACGACUUUUCCACAAAACAGUCUGAGCAUUCAUGAGGCUUGAAAUUUGAAUAUAACGCAUCUAUCGUGCAAGAUACCACUGAUCCUCGCUUCCGACGAAUGUUAAAAAAAACAUGGUAAUAUUUUUAAAUACAUCAAUUCGUUGUUGAUUAGGUCCAUAAUUUUAUACAAGAAGGUUUUUCCUAGCACUGUUAUGUAAUUUUCGUAAAGGAGAUUAAUUGUAGGGAGAAGAAAAAAAAAUUCAAUGGGAAUUGGCAACUUUAAUUAGUAAAAUUAAUACCUGCGUAAUAGUAAAUUGUGACUUUGAAAUAAUCUUGCAUUAUUAUUAUUAUUAUUUUUACAAAUCAAAGACUGGACAUUAAAAUCCACGUGCAUCGUGCAUUUAAUAAUCUAAACAUGCCCUCCUCCUUCUUGAGAUAGUUAGUAGCUCCCCCGCAUGUGAAUGGUUUUAUGCCCUCCCUUUCUUCUUUGAGAUUAUUAGUUGCCGAUGCUAUUCGUUUUGUUUAAUUUGGAUCUGGCAACACCAAUAUCCAUAUAUAAAAUUAAUGGGUUGCAAUUAUCUAGUGGUGCUCAGAAUAUGGGGCAAAAAAGUUAGACUCAUAUCUAGUUAGAAAUCUUUUGUUUACAACAUGGCGAAAAGUUGAGGACAGUACAAUGCUAGAAUCGUAUGAAAUAAAAUUUGAAAAUGAAAAAAAUUAAGCUCACUCACGAAAACACAUUCGUUUAUGUCACUGAGUAUAGGUAUGAGCAUGAGUUGUGGGUCUCUAAUUAUCAUUGUAUCGGUAGCCAUGAAAAUUAGACAAAAUUUUUUCACGCCAUUCCCAAUCCAAUAUUCUUAGGUAGUACUAUGAGGUAAAUGCACAACGUGCAUUUACCCUCUAACCCUAGAUGAUCCUCAUCAUUUUAAUCCCAAAAACUAAAUCAGAUCAAAUCAUAUAUUCUUACGAGACAUGAGUGUAAUAUUUCAAAACACAAGGUUCUCUCCCUAGAGAUUCCUCAUGCGAAAUGCGAGAUGUGAACGUUCGUAUAUGCUUUUUCGUCAACGGUCAUAUCCAUGAGUUUUUCUAAUUUUGGCCAACUUGUCACCCAUAUGCCACUAUCCUAUUACAAAAGAAAAACUAAGGACCGAUGAUUGGCGAAACUCCAUACGCAUCAAUAUUAUAAUUGGUGUUAUUAUUAUUUUACAAUAAAAGAGAAAAGUCCGAGUGUUACACUAUUAUGCUCUUAAGAAAACUUGAUACAAUCGAAUUCUCUAUUAAUAAAGGAAAAAACAGAUUAGUAUAUAAAUUAAUUAAGGAGAUUCCAUGUAAACAGAUUAUUAUAUACUAAGCUCCCAUUACUAUGCCGUCCCACUUAUCAAUGUUUAAAAUAUUGGGCCACUUUAACUUAUAAUUGAAAGAUUUUUUCUUUUAUGUUUGGUCGAUUGGAACAGUGGCUAGCUAGACAAACACUAGUAAUCCUUGCAAAACUUUUUAAUGGUCUUGGCUUGCAAAUCCUUUCAAACUCACCAUCUAAAUCUGAUAAAGUGACCUAGAUUGUCUCUGAAGAGUAGCCCUUGAAACUAGCAUUACGACGAAAUAAAUUACAGCGACGGAAAGUCAGUGGCGGGCUUGGGAUGAGUGAUGGCCCUGCCCCUAUUAGGAAAAAAAAAAUUCUAAUAUUACCCAAUUAUAAUUUUUUAAUAUAUUACUGCAUAUUAUUAGAAUUUUUUAUCACCACUAAUCUUGAAUUUGCUACUCCAAUCACCAUGGUCCCAACAUAAUACCGACUUUCGAGUACGAUGGAAAUUGCUAAAGAGAAUAGUAUAGGAUGCGAUGAUGCUAACAAUUCAUGACAUUUCCUGUUUUGCCUGAUUGCUUCUGAAAUGACCAGAAAAAAAUAUAUUGGUUUAUCAUUCCAAAUAUUUUCUUUAUAUUAAUAUUGAGUUUACUAGUCAACUGGAUGGUGGGGUUUUCACUUUUCAACUCUGAAUUAGUUGGAAAUGUUAAAGCUGAGAAACUAAAGGUGAAGACCAGGCCUUGCUUCGAUGGACAGCAUAUUCAUCCCCCCUUUCCCAUAUAUAUAUAUGUAUAUUUUGUCUUUUUCAGCAAAGAAGAGGAAUCUUAAACAACUUUUGUUCCCUGUUAUAAAAAUAAAGAUGCUUUGAUGGACAGCACAUUCAUCCCCCUUUCCCAUAUUCUUUUUUUUUUUUUUUACUUUUCCAAAAAUAAAGAUGGAUCUUAAACAACUUUUGUUCCCCGCUACAAAAAUUAAGAUGCUUUGAUGGACAGCAUAUUCAAUAUUUUUUUUAAGUUACUUUUUCAGCAAAGAAGAGGAAUCUUAAACAACUUUUGUUCCCCGUUACAAACAUUAAGAUGUGAUCGGAUAAGAUAUAAUAAGAAGUCUCAUCAUUUAUUUGAUGAAACUAUCUAUUACUGUGGGACUAUGUUAAUGAUGUCACAUAGUUCAAUGUUAAUUCUGCAAUCACAAACAAUCAACAUAUCAAUUGUCGUCCUCUCGCACACAAUCUAUUGCAUCCAUCUCCUCUUUCUCUUAUUUCAAGUUAUCUUACAAGUAUUCCUAACAAGAUCGACCCAUCCUAGAUGUCAAUUAAUAUGAAUUCAAACUCCAUGAAAUUCAAGUAACCUCACUCCCGAGCUAAAGUAAAAAAGACACCUCUAAAUCUAGAUAGAAAGGCCAUCGUGAUUCCUCCAACAUAGACAAAAAUAACCACUAAUUAGCUGGGUUAUCACCUUUUAAUUUGCCUCUGACGAAAAUUCCUUCAAUUAAAAAGAUUAAGAUAUCUGCUACUAAUAUUGAUCAAGGAGGUGCCAAAAGAUCACUUUUUUUUCUAUUUCUAAAAGAGGAGAAAUUAUAUUUGGCCACUUCAAUAGUGGAACCGAAGGAUCAGCCGCUGCUAGCACUGCCCAGCUCCCCUCUACCAUCGAAGGAAAGACCCCAUCUGCAAAACCUGACUUGAGGCUUCAACCUUCAAAGGCAAUUAAAGGGGAAUUUGUUCUUGUUUUCCACCAAGAACUACUGAUAAAAAGACUCGUCAAAAACUCUACCACCCUCUCCGUCUGCCCCACGCAAGGCCCUUGCCGCCACCAUCUCCACAGUACCGCCAUUACUGGCCUCGACAAUGAUGGUCUCUCUCUAAGCUACAUCUUCUCAACAUUAAUAAGUCAGUCAUUGAAAGCGAAAAAAACCUCUGAAUCUAGAAGCACAACUGCCGUGCCUCCACAUCGAGGGGGCAAUCGCAUCAAGAGCUCAAUCACAUCGGAGGAGACACCAAGCUUGCAAGAAAAAAAGCCAAUCACAAACACAAUUAAAAAGGGGAAUUAUGCAAAUCGAAAUAUAUGAAGGAACAAAUGGUAAGACUCAUGUUUAGUUAAGCAAAACACAAUGAUCCCUAUCCAAAUUGUUCAAGAGUUAUAAUAAAACACCAUGAUUCCUCAAAAAAAAAAAAAAGGAACCAUCAUAGUCACCCUCUUCAUACUAUUGUCAAAACCCACUCAUACUAAUCACUUAUACUUCUCUCUUAAAAUUAUUAAAAUAAUGUUAACAUUUUGCACAAGCGCUAUUAUUUUACAAUUAGUCUAUCACAAAUAAUUAAAAAUCUAAACAUAAGUUGCAUACAAUCAACAAUUAAGUUUACUUUUUUAUUCAUCUGUUACUCCAUAAAUCUAAUGUCUCAUGGAUUUUAUUUCUAAACACGUUUUAAAUAUAUAUAGUUUAUCGUGAAUAUAAUUAUAAAGUAACGACUUGAAUCCAUUUAUUUACAAGUAAAUUAAUUUAAAAUCUGAAAGUUAAGAAUUAACAUAGUUUAAAUAUUUUACAAUUUGAAGUGUGGAAUUGUUUCCUCAUUACAUUCAAAUUUGUACACUGACAAAAAAAAAUAUGUCGACAAAUUAUUCUUCUAUUAAGUAUAAUUAUAUAGAUAGAAAGGAAAAAAAUUGAAAGUAAACUUAUUUAAAUUCAUUCUAUUGCUAGUUCAAGAAAAAGCUUUGAGAAUUAAAUGACUAAUAAUAUAUGUUAUUGAUAAAAUAAUGCAAUUAAAAGAUUUAAAAUUGAAUUGGCCCAAUAGAUCCAAGACUUUUCAAAUAAUUUUCCCCCUAAUCUUCCAUUGUCAAGAAUUCUACCAAGGAACUAAACUGCUCCAACUUCUUGAUUCUCCUUGACAGGAGAUCCAAACCUCAUCUAUGAAUAAAUUCGGGCAGCAUGACUCAUGCAGUGAUCUUUGUCAUAUCAUCUUGUUCACCAUUUAGUGAGAUUUGAAGACCGAUGUUUAUAACAAAAUGUAAGUCACUGCAUCGAAUGAACAAUGCAGCAUAUAAAUAGACUUGCUACUUUUCCGUUCAUCUGUCUCCAAUAGGAUUAAGACUCCAAUUUAAUAACAAGUUAAAAUGAAAUCGCCAUUGGCUUAGGCAAGUCGAACACGUCAACGGGGUUUCACUGGUUUCCACGAAAACGCUCUUCACGUUUAUUCUUUGCUCCAUUGUGGCCACUUGAAGAGCCCACCAACCAUUUUACACUGAUGAUCGUAGAGAGUUGGGACAAUGUCCAGCUCAUCUUUGGUACUGUUUUUUUGUUCUCUAUCUAAUGCAUGUUAUUAUUCAAAAAGAUAUUUUCAGCAAAUUUAUGUAAAUUAAUGUACGCAAUGAAAUUAUGGAGGUUCAUAUUUCCCAUGUCAUUUUUAAUAUAAACAUUAGAAUUCUCUCAAUUUACGAAAUAAAUGUAUGAAGUUUAUCCUUUUGAGAAGUGGACGGAUGAGCCUUCGAAAAUUCAAGAACUGAUGUCGUCUCUUUUCUUCCUUUCCUUUCCUUUCCUUUCCUUGCCUUUCUUCUUCGGCUACAUCGCAACUCCAAUCUUCCACCGCCAUCUCCACUAGUUUCUCCCCUUUCCCCAAUCCCCAUCAUAGUCCCGAUCAGCACCACCAACCUCCCUCUCGGCUGCGCCAUUAUAGCUGUCCUCCUUCCCACACGCGCCCAAGUGUUUGCGUGCAGCCUAGUCUUCACUACCAUCGCCAUCGUUAACUGACCACACAAGUAUCUCAUCAGACCGCCUUCUACUUCACUUGUCGGCAAACAUUCCUCCGAUCACCACCAUUAUUAUCGCACCAUCGCACACCGGCACUACCACCCAACCAACCACCCGCAACCACACCCCACACUUGUGAUCUAAGGUCACUACCUCAAAUUCAAGGUCUCUGCCCACAGGAGACCUCCGAUCUGAGGGUAAUUAAGGCCAAAAACCAAUUGGUUCAUGAUCACAGCCAGCGCACCACUCUCUAUUGUUUGUCCAGAGAGAGAGAGUGGUAGAGAACAGACAAUGCCGCUGGGAGAGGUUGGUCUAUCAACGACGGCCCAAAGUAUGAGGCAUUCUAAUCAAUUUUGAGUAACUGGAUUAAUAAGUCAUUGAACUAGAUAUCAUUACGGUACAAGGCAAAGGAGUUUUGCAGGCAUUGUCUAUGGGCAUGAUACAUUUAAAUGAUGGCAUGACAUGACCACGCAACCGCCCAAGAAAAGCCUACGAGCACACAACAAUAAAAAUAAGCGGAUGAGACUUUUCUCCCGUGCAUACGGUUAGAGCCUAUUUAAAGCUCAAUAGUGUAGCGUGUGACAAAUUUCCCACAGCAUAAAGUUUGAGGCAAACAAGUGGUUUGGUAUGCAUCAACCUCGGGUCUGACUGUCAUCUUCAAAUUGCAAACACACUAGCUUUCCCUCCCCAAGAAUAAAUAGACUCUUGAAGCACAAUUGUUAUGAUGUAACUUACUCCUCUCAAUUCCCUUUAAGUUUAGGUCUAAUUACCCAAUUUUCACAGAUGAACAAUGUUACCAUAAAUCAUGACCUCUUGGGCGAGUGGCUGUUCAAGGAUGGGGAAAAAUGGAAAGAGGAGAAUAAAACUUCCUAUGCACACUUCAAAGUUCAUAUAACAAGGCCGAGGCCACCAAUUAUCAUUCUAGAAUGAAAAUUGCAAUAUUCUGGAGGAUUUGAGAAAGGACAGUUUUCAUGAUAUGUCUACAAUGGAAGCAAUAGAAGAAUAACUAGGGCUCACCAAAACUAUUGCUUAACUUUCAGUGAAUCCUCAAUCCGCUGGAUCAGUUGAUCAGCCGUCAGAGCACCCUCCUGAUAAUUGAAAAUAGCUCAAUUAAGAUAAGGGCAGAUGAUUAAAACAUCUUAAAACUGUAUAAGUUGCAAGCAAUUGAACAUCAGAAAAAAUUCACAACCCAAUCUUACAGUUAAAUUAUAAAUGAGAAUCAACCUAACUUCCGAUUAAAUAACAUUCAAAGACCACAGAAUAAUGCAUAAAUCUUAGGUGAUGGCCAUCAGUUAUUACCAUUUCUGCAUUGAGCCGGCAACCAUGUCCUUCACAGAAAAUUUAUAGGAAUACCCCCUGCCUAUUGCUAAAAGAAGUAUCACUUACUAUGCAUGGAUUGCAGCGACAUGGUUGCAGCAACCUAACAACUAGGGAAGCUGUGUUUUCCACGACAGUCAAGCUCUACAAAGGGAAGGCCUUUCAUUGAUCACUGUUGAAGACUUAUGCAGUUUGUGCAUAUUUAUCAUCGGUUAUUAUGUAGAAACAUGUUGGUGCUUCAUCAUGGUUUCAUUGCCGGUUCCAUGUUAUGCGAGAGAGUAAUGAUGAAGUGGGAUGGAAUUCCCCAGUCAAAAACAGUUUAGGAGGAGAAGGGUGUCCACUGAUUAUUGGUCAAUAUAGAUUCUUCAUGCCACAAGAGGGGCCUUAGUGCCUAUAUACAUUACAAGGGCUGUCUGUGCUUUUUUGGCAAAAUGCAAGUACUCUUUCCAGAGUUCACCCUUAAUCUUUCACAUCAUAAAAGAUUAAAAUUGCCAAAAACACUUGUGACUGCAGGUUUUUGUUCAAAUUAGGAUAUCUAAGGCAUCUCAUCACAGUAUCAAAAACUUUUUAUGAGCCUUUACUAACAUAAUAGUUACAAGAACUUAGCAGAUUAAAUUUCCAAAUGAUAGCAAAGGUGAAAAAGAUAAAACUUACAAAACGCUCAAAAGGCUUCCCAUCUUUAAAUAUGAUAAAGGUAGGUAAUGCUUCUAUCUUGUAUUUAUCAGCAAUGCUGGGGUACUUCUCAGUAUCAAUCUUCACAACUUGAAUUGUAUCAUUAAGUCUAAUGCUGACCUCAUUAAGGAUGGGAACCAUAAAUUGACAAGGACCACACCUGGGCACAAAAGCUUGAAUUAUAAGUAUUAUGCCAAUCAAGUUGCUCGAAGAUUUAUUAGAACAGGUAUCAUUGAUACAAAUCUAUGGAGGAUGUACAUUACCAAGUAGCAUAAAAAUCAACUAAUACAGGUUUCUCAGAUUUGGCCAAUAGAUCAUCAAAAGAGUUAUAUGUCUGCUUCUUAGCUUCAACCUGUAAAAAACAAGGGAUGCAGGUAAGUAGACGUCUCUAAUCUACAAAACAAAGAUCAAAGUAAUAAUGUCACCAAAUGGUCCAACAGAGACAAGAGGAAGCACAUAUACUUCCUUUAACCAUAUUAAUAAAGUCCAAAAGAGGCUACUUAUUAAAGAGGAACAUAAAGUUUAUUCCAACAGAUCAAAGGAAGAAGCCAACUAAAUAAAGAACAUAUGCUAUAACUAGCGUAAAGGAGUACAAGGAGAGCAAAACACGUUUUAUCAUUAACAGCAGUAAACAGGAUGCAGACAAAAAAUAAGGGGAAAAAUUGCACGACAUAUAACAAUGGAUAAAUGCACUUACUGAUUAGGAGGAAAUAUAUAAAGAUAGAGCUAAGUAGGUCUCUUUCACUCCCACUCUCUUCAAUUACAUAGAAAGAUAUUAACAUACUAGAAUCGUCCAGUAGACCAACAUAUAUAAAAACUCCCAUCUAGUAGGAUAAGGUCUACAGUUGUUUGUCGUUGUUUGUGAUGACAAGUACAAAAUCAACUCCUGCUAAGAGUUCGUGUGGUAUAGGUUAACCCCUGGCCUGCCCUAAAGAAGCUUUACAAAGAUGCCAUUGUAGGCCUUACUCCUAACUUUCUAAAAGUGUUGUUCAUUAUAGCUCUAUAUCACUUUCACCAAUAUGCUUCAAGAUUCAGAUGAGAUCCUAACAUGAGAAUGUAAAAUUCCUCAUACAUUAAAUGAGCAAACUCCUCAUAACACAGCAACUGGUCCAAUUUCACCAGUUUGUUUUCUUCUAGACAGAUCAUUUAUAGGUUGCAUUGUCCAAUGCAAAAUGAUGAAACCAUCAAAAUCUGUCUUCUUUGCUUGAGGAGGCAGAUAUGCAUUUGUAUGAAUUAUAUGAAACAGGUCAAUCCAAGGAUAUGCUCCAAGUAAUGACAGAAUUUAUCUAGUAAAGAAAAAGACACGGGACUGGUGGAAAGCAGAUGAAUGACCCGGCAUGACAUGGCAUUUUUUUUUUUAUAAUAGAUGCAGAUUGGCCAAGCACGACAUGACAUUGUCCAUGGUCACCUCCUAAAGCACGUUCAUUACAAUUAGGAAACAAUCACUAUGGGUUUAGUAGGGAAAACCACGGCAAGUGCAAUGCCAGGCAGCACGCAAAUAGCAACACAAGCUGUGUAGAUUGUCAAAUCAUUCAAUUAUUUAUUGAAAAAUAUAGCUAACUAAAUGAUAAAAUAGAAUGAAGACGUAACACAUAAUAAUCCCCCCGAUAAAAUUGAGGUUAAGCAGGCAAUAUGAAAAUUUGCCCAACGUAGAAUGACCGCUCGUAUGAUUUACCCACCAUACCAACACUUCUAUCGACCCAACAAAGCUCCACUGCACACUAAGACCGGAUGUCGAUGCCGGCGGAACAUACACACCAGAGCAUAACAAAACCACAAGCACCGAAUACUUGUAACAAGAGAAGCAAGCCACGGCCAAGCUAAAUUAGAGAGAGAGACGUCCAAUUCCAGUCAUAUAUUUCAAACAUCAAGUGAGCACCAGACAAGACAGAGCCCGCGCUCCGGCGAGCACGCGUUCCGCCACAGCUCAGAGCAACACUGCAAAAAAAAAAAAAAAAACAACGAAUCCCGGAGAGAGGCGUUACCACCAGAGAGAAGCCCCGAGGCUUCGAGUUCACCGAGAUCCUCCGGCCCCCGCCGCCGAACCCGCGGGCGCCCGCCGGGAGCCGGAGCCGAAGCGGCGACAUGGAGGAGGAGGCGGCCGGAUUCUCGCCGCUCAAGCGAGGAAUCGAAGAUGCGGAGAGAGAAAUCGCCAUGGAAACGAGGGACUCGAACGAAGAACGACUACCACGAGCUCUCCAAAUCUCCUUCUUCCUUCUUCCUUUUUUGGAUAAAUCGAAGAGAAAUAUCUUCCCCCCGGCUGCGUCGUCGUCUCGUCCGCGCGUGGAUUCGCGGAGGGAGGGAGCUGGGUUUCUCCGAUCCUUCGCUCUGGCCCCUUUUUAUACGUGACCGGGGGAAUGUUCCGGUGUGAAGCCGCGUGGCCGCCUGAUUGAAUUCAACGGACGGUCAGAGAUGGAUCGCGGCAACUACUCCCGGGAUCCGACGGUCCUGAUUUUUCUUUUUCUUUUUUUGGUUAGCGAAGUCGGGGGUUGGGGAGUGGGGACCACAUCGCGGACACCGGACGAUGCUAGCUAAGGAAAGCCUCCGGUGUUCUUGGAGGCUUUCGGUGACUUUUUUGGUCGCAACUACCCCUCCAAUUUUCAUUCUGGCUUUUCACGGAUUAAUAUUAAAGCUAUCAUAUUCCAUGUGAUUUAUUAUUUGUGAAUAGCAAUAAAUCCAGGGUGAAUAAUUAUUAUUAUUAUUUUAAAACUUCCAUUUGGUUCCCAAAGUGGGCAGGAAAAUAAAUUAUUAAUUUAUGUCCGUCUUGCGAUAAGCCAACAUGAGAGUUAUAUCCGGCAUCAUUAAAACAACCUUUGCAUCGGAUGAGGAUGCGGUAGUUCUAUCAAUAAAGCAAAAGCAUUGUGAAAAAACUCAUUCUAAAUACCUGAAAUAUGGUUUGUCGAUCAAAAUAAAAUGUCUUCUUCGUCAUUUUGAAGGAAAAUCAUUGCAGUGAGAUGGCCAAGGAUAUUAAGGUUAGAUAUGCUUUUGGCUUUCCACAGGAUUUACGUCUUCAAAUUCUUGGUUGAUUUAUUUCUUGUGGUUCUUAGCUAGUGUUAUAUCUAGGAUUCCGAUUCUUCCAUACUUUUCAUGACUAUGAUCUCUUACGAAAUCAGUACUCGAUCGCAUAGCCAAUAGUUUCACUUUACAAGAACUGAAUCGCGCUCAAAGCAUGCGCAAUCAAGAGCCUAGCCUAGCCUAGCUAAUUGGCUAACAAAUGCUAGCAAAACAUGCAUUCAUCUAAUCAAAAUUGGCAAACUAACAAUACAACUGGGUCAAUAGUCCUGCAUCCUCUCUCUAAGUGGAAAAGAAAAGGACUCGAAGUUGCUUUAGCACUCCCAGUAGCUACAGUAGCCAUCAGAGAUAGUUGUACUUCCGUAACUUCCAAUAUCUUGAACUUGAAUUUAUACCAUCUGCUAUAAGUUGAAAGUUAUGACAGUACAAGUGUGAAAAAGAAAAGAAUUAAGCUCUUUUUCUAUAUAUGCCCAGCGAUGAGCUUUAAAGCAUGAUGACAGUUACACUUAGGAUCUCCGCUCUGCACUCUGCAACUCACUAGAAAGGUCAUCUCCCCAAUCAUGGUAAUGUGCAUGUUCAAAUUUAAGGAAAUUAUAACUCAUUCCAUGCACAGAAACCCAUUCACAUAUAAAUGUUUGUAACAGAAUUUUGACGUUUCCACCUCCGCCACCUACAGAUUAAAUCCGUCGAGUUACAAGAGCUCAAUGAAAAUCAUACAGCUAAGGGCUAAAACAGUAACAGGGAUAGGUCGAUGGUUGUCAUACACCCAGCUUUAGCUCGAAAAGGAAAUACCGUUACAUGGUAGCACAAAGUAAAAUAACAUUAAUCCAUGGGAGCCAGAAAAAGAACUCCGAAGCAUACCUCGAUCACCCAUCGCUUGUCCAUGUGAAAGCCAAAAGAACAAUGGUUAGUGCAGAAAAGAUGGUGGCACAAGGAAACACCCACAUGACCCACUUUGACCUUCUGCCAGAACUCUUCUCUUGGGUGCUCAACUCAACCUCCUUGAGCAGCUCUCUCACUCCAUCCAUGUCAGAGUCUUUGGCAGCUUGAAUCAGCCUGCUUUGAAUUUUUUCGAGCUUUAAGAGCCGUCUGUUUCUACGUGCAUCUUUGGGUGGCCAGAUGAAACCUGUCAUCUUCCAUAGGAGGAUACCCACGUAAAUGGCAACUAUACAGUCUACAGUAUAAUGGUGACGUUCCCUUAUCUCUCUUUGGGCACUGUGCAUUACAAGUAGCCAUACAAAGACCGAGCUGAGACCCCCAUAAGCCUCCUGUAAGGAUAAUAGAUACACGAGCAAUCUUCAGAAACUUUUGUCCAAACCAAUAGAACAUUAAAGGAAAGAAAACAUCUGAAAGGAUAUUUGAAGAUACUUGAUUUUGAUUGCUCAGGACUAAAAUGGAGAGAAGGGGUCAAAUGGGGAGGUAAAUUUCCCCUGCUCUUGUUGUGUUUAUUUUGCAGAAGAUGAACGAUUUGGAGUAUAUUUUCCUGAAAAUGACAGUUUGUGUCGCUAAAAAAAAAAAAAGGAAUAAAGAAGAAAUAUUUUCAUCGUCCACGAAAAUGCAUAAACAUAAAUUAUUGCCAAUAAUGAGAAUAUUUUUCAUUACCUAACUAUUUCAAGCAAUACAAACAAUAAUUUUAGCGAUAGUUUUUUCAAAUCAUUCCUUUUCCACCAAAAAAAAAACAAAAAACAAAAAACAAAAAACAAAAAACAAAAAAAACAAGAAGAAGCCUCUUAUAGUCUCCAAUCACUUGUAAAACUGGAGCAAAAGCAAGGGAUGCAGCUGCUUUUCUCUUCAGAUUCUCAUUUUAACCGUCAACACUCAAUUCAGUAAGAAAAUCUGAGAAAUAUUACAUUGAAACAGCUGGAGAGAUUGUGCUCUUCCAGACUUUUUGUUUCUUCUAUUUUCCAUUACCUCAGCCCACCACCCAAAGAAUUCUUUGCCAAGCAAAGAGUUAUCUUGAAAGGAAGAGGAUUUCUCUGCGAAGAAUGCAGAAUUGACAACUAGAGUUCAGGGGGGUACCGUCCAAGCCAUAGCUGUAAGUACAGCAACAAGCAUGUGGCCACUGUACAUGAGGUCAUUGCAACCACCUCCAGCUUUCUUCAGCAGACUGAACCAUGAAGACCCUUCAGAGACCGUUGGUCGCAAAAAAUCGAUGAGGAAGCUCAUUGCCCCCCAAUCAGGCCGGUAUUCUCCAAGGUAACUGCCAGUAUCAGCUGUCAAACACAGAAAACUAUGAGGUUGAUUCACAUGGGUUAAGGAAAUUUACUAGUUUGAAACGCAGACUACAACAGUGAAUUUCAUCCUUAACAAGAUUACUUACAUGAUUUAUAAGUUUUCCAUCAAAAAAUUCCACUUGACCUAAACUCCCGGAAUUUAAUAUUUGUAAGUAAUCGGCAUUUAAUUAUUUUGUGAAACAAAAAAUGAUAUGUAUGUAUAGUGAAUCCAAUGAUAUGCUUAAAGCCUAUCAAAAGAAAACAAUACGAACUAUUCAUUUGAAAUUCAAGAAGUCAAAAAUCUAGAGCGAGCAGACAACUGCAGAAAAUUGCAAUUUCUAAUCUGCUUGGAUGGUCAGGGAAGAAUAUUGUCCUAAACUCUCCUAUGAGAAAACAAGAGAGCAAGACAGACUAUGGCAAACAUAUGCCAUUAAAAUAUUCAACAUACCAUAUGCUAUAUCCAAAUUUAUUAUCUUGCGAAUAGUAUCAGCAUCUGAGGCGUAUGGUACAUAAUAUUUCUGGGCCCAACGAUGAGGAUAAGCUGGGACUCUAAACCUAGCAUAGGCACACCAGGGCCGAGCAGAUGGAAGAAUUGUAGAAGCGAAAGUUAUAGCCCGAAGAAGUCGACCAAUCGCCAUGGUGAACAUGUACCUAGCCCCUAGUCCAAGACCAGGAGCUUCUACAGAGUCGAACAACACAGAGAAAGCCAGCAUCAUGAACAGCAUCAGGAAAUGAUGAAGCCCAAUAAUUGGAGCUCUCAAUAUAUCAACGAUUGUCUGAGGAAGUUUUUCAUUUGAUGCUAGAAGCAGCCACUGGCCAGUGUCAGGAAGAGGAGGUGUAUCCCUGUCCAGAACGAAUUUUGCAUUAAAUUUCCUUCUUGUAAAGGUUAAAUUCUAACCUUGCAGGUUUACCACUAUGGUGUGGGAGACUGAAAUCAUAGAAAUCAAAUUGCUGCAUCAUACAUCAAUAAUAUUAUGUAAUUUCCUGCCUAGAUACAAUCGAGGCAUCAUGAUGGAACUUCCAUGGCAGAAAUAGAGCUAUAAAUGGAGCUACCAUAAAAAGAAAGUGAGAAUUUUUUUUUUCUUUUACAAACAAUGGAGAAUGAUACUCAAGUGCAUUAACUUUCCUCCUCAUUGCUGCAUCAAACAGAUCAAUGCAUCACAUUUCAUCACAUGGUUUAUUCAGUGAAGCAACAGUUAUCUAGCCAUCGUCAUCAGUGUCCUCGUCAUUGUUGCAUCAAACAGAUCAAUGCAUCACAUUUCAUCACAUGGUUUAUUCAGUGAAGCAACAGUCAUAGUGCUGGCAGUAUCUAUUCAAGUCAUGUAGAUGCUUUCUGAGUGUACAGAUUUCAUAAAUUUCUGGAGCCAUGCAUCGUUAGAGAUGUUUUGUAAUUAGACUUACAAUCACAUAAGAUAUUACACUUUGUGGACAUUCACCAGAGGCAAAAUGUAAAUCUUGGAAUUUGUUUGAUGUUUACAAGUCCUGCAAUUUCAUCUUGAAAUCUUUUUUGACAAUAAAACGUCACGGCCAAAUUAAUCAUUGUACAUUUUCUUUUUGAAUUUGAGUAGAGACAGCUAAAGAAUAUGAAGGACACUGAAAACAACCUUAUGGCAAAUGGCAGCAGUGUGGCACUUUAGAUAGCAAUCUCUACUCCAGGUUCAGUAUGCCAGAGUAAAAUCAUGCUGCCUUAGUCCGAAUCAAACUUCCAAAUGAAAAUCGACAAGCACAAACACAUGGCAUUGGUGAAUAAUGUUCAUGAGAUGGAGUGCAUGAUACAAAAAUCUUUGAGAUCAUGCAUUAUAAUCCCAUCUUGUAGAGUACCACAUUAAAAUCAUCCAUGAAAUGAAACCAUCAUAAGAUCCAAAAGCCCAUGUUUUGUCUUCAUCUUUGAUGUUCUAACUUCUAAGGAUCACUUUUAAUAAGGAUUCCCAAUUAAGCAAAUUCAACAUUGUGAGACAUCAAAUGGAGUAGAAUAAAUUCACGGAAGAAUGUAAAUAAAACAUAAUCACAUAUGCCUGGCAAUUUGGAAACAUUUUUUGAGUAGCAAAACCUUAAUAAAGCUUGCAUAUAUCAAGAUAGAUGGCAGGAAUGACUCCUGAUUUGCAUAAGCUCAAGAACAUAAAGAGUGCAAGUCCAGACUUUGAAUCCCAUUUCAUCAACACCUUAUGGACUUAUCCACAUAAAAGAGGAAAAGAGUUGAAUAAUUUCAUUAAUUGUUAUUUGUUCAGAAAAACUCUCAUCAUCACGUACUUUUGCUCAUCUGAGUAUUGAUGAACUCAUAUAAAUCAUUCCAAGGCAUGCAUGCGUGCAAAAAAGGAAAGAGGCCGAGCAAAAAUUCUACCUUUGCAAUCUUUUCCGAAAUUCAAUCCCAUUCAAAGAGUAAAAUUUCCAAGAAUCAUGGGUUCAUAAUUGAAUAAACACCCCAUAUGGAAACAUCUGUAGAGAGCAGCAGACACUAAACAGAAAGGUUCCACUCAAGACAGCAUUUAAUUAUAGUUGAAAAAACGUACUAAUUAAUGAUCAUGUAUCCAUAAAUAGAUUCAUUCAAAUCUCAAGUUGCAAUCUUUCAUCGAAAUCUUCCCAAAAAAGUCCAUUAUUUCCAAUCGAUCAAGAUGACUUGCAAUCGCACAAACAACUUCCCCGUCUUCGACAUCGCAAGCCGAAUUCGCGUUCGGCAACGAAAUCGAACUCAACCGCAACCCGAAUUCGAGCUCACCGAAGUUCAGAUAAACGCAAUUCGAGCUAACGGAACUCCGAUCCAGGCACAAUGGAACUAGAAAAAGGGACCGAAGUCAUCGACUGAGCUCGGCUAGAAUCACCUGUGCCAGUCCAAGCCGAGCACGGCGGUGACGGAGCGCACGGAGAGAGCUUCGAAGAGGAGGGCCAGGAGCAUGAACACCAUGGAGGCGACGAAAGGCAGAGCGGAGCGGAACUCGGCCGACCAGUGCCGGUAGUAGGGGACGCGGGAGACGGCGACGAGGGCGAGCACCGACCAGAGCGCCGGCUGGAGGCGGGCGUGCCACGCCGGGGACAGGCGGCGGAGGUAGUCGACGGCGACGUAGGACAUGGCGGCCACGCCGAGGCCGCCGGAUCGCGGCGGCGCCCGCCAUCGCAUGGCGGCGCCGAUGGUGGUUGGACAAGUAGCGAGCUCCGAUCCAGUAAUAGUGUAAUGGCUGAACACUCCGCUGCGCCUUCGCUCGUCCUAGAAAGUAGAAAGGCUUUACUAAUGUUUUGUCGAACUUUCAUUAAUUUUCAAUUUCUUUUUUUUUUUUUCUAUUUUUCGAGACUUAAAGUUUCCUUUUGGAUCAGUUCACUUAAUUAUGUUUUAUGCUUUUAAUGUUGUCAACACGUGUAAAUUAGAUUUUUUAAAUUGAUAACAAAAUGAAGAAGUAUACUCAUUUUAAUGUUAAUUAGCAAUUAGAUUUGAAAUCGAAUCGAAUAACCACGAAGAUAAUUUUUUAAAUCAGCUCAGUUCAACUUGAUUAGUAAAUAAAUCUACUUUGGAUUGAACUCGAAAUCAAAUUCGUAAAGUCUGCUAUUCACUAUAAAAUCUCACUCUUCCACUCUAAAAACUCUCUCAUCGAUUUGAGCAACAAUAUUGCCUAGAAAACAUGACCUUUAAAACAAAUAAGGGAAAUCCUCUUAUAUUCAAACUAAUAGAUUGCAUUCAAAAUUUACUAUAUUCAUAUUUACAUGUGGUUCAAAUAUGCUUGUCUUAUAAUACAAAUACAAUUGCCACAAUUUUCUUGUCAGCAGUUAAUAUCAUGUAAUAUUGUUUUAGGAAAUCUUUUCUUAAAAAUUUGCUUGAUGAUAAUGAAUGUUAAGAAUUUUUAACAUGCUUAACUAUAUCAUGCUGUUAAUUUUUUUUUUUUAAAUAUCUAUCAAUACAAGAACGACAUGAAAAUAAAUAACAUUGGAUGAUUAGAUCCACCGAAGACAAUGAAAGCUAAGCAGUUAAAAUUACCCGAUUGUGACAUAAUGAGCUAUAUUAAAGUUAUAAUUAAAUCAAAUGCAUUAGUUAAAACUAGCAUAUACUUCUUUUCAUUUUUACUUGCGCUUAGACUAUUUUCAGAUUUGGAGAACAUUCUAUGUAUAGACACACAAAACUCAUUAACCCAAUAACUAGUUGGCUAUCUGUCAAAUAUGGAUAAGAGGGUCACUAGUUUUAUCUCAAAUUGGGAAAAAUGAAAACUAAAAGAAGAAAAAGAAACCAAACAAAAUCAAGAAAAUAAAGGCAAGAUUUAAGCUUAAAUCAAGAAUUGAUCCCACAUUAGACAUUAGAGUCUUCAUUGUGCAAUCAAGUUGUGAUUGGAAAAUUUUACUUCCAAUAGCACGUUAAAGUGGGACCCAUAAUGUGAUAAAUGCAAGAUGAUAGAAGUAUCUUUCAUCGUAUUUGGGAUUGAAAAUGCGCUAGCCUUUUCUAAUUUAUGAAUAUAGUUAUUCAAGUAGUCUCGGGAGCAUCUCAAAUGAAGCACUCCUGAACAUACUUUUGUCCUGAGACCUGUUAAUUAAUGGCCAUAAUGAAUAAACCAACCUCAUCAUUCAUAUAUCUGCACUUGUCUUUUGUUUACUAUGCUGGAGUCAUGGGAUCCUUCCCCAGCAGGCUUUCCAUUAGUUAUGGAUAUGGACUCUGUUAAUCACGGACUGUGAACAGCUUAACGCAUCACCAUGAGGAAAUUCAUGUGAAUUCAGUCGAAUUAGUAGUAAUGUUUCGCAGAAAUGCAUCGCUCAAUUCAGGAACGGUGGCAUUCUCCAGCAGGAAUUAUCAUCCAAACAGAAGAAGAGGUUCUUAUUGCUAAUGUCACUGCUCAUAUUCAUAGUGAUCAGGAUCAUGAGACAAAUCCUUGGGAUUCUUACAAGACAAUAGUCUUCACAUCGAUUUAGUUAUCGGGCAGGACUUAUUCGCAAGCCAAGUUUCGCAGAUUGCCUGGCAAAGUUCGUCGCUCCUUCACUUAUUGUAGAUUUUGAUGUCUCUCCACCUCGAUUCCAUGUAGUAGCUUAUUUUAGUCGGCGCCCCAUACACUCCACACUUGAAGUACAGAUCGCCCGGCCCUUUGUCGGCCACCUGGAACACUUGAUUCCCGUCAAGAAACACGGUCACUUUCCCUCCAUCGACGUCGUGGAUUAUGUUAAGCCUGAACCACCUGUCGUAAAGGCCGGUGGCAAUAAGGUUCCCGCUGUAGUACCGCAUGUCCCCAUCAUAGAUCCUCAGGAUGAUGGUAGUAGCUCCGUGAGCUGCGCCAUGUAUUUGGGCUAUCGUGGCGCCAGAUGUCCCAUUGGGCACAAAACCGUGCCCUUCGAAUUGCCAGACUCCAGAUGAGUAGUCUAGACCCUGCCAAAUGUGUAACCUUGGAGCUUACAAAGACGUGGUAAAAAAAUCGAGGAGGGAACAGAGAAAUCCGGCCAGAAUUAGAAAAGAUUCUGCUAAUCCGAUCAGUUUCUGGUUCAGUCAAUCACUACCGCAACGAUGAACCGUAGGGGGGUUGGAGGAUUACUUUGAUCCGAACUUCGGUGCGUGGUUGAGUGUGACUGCUUGGAUCGUGGGGCUUGUCGUCGGCGUAGACCCACAGCUUGCGCACCCCAUCCACAAAGCUGUAGCGCUCAUCCAGUGGAAUGUUGUAAUGCUUCUGCAGCUCGAAGUUUGCAUCUGUCAACGGUACCUCAGUGAAACCGUCCGUAGGAUCAGCAGAACAGAACAGAUUGGAUUUCGAAUAAUGACUCGAGACCAGGACGACAAAGAACAACAGUACAUGGCUAAAAGGAAUUUCCAUUUUUCUUUCUUGUCAGUCUUGAGAAAUUGUUGAGGAACUAGUGAAGGCAAAGCUUCUAUAUGUAGGGACGGCAUAAACAAUGUAGGAACCAGAUGAUUUUUUAAUCUUAACACAACAGGGCAGAUCCUUUGGUGAUCUUUCCUUGGACAGACAUGCUUGUCCUUUUGACAAUCUGAACGACCAUGUCUCACCUAUGUAAUCUAAUGUGUAUGUACAAGUGAUUCCUAGGUUCUGAGAAAGUGUAUGACCGUCCAAUUAUGUCAAUGUAAAAGGGUUGAAUGAUGCUCCAUCACUAGUCCUCAACAGCUUUGUUGCUGGUUGGGCGGUAAGGGGCUCUAUAUAAAUUAAUAGUUUUAGAUCUCUCUGAUCCGUUAUUGAUCUAAUGUGGAGAAAGAUAUGUUCGUUAUACCUGUCAUGACUUGUUUAGGAAUGUUCAAUUCAUGGGGUGGCUGGAGCAUUACAGGAGGGACUAUGGCGAAUCCAAGUAUUUGGAGUUACGAAGGCAUGGCCAAUGCACAUAUCCUGUUUUCUAGUUUGUGCUUCUUGGCAGCUCCCUGGCAUUGGUUGUAUUGGGAUUUAGAAAUAUUUUGUGAUGAGCAUACAUGAAAACCUUCUUUAGAUCUGCCAAAUCCCUUGAUUGGAAGUUAAGGGAUACGCAGAUACUACAAAUGAUUAAUUGAUCUCUUUUUCUACAUUUGGAGGUCUCUCGGUUCGCCCAAACCCCACGAGUAAAUAGAAAGUUGGAUCUACAUUAGAUCUCACCUGAAUUGCUCCAUCUAUCCUCCUAAGGAGAGGUUUGGCUUGGAACUGGUAGCAGGUUUAGUUUGUUAAUUAUUGUUUAUGGAUUCCAACAAUGGCAGAUAUGUCGUGGAUUCUUUCCGAGGGUAGGUAUUCUUGCACUCCAUUACAUUGACAUUUGACAUAAACAAUGCUUCCCUGAUAUUUUGGCCUGAUAAAUGCAAACUUGGUUUCUGUCUUUUCUAUCAUACAGUGACGAACAACAAUAUCAUGCCGAAUAUGCACUUUGAGGUCCAUUGCAAGUUGUUUUCAUUGCCUCAGCACAUCGCUUUCACACCACAUCGAAUAUUUACCGGUGCCAUUUUAUCAUGGUCAUCUUCAUCAAUUUCAUCCAUCCGUGUUUGUGGGGGUUUAGACACAAGUUCAUUAAAAUACAAAUUAAGAGCUUAGAGAGUUUUGUUCAUUUUUGGCACAGCUAAGUAUGCCACUGUUUCAUUUACAUCGAGCAGUCACACAAAAUUCUCCAAAAUUUGGAGAAGGCCGAAAUGAAUCUUCUUGGUUCACGCAUUCUGCUGUAAGUUCAUGCAGAGAAUCCAAUGAUCACAGGGAGACACGCGCUUGGCAUUGUUUCCUUCUGUUUUCUUGUUCAGUAAGUCUGAUCACGCCGAUUAAAGUCUCUGUGUGCUAAUCGAAUACCAUUAGAAUGUGGCUCUUUCCUCUUUGAUGGAACUCUCAGUUCUGGAUUCCGAACGCUUGGAAUCGUCUCCUUCUGUUUUCUUCUUCAGCAAGUCUGAUUACACCGAUUAAAGUUUCUGUGUGCUAAUCGGGUACCGUUAGAAUUUGGCUCUUUCUACUUGAUGGAACUCCCAGUUCUAGAUUCCCAAAAAACUGGAUAAUUUACAGCUCAACAGUCGGACAUUUCAGAUGACUGGGGGCACGCAGAACAUACACGAAGGCCAACUAUGAAUGUUACUAGAAUGUAAAUAAACCAAGGGGCAAGUCAAUGAUUCUUGAGUGAUCCCAUCAUUAACUAUGCUGACUGAUCUACAAGAAGCAGAUGAAAAAUCAUAGUCACGACAUGAUCUUCUGUCAAAUUUCUCGGAUACCUCCUAUUUUCACUUUCCAUUAAAGGAUUGAUCCACUUGAUCUGUCAGUUCUUAUAUAUAAAAUAGAAUAAAAUCUAACCGCAACCAUAGGAGAGAUCUAAAAAUGGAAAUUUAGAUUUAGCAUGAAGAGAUUGUGCCACUUUUUGUUUGGCUGAACAAGACGGGGGACGAGGGUGCUAAUAAAUUUGUGAGCUAGUUGAUUAGCGCAUGCAUAGAGGCUCAUCAACGGAGCUGGUGUCACAUAUGUGGAGUGACAGAGAAAGAAGCUCCGGGAAUUCGUCUUUGAGAGCUAUUUGUCGAUUAGCAUGUCUUUUCCUAAUUCGACGUGUUUAGACCACCUACAGCUAACUGUAUAUUCAGCCCACGCUUCAUACUUUGGACUAACUGCAAUUUCUAGCACUUUUCUGCAAUAAGCUGACUUUGCAGGUCCCUUGUUUUGCAUAUCAUAGCCUUAAUCACCUCACAUGAGAAGGCAGCUUUGGAUGCAACAUCCUAGAGUUCUCUGUGGUAGAAAGCUUUCGGUUGAUUAAUCAGUUAAGAGGCAUUAACUCAAAGCCAAGCGGCACAAAACCAAAACAACCACCUAACAGAUGAAGAGGUUUUUGACUAAGAGUAAAUUUUGGCAACACUUUGAACUUUUGGUUAGCUCAUUGUGACCCUGCUGACUUUCUUUGCUAGCCAAGUUGCCCUUUAAGUACUCUCUCACUUCUUGUAUAUUUUGAUGUCCUUCCACCUCGAUUCCAUGUAAUAGCUCACGUUUGGGGGCGCGGCAUACACUCCACACUUGAAGUACAAGUCGCUGGGGCCACGAUCUUGCGUCACGAGCUUUAGAGUCCCGUCAAGGUAAACCUCCACGAUGCCUUGAUCCCUGUUGUGGAUCACGUUCACCCUGAACCACUCGUCGUAAAGAUUGGUCGCAAUCAGAUCGCGAAGGUAGUAUCGUACAUCACCUUCAUACAUCCUUAGUAUCAGAGUAGUGGCGUGCCCCAUGCCACCAUGGAUCUGCAGUAUGAUGGCUCCGGAGGUCCCAUUUGGCGCGAAACCAUGGCCCUCAAAUUGCCAUACCCCAGAUGAGUAGUCAAGCCCCUGUGAGAAAGUACGUUAGGAUCAAGUCGAUGACAAAUCUUGAUGUGAGUUUCUGAAGCCAGACCGACCAGAACUCCCAACACCAUAGUGCAGGUAUCCGCAUAAGAAAAGAAAAUUCAAAGUUCUUAAAUGGAGGGAUCGCGAGAGUACUCUUAUGCGAAUUUCCGUCCGCGGCAUGGUCUUACUGUCAGGUUCAUGCGGUCUAUCAUCUGCAUAGACCCAAAGCCUCCUAAUUCCAUCUGUGAAACUAUACCUCUCCUCCAACAGCUGGUCAUACGGUUUCUGUAUCUCGAAGUUCGACUCGGUCAGUGCACGAUGGUGAACCCAUCAAUGGGAUCGGCGCAGACACAAUCUAUUUCAAUGAUAUAAAAGAGGAUGAGGCCCAGGAUCAGAUGUGAAGGACGCAUCUUCUUCAGUUAUUGAUCCUGUGAAGUUACAAGGAAAAGCUGAGCUAUGUACUGCUAGGACUAUCAAAUCCACGAAUGAGAGACAACACAAAAGCCUAGAACUUUUUUCUGCACCAGUGUCAGCGUCUUGUUGCCUCAAUUAGAAAGCUUUUACGUAGCCCCUAACACCAAGAAGAGGUCAAAUGCUUGGUGCAGAUUGAAGCUUUGGUUCUAUUACGCGGAAAAUCAGAGAGCCUGCGGUAAGAGAGAAGAAGGAAGAGUGGAGAAAUAGAGAGAAGUAGAGAGAAAAAAAAGAGAGCUCGCGAAAGCCAACAAGGGGCUUUUGGCUUCUAUGUUCCCCAAGCCCUACACCUAUGGGAAUAUAUUUAUAUUGAAUAUAAAUCGUACAAAACCAUAAUGUUUAUAUGUAUGUAAAAAGAAAUAAAAACCCAGAAAAUAAAACUGACACCAAUCAAGUUACAUAACAAUUUUAACGGUUGCCAAUUGAGGACGACAAAGUUUGCUGUGUCACUCAACUAAAUUAUGGCAGAAAGCUCCAAACUUUGUUGACUAAGACUUUCUUCCUGGAUUGAAGGCCAUGUCUCCCUUUUCGUGUUUUUGUCAGAUUGGAAUCAAAUUUUGGGGAUGGCAUGAAGACUCUUAUGCUUACGUUGAAUCAGAAUAAGUACAUCAGGAGUGCUAUAACUUUUGUACAGCGCUCAUUUAAACAUUAUGAUUUUUUUUUUGUUCACUUGAAUGUCACAGUUUUAAAAAAUCGAUCACUUAAGUGCCAUUAACAAUUUGCCUCGCUAAAAAAGCCAACCUAAUUCUAAUUUAUAAUACGUCAUCCAACAUACACAGAAAGUUGAAGUGAGCUAAGAAGACAAAUAUGUUGCUUGAUUAUUUGAUUGAAGAAUGGCAACAAUUCUAACAAUUUCACGAUAACCAUUUCAGUGCCAUAAAAUUUUAGAAGUAACCACUUAGGUUCAUCAAUUUUUUUAUUUUUUUUUAAGAAACCACUUAAGUGAUAAGAAAAGAGAGAGAGUUUGAAAACGACAUCAUUUGAGGAAGAGAGAAUCUAAAAAUGACGUCAUCUGUUUGUAAAAGAUUUUAAAGAAGCAACAAGAAACAACAACAUUUGUUGUAAUCUUGUCAUGUUGGACAAAAAUUUCCACGCUACAUUUCGGUUUAUUUUUAAAAAUUCCACAUCAGAAUGGAAAAUUAAGAAACAAGUCCUUGUAGGCUAAUUUACCGAAAAUGACCAAUGUGUCAUUUAAGUAAAUGAAAAAAAUAAUUAUGACAUUCAAGUAAGCAUUGUACGAAAGUUAUAAUAUUUAUAUUCUUAUUAAAUCAACAUCUGCUCUAAAUUUUCUUGGAAAGAAGAGAGCUUUGAAUUAAAUAGUAUUAUCUUAUAUCAUGAAUAUAUUUUUUUUGACAUAUCAUUUUACGUUAACUUUGUCUCGUGAGAAACUUGUCAAACUGAAACCUAAUAUGUUAACCAAAAAACUCAAUUUUUAUACUGUAUUGGAUCUUAUUAAUAGUGGCUUAAAAGUACAAACUAAGACAUUAAAAAUAAUUAAUAUGUUUAUGUCUCCAAAGCAUAAUUUAUGACCUUUAACGAGUGCUUGAAGGGCACUCUUUGCCAUUCUCGUUUUACAUUUAAUGAAGCGAAAACGAGCAGUGAUUUGCAAAAGUAACCAAUAGUUCAUUUAACAGAUAAACUGAAAAUACGCAUGACAACUUGGUCUCUUCUGCUAGAGCGCCAGGUAAAGAAUCAAGCCAAUCCAGUUAAACCCCGUUGAAGUCAAGCUCGAUGGAUUGCAUAAAAUGGUAAAAGAACCAAUGCCCCCCGAUAAGUAAUCCUAACGGACCAUAUAUCCAAUCUCCGACGACCAUGAACUUUCAUUUAUUCUAUACAAGAAGCCAGGAAUUAAUCUUAAAAUGAUCUCACGUUGUCAUUUUCUUUACUUCCAAAUCCUUCGCUCGCUUUGUUGUUGCGAGACACAGAUACAAGUACUCUUCAAGCUCGUCCACUCGCUCCUGAAAUGCGAUGUUCCUCGUCCUGAGCUCGUUCGCCAAUGGCUCAGAAGUCUUUCCGUCCCUUCUUGUCAAACAUAGAUGAACCAUGGCUUUAUUAUGCUUGAUCUCGUCACCAAGUUGCGAUACUAGCUGUAACCAUAAUGUAGGGGUGUAAAUGGUUCGGUUCAGAUUGGUUUUUUUGAAGAACCGAACCGAACCGGACCAAUAAGGAAAUUUGCGCUCAUUGCCGUGAUAUCCAUUUGUUCUUCGACUUUCUCGAGAAACCGAGUCCAUGCAAAUCCGAAUGAGUUGGACAUUCUUUUCAUUCUUAUCUAGUAGUAUAUAUAUAUAUAUAUGUGUGUGUGUACACACACAAAACUCAUUAACACAAUAUCUAGUUGGCUAUCUGUCAAAAAAGCUAUUUUUCUUUGGAAAAGAGUUUCGCUAGUUUCGUCUCAAAAAAAAAAAAAAACAAACAAACAAACCAAAGAAAAAAGGCGAGAUUCAAGCUUAUACCAAGAGUGGACCCCACAUUGGACCUUAGUCUUUGUUGUGCGAGUAGUAAUUGAAAAUUUUCACUUCCAACAGCAUGCUAUAAUGUGACAUAUUCAAGACAUAGAUGUGUCUCCAGUCGUAUUUGAGAUUGAAUAAGCUCGCGAGUCUUUAAAUAGUCUCGUGAGCAUCCCGAAUGAAGUACUUUUGAACAUGCUUUUGUUCUUUAACACCUGUUGAUGAAUGGCCAUACUCCAUAAACCAACGUUAUCAUUCAUAUUACUGCAAUAGUAUUUUGUUCACUACGAUGGAAUCAUGACAUCCUUCCCUAGUAAUCUUUCAAUUAGUUAUAAAUAUGGACUCCGUUGAUCACCAAUUGUUAACAACUAAAUGUGUCGCGCAAGGGAUUCAUAUAUAACUUAUGUGGAUUCAGCUGGUUGUUGAGAAAGAUAACAGAAAAUCAGUUGAAAGAUGCCAAGCCCCAGUCAAAUCAUAAGGCAGUGUGUCCUGAUCCUACCCGAACCGACCCGAAAAACAUAAUACCUGAAGCAAUAAUUCGGGUCGGGUGGGGUUUUGAGUUUGCGUAUCCCCCCUCUUCCCCCUUUUCCUCUCUUUACCUCUUCUUUAUCGCCCAAUGAGUUUUAGGCUAAAACUCGUGUAUGGAGCGCCAGCUAACAUAAGCUCGUUGCCUUUCACUUCAUGUAGAUUUUGAUGUCUCUCCACCUCGAUUCCAUGUAGUAGCUUAUGUUAGCUGGCGCCCCGUGCACUCCACACUUGAAGUGCAGAUCGCCAGGCCCUUUGUCGGCCACCUGGAACACUUGGUUCCUGUCAAGAAACACGGUCACUUUCCCUCCAUCGACGUCGUGGAUUAUGUUAAGCCUGUAUCACCUGUGGUAAAGGCCGGUGGUGAUAAGGUUCCCACUGUAGUACCGCGAGUCCCCGUUGUAAAUCCUCAGUAUCAGGGCAGUAGCUCCAUGAGCUGCACCGUGUAUCGGGGCUACCAUAGCGCCGGAUGUCCCAUUGGGCACGAAACAAUGCCCUUCGAAUUGCCAGACUCCAGAUGAGUAGUCUAGACCCUGCCAAAUAUGUAACCUUGGACCUUACAAAGAUGUACAAAAUCGAGGAGGGAACAGAGAAAUCGAGACAGAAUUGGAAAAGAUUCUGCCAAUUCAAUCAGUUUCUUGUUCAAUCAAUCACUACCACGAGGAUGAACCGUGGUGGAUUUGAGAAUCACUUUGAUCUGAACUUUGAUGCAUGGUUGAGUGUGGCUGCUUGGAACGUGGGGCUUGUCAUCGGCAUAGAACCACAUCUUGCGCAACCCAUCCACAAAACUGUAGCGCCCCUCCAGUGGCAUGUCGUAAGGCUUUUGCAGCUCGAAGUUUGCAUUUGUCAAUUUUACCUCAGUAAAACCAUCUGUAGGAUCAGCAGAACAGAACAUUAUGUAUUUUGGAUUAUGACUCGCAACCGGGAUGACAAAGAACAACAGAACAUGGCUACAAGGAAUCUCCAUCUUAGUUUCUUGUCUGUCUUGAGAAAUUGUUGAGGAACUAGUGAAGGCAAAGCUUCUAUAUGUAGGGACAACAUAAACAAUGCAGGGACCAGAUAUGAUUUUCUAAUCUUGACACAACAGAGCAUAUCCUUUGGUCUUCUUUCCUUGGACGGACAUACUUGUCCUGUUGACAAUUUGAAUGACCUUGUCUCAUCUAUGUAAUCUUGUGCAUAGACAAGUGAUUCCUAGUUCAACGGUUGAUAAUCGAGGAUGACAAAGUUUGCUGUGUCGCUCACCUAAAUUUUAUGCAGAACGCUCCAGACAUUUGUUGAAUAAAAGACUUUCCUUCCUGGAUUAAAGGCCAUGCGCUUUUCGUGAUUUUAUCAGAUUGGAAUCAAAUAUUAGAGAUGGCCUGAAGACUCUUAUGCUUAUAUUGAAUCAGUAUCUACUCUAUAAGUAUUUGGAAAGGAGAGCGCUUUGGAUUAUAUUGGAAAGGCGUGCUGGUUAGGGUUACCGAUUGGACUGGUUAGAACAAUAGAGGGAAUGAUAAUUAACUCCGAGGUGAUUGUAUUCAUGUCGUUCCUUGAGCAUUCAUCAUCACUAAGCAUCGAAUGCUCUUCGCACUAUGUGGUUCCUUGCUUUGAUUUGCUGGAUCCAAGUGAGAGGGUCUAUGCAUAUACUCGAGUUCCGCGGGGAUCAAAUCAAAGCACCCCAGUAUAUGAGAUGUUCUUUCAUGGGAGUGCAGUGAAGACGGCACUUGAUGAGCAUUCGCAGGAAAUUGUCCUUUUGUCAUACAAAUAGAUGAAAGAUUAGUUCGGAAUGCAUUAAGGUACUCUUCAUUGACGUCUAUGCUUUUCCGAGCGUCCUUUAGUUCUUCUCUAUCUGAAGCAUCUGCAAAAUGCAUUGACAGGUCUGCAUCAUGUUGCUGUAGACGAGGUAAGACUUGAUUAAUUCUAACAAACACAAGCUUAUUAUUAAAGUCAUUUUGUUAUUGUGCAGGCUUAUUCUAAUAGAUUACGCCAAUCGCAUCUCAAAAAAUGGAGCAAACCAUCACAAACCAUAAGUUACUGUACUGAUUUUUUUGGUGCUCGGUUUCGACCCAACCCAUAUUGCGAUUCGAUUCAGUCCACGGACGACUUCAUCUAUAGCACGAGUUUAUAUCCAUUGUCUUUGGUGGAAAUACAAAGAUGAGGGUGAACCUUGGAUUAGAGAGUUAACUUCACUCCUUAAAAUCAACCAUUUUCAGCACUUGAAUGAACUGAGAAUCAUCAAAAGCAAGCAUAAGUAUAUUAUACCUUCGAAAUCAAGUGUAUACGCUAUAUUUGCCGAAAAGUGACAUACUUUUAAUGUUCAUGCUAAGAGAUUAAUGCUUGGGACUUUAUUUAGAUUGUUACAACAAUUUUUUUCUUUUUAUAUUUGCUAGGCAAAAGGCUAGGAAGGGCGACCAGUAUCAACAACCCCUUAAAGGUAAUUUUGCAUAAUGACGCAUCACUAAAAUGUCCAUGGCCGUGACACUUGAAAUGCCUCUUCCAUCUACUUUUAUAUGGAGCUCUUUAUCAUACUCCAUAAGUUUCUCCUCUUCAUAGGAAGAAAUACACCAUAAAUAUCUUAACUUGUGUACAACACUUACUAUAGUGCCACAAUUUUUUGUCGGCUUACUUAAGUGCCACUUUAAAAAAAAAAAAUGAUCACUUAAGUGCCAACUCGGAUUUGAGUCAAACAGAAAUCUAACGUGAUAAUAUUUUAAUGAUUUAUCAAUCCUACGCGGCUUGCUAAUGUGCUCAAUCAGCAUAUAAUCUCUAAAUGAUGUCGUAUAGCAAGUUAAAAAGUGACCACUUUAAUGUCAAUUUUAAUGAAAAAGUAUCAUUUCAGUGCCAAAAAACCCCCUAAAUGAUGUCAUGUAGCAAGUUAGGAAGUAAUCAUUUUAGUGCUUGUUGUUAAAGGAAAAAUGAUCACUUCAAUACCAAUUACUAUUAAAAAGUGAUCACUUCAGUGCCAAUCUUAAUGAAAAAGUGAUUACUCCAGUGCCAAAAAAUAACACAUAACAUUUUUAAUUAUAAAAGUUAUGUAAUUUCUCUCACUAGAAUUUUUCGCAAAGAGGCACUUAAGUAAUCGUUUUUGUCCAAUUUUGGCAUUUAAGUAAGCUGGCAAAAAAUUGUGGCACUAAAGUGAGUACUGUACAUAAGUUAAGACACUUUUGGUGUACUUCUCUUCCUCUUCUUACUCUUGUUGUGUAGAGCCUAUUUGAUAAUACUCUUGAGAAUAACCAAUUUUGUUCUUUUGUUCCUCAAAACAAAAAAAGAAAAGAAAUCUAUUUGAUAAAAAAUUUAUUCUUGGAAAUAGAUUUGGAAUAAAAUCAAGAAGUGAAAAAAAAUAGCUUUUUGUUCUCUGGAACAAUUUUUAGAAUCAAACCAAACUUUUUCUUUUUUCUUUUCUUUUCUUCUUUCCUCCUUCUCUCUUCUUCAUCUUCCUCCAAACUAUGUCACUGGUGGCUGGUGACUGGCUGGGCAAGAUUCGGCGAGCUCGCCAACGGCUCGCUUGGCCAAGGCAAGCCUCGACCUUGCCAAGGCAGCGCGAUGUUGGCCUUGCCAAUGACUAAUUGAGGUUGACCUCGCUAGGUCCGAAGCAAGACUAGGUCUCGCUAGGCUAGGGCGACGUUGACCUUGCAUCGCCUAGGCAAGGUUGAGCCUUGCUGGUGGCCUAGCGAGCCAAGGUUUGCUGUGGCUAGGUAAGCUUGCCGAACCUCACCCAACCAAUCAUCAGCCACCGCUGCAGUCUGCGACCGGCCACAAAGAAGAAGGAAGGAGAAGAGAAAAAGAAAAAGAAAAAGAAAAUAUAAUAAAGUAUCUAAAAAUUAAAAGAAACAAAAAAAAUUAAGUAUCCUGUCGAAUGUAUUUCUAUCCCGAGAAUAUAAAUUUUAUACAGUUACCAAGCGUCUUCAAAAACUCAAAAAUUGUUCUUGGAAACAGAAUAAACAAAUAUCAUUUUUGAGCAAAAAUUACUCUCCAGAACAUAAUGAUUACCAAAUGCGCCCCAAACAUCAUCAUUCCUAUCUCGCCGGAUUCUCUAAGCAGUUGAGUACCCACUCUAUUUGUCUUUGAAGAUUCUCUAUGGCACAGUCUUGCCUUUCGUUAUGCGCUUUCUCCAAAGUCAAGCCUCUUAGAACUAGAUCAUUCAUUUGAAGUAUGAGUCUAACGACAGAAAGGAAUAACUCAAAACAAGUUCAACUUGAGCUAUGUUACCAAUUUUAUGCGUGUGCGGGUGAGUGAUUUUGGAAAUAAGGACUAUUAAGGUUAAGUGCAUGGAUAGGUGUGUUAAGUGAUUAUGAAAUGAUGCGUAAUGGAUGAAGGAUAUGGGAAGGUUCACCACCAAGGCAUAAAGGCACAAGCCACCAACCAAGGAUAAAGAACCAGUAUAGUGGCAGCUCACCACCAAGGCAUAAAUAAUGUUUACAUUUGAGAACUCUCCUCUAAUUAUAGAGGAACAAAGACAUAGAAAAUAGACAAAUAUUAAAGAGACAUGGGGACUCCCCGAAUAUUAAAGACAUAGGAACUAGAAAGCAAUUAAAGUCUUAGGAACUAGAAAGCUUAAUAAAGAUUUAGGAACAAGGAAAUGUAUUUAUGAGAUAGAGACUUGAAACCUUGACUCUUCAACCUUGUGGUUCAUCUUCCAAAAUUCGUCCACCAGCUUGAUCAUAAAAUAACCAUUUUGGGAGAUCAACAAAUAUCUAAGGAAAUUGCUCAUAAUUGAUUUUCAUCGAUAUGUUUUUGAUUAGCUAUGAAAUCAACAAUUAGUCUGGUCAAUCAAUAUUUUAAUGCUUGAUCGGCAAGGGAAGAAUCGACAACUCCUUAAUCAGUAGCUUGGUGGUCAAUUGGUCACCAUGAAAUUAAUAGCUCAUCGAACCGACAACUCUUUUGCUAAAUCAACAUCUUCAACUUGAACCCAUCAAGUUAGAUUGUAGUCAAAAUUGGCAUUUUGCUUCCAAACAUAGAAAUAAGUCUGAUUAAUCGACAAAAUCUGAGCUGAGCUCGUGAGUUGAUCGAUAGAGCUCGAUACUCCCACAUCCGCUUAGGAACAAAGAUAUUGAAAGAAAAGACCAAGCAAGAUAAUUUUCCAUUAGAACAGUGAAACUAAGGUUACAUGUUGUCUACAAAAUCUCUCACUUCCUUUUGGAAAAUCGUCAUGUCUAGCUCUAAGCAACUAUUAUCAAACACUAACUGGUUCUUAGCACGUCGAUGUUCGGCCAACUCUUUGUUUAGUCGAUACUGCUCGUCAAAAAUAUCAAGAUGACUUUCCAGAGUUCUGGCUGCCUGAAUUAUCUGGGCAGCCUUGAGUCUGCGUCGGCGUCGGACGUCGAUCAGUUGUCUCUCUAACGCAUCCAGUUGUCUCUCCAACUUGGUUUCCUCAGCAGCAAGGUCAUUCUGUUCAUCGACCAACGCUUCUAGGGUAUGCCGACUAUCUUUCAAAGUUUGGUCAAAUCUCUCGAUAAAAUCGUCAGAAUGUUGAUAGUCUUUCUCCAAGUCUGCCAAGGCAGCGAUCCUUUCGCGGUUCUGUCGAUAAGUAUCUAUUCCACCAGGAAAUUUAGUCAGAAAGUCUUCGCAACGUUUUCUGAAUUCAGGGGACUUCGAGAAUCGGAUAUCACCACCACAUAAUUCCCCCAAUAAGGCUUUAAACCUUUCAGUCGUGGCGGGAUUGGCUGCAAUUAACGGAUAUCCACCCUUGGACAGUUCAAGAAACUCAGCCCAUUUGUGCUUGACCACGUCGUCGGUAACGACAAGUAUCGAUGAAGCCUCGGGUGGGGCAGUGUCAAAACUAACAGCUUUAGAACGUAAGACUUUCACAGACCUAAAAUUUAAAAAAAUAAAAUUUAAAAAAAAUAACAUAUAAAAAAAGUAUAAGGCUUUCGCAGACCUCUCCAGGGUAGGCCCAGCAUUAACGAAGGAGCCAAGUAUUUUUUCACCAUCGGUUUGGCUGAUUCGUUGCAACAUCAAAGAAGGUAAUGGUGAAUGUCCAGGGGACGGCAGAACUGGAUUAACAGGAGUGGGUACCGCUCGAGAUUUUUGGGCAUCAACGUUAGCAGGCUCAUCGACAUUGUCAUUUUGAUUUGCUGGAGAAGAUCUUGAACCGGUUGCUUGACCUUUUUGUGACAGUGAGACAGGAAAUGAGACAUCGUCUAGUAAAAAGGAAAUGCGAUGCAAGUGAAUGCAAUCAACAAGGACUUGUCAGAACACAUAAGAUGAAGUCAAUACCUUGUUGCGAUGAAGGAAUAGGAGCUUCAAGUGAUGAAGGCUGUGAAAUGGCAUUAGUGACGAUUUCCAAUCGGCUUCGAUCAUCCGCGCCAGCAAUAGUAGAUGUGCCUACCGACGGACUUCCGUUCAUCGCGUUUGAGGAGGACGAAGGCUGCAACCAUCGUCAGCAAUGGGGACGACAGCAUUAGAAACAGGAGGUUUGUCAACGAGGACAGUACCUUACGUAUAGUAUCCCUAGUAAUAUUAUUCACUUCAAAAGGGCAAAUGAUUUUCCGGAGUGUGGAGGCACAAGUCGGAAAAAGAAGCCAAAAAUCACUCAUAACCCAAGGUACGUACGAAGCAAGAUGACAAUUGGGUAUAGUAAAUAUUAAUAAAAUGUACUUACAUAUAGUGUCCCUAGUAACAUUAUUCAACCGGAGUGGGAAGGCACAGGCGAGAAAAAGAAGCCAAAAACCACUCAUAAUCCAAGGUACAUACAAAGCAAGAUGAGAAGAAAGACCAUACCCUAACACGAAGACCAAUUUAUGCAGCUUUGGGUCACGUGCGAUUCACUUACCAUUCUUUCUUUCUUUUUUUCUUUUUUUUCUUUUUUAAUUUAAGCUAAGAAAGGGACACGAAGUGUGGACCUAAACACACUUUGACCAAAUAAUCCGGAUAUACAUCCAUCAAGAUAUAUACUCAUGAAAUAUGAUUUAUCACCCAUCGAAUAACUAUUUUUUCACGAGAUAAUUGUAUUAAAAAAAUCAUAAACAUAUUAUACAUAUAUUAAUUCAAUUUUAAAUCAUUUUUAUUGUGUUGAUUUAAUCUUAAAUCUUUUAACAAUUUGUUUGUAUAAUUCUUUUCAAUUAACUUUAGUCAAAAAUCACUGACGUGACAAUUCAAUCAACACUGACCAUUUUUUGUAGCACGAUUGAUGAUGUGUCGUGGCCAAACCAAAUCUAAAUAAUCUUGCAUAAUCUUCUGAGUUUUUCUUUUUUUCUUUUCUUUACUUUUUUUUUUGUGCUCCCUGUUCAUCAUCUUUUUUAACCCACUCUCAAGCUUUCCUCCCCAGUCUCUAAGAAAAGUUUCGCUUCUCAAUUAAAUCAGACUCAAUAUUGGAUCUAGUUGCAUCAAAUAAUUUUCCCAAUUCUUUCCCACGUGCUUUACAAAGCUUACGUUACCAAAUGAAAUUCAAACGCGUGAUUCGCGGAAGAUCGGUAAAAGUCAAGAGACAUAAUAAAAACCAGCGCGUUCUUUUUCAUCACCACGUUGGAUGCCGUACCUGAGGCCGAUGUGAUUGGAGACGUAAGGCGUCUGAGGAAUCCUUCGGACUCCAACAAGAAGCAUCAACGGGAGGGGCAGGGAACUCAAGAGAAGCGUCCUCAGUGACUCUGCCUGCGACUGGGAGACCUCCGGGGGAGAUCCCACCGGCCAGCACAAAGGCCGGCACAAAGACGGUGGACGAUGAAGAAGAAGGCAGGGAAAACUGAGAGGAAGCAUCACCAUUCUCAGAGGAAGCGGGGCUCAGAUAAUUGAAAACCAUGCUUUCUAUAUCGGAGUCUUCUACUGCUGGUUUGUGUUAUCGUGGAUCACGCUCCCAAAGAGCGAAGAUUUGAUUAUAAUGGAGCGGAUGCCCCUAGUUUGAUGUCCUCCUAUUGGGUUGUUUCUGGUUAACAUCUCAGAAAUUUCCUUUCUUUAUAAAAGUCAAAUCAAAAUCCUGCACGGACAAACUGCUGAGAUCAGUCAACACGAUGGGGACAAAAAGAGCCGCUCUUUUUUUUAUUGUGAAGCUUAUCAUUUCAUAUACAAGCGAGCCCUCUAAAGUAAGGCACAUCGAAAUACAGAAUCUCCUAUAGAGCAAGUAAUAAGAAACCCAAUAACAUGGAAGGGCCUUACAUCUGGAGGUCUUCACAACCCAAUCUGCUAGUCUAUUUGUAUCUUGAGUAUGGUAAGCCAACUCUAGACUCCCAAAAAGGGCGAUGAAGCCUAAAGAUUCUAUGAUAAGUGGCUUAACGUCCCAGGAGUAAAGAGAGGAAUCUUGCAGGAAGCUUAGCAAGGAGGAGCUGUUAGUUUUCAGCACAUAUUUCUGUCCGGAUCGACUAGCAAAGUGACGAAGAGCAUGGGUACAAGCAAGGGUUUCGGAAUGGAGGGCGGAGGACACUUGAAUUGUUUUCAUGGUUUACGGUACCUACACAGCUGACCUUGUGUAGUUGUUUUCAUGUCAGUGGCACUUAAUAGCAAAUUCACCGCAUUCACUCCCCAUCUUCACCCAAAUUUACCAACUUACUAUUGCAAUCUUUAGGGGUUUAUUAAUGGAACCCCAUCGCAAUGUUCAGUGAAUGAGCUAAUCAUCGGAUGUCGUCACUUGUACCCCGACGCCACCACACACAUUUAAUCAAUAGGUGCUAAUAUGAUUGUCAAACUCCUAUGAGCUCAUAAAUGAUUCGAUCAAUCUGGACCAGCGAACUCAAUGCGAUUCACAAAAACUAGUAAUUUGAUUUACAAAUUAUAACCAUUAUACACGAUUAUCAUCCGAUGCCUUUUCUUAAAGAGAAUAUUUUUCUUAAUUCUAUAUAUCUUUUAGGAUUGCAAGAUAAUGUAAUAUUCCGUUACUCUAGAUAGUUGUCCUAUAAAGUAUAUAAAUAGGCUGAUCUACCCUUCAUUGUUUAUGCAUCGAAAUAUACAGAAAAUUCAAUGAUACUCUUUUUCCGCUUUGUUGUUAAUUUAAUAUUAGGCCGUCGCACCUAUUGGGUCUUCACAAGGUGAUGGUCCCAGCAAUCACGAGCCUCCAGCGAGUUGACGCCUUCUGUGUGUCGUUCCAACGCUAUUGGUGGUUUGCCUUGACAAACGAACAGCAGCACGGGCCCACACGCUUCGCCGCCACUGAUCGCGACUGAGAUUCGCGCGUCGCCGCCGCCUGAAGCCUCUACCACUCCGCUGACAUCACUCCCGUGCCAUUCACGUGCAUCUCCUCACGUUGCAUCGGCAUCAUCCUGCCAUAUCGCCACAGCGGCAAUUGACGGACCGUUUAAUGUUGACCGCUUCAAUUAGAUCGGCCUGAGCGUCGGUCGACUGGUUCGACUGUUUUCGAACGGAUUCCUCGGGGUUGUACGACUGGUUCCUAAGGUAUGUUGAGGUUUUGAGCCUGUUCUUGGACCUUUUUUUCCCCAUACCCGUUCUGCCGAUUUUCAUCCUAUAGGUGCACGCAAUGGAUAAACUCGAAGUCUCACUGUUCAUUCGGAUCAUUUUCAAUAAAUCAAACUAUAUUUUACGGCCGAAGAAAUAUCUACCUUUUUUAGAGGAUGCGGACUUCUGUGUUACGUCAAUGACAUUCGUGCACCUAUUAAAGUUGCAGAAGAAACAUAGGCAAAAUUAUGUCAGUGACAUUCAUGCACCUAUUAUCAUAUCUGUACAUGGUUUCAAAAAUUUGUAGGUAGGUGGGUAUUAUGGAGUAGCAACGUGGGCCAAAUGGCAAAUUUCAUGGUACGGUCCGAAAAAAGGAGACCAAGGAUGAAGUUGGGCAUUGAAGAUUUAAAUUGAGAUAAGUUGAUGCAAGAGGAUACUUGAAUUAAGGUUGAAGCUCAUACAUUAAUGGGAGAUUAUUUGGAUACACUUAUAAAUUGUGUUAAAGAAAUCCUAUAUCAGAGAAUUGAUAUCGUGUUGAGUAGUUAAUAUAUCAUUGUUAGCUCAUAACUCAUUGGUUUAAACUUUUGAGUGAAAGUGAGUCUAACUGAAUAUGUUAACGGGUUUGGAUCUCUGUCGUGCACUCCUAACAAGAGUUACGAGUUGGUGGCUUGUUUUGACAAAUGAUGGCCUUGCUGUCUGCCAAUCGACCAUGCGCUUCACGCAACUGAAGUGUCUGCUACUGCCAAUAUUGAUGACCGCACUCUUUUGUCGUCCUGGCCCACUGCAAUAGGGAAUCAAAUAGGCUAGCUGAUUGGCUCGCGAAAGCAUGCAAAUCUAAAUGUCUUCCGUCUAAUUGUUAAACCGGCCCAAGCAUUGAUAGACUGGUUCAGCCGUUUUCAGGCCGAAUCUUGGGGUUGUUCAACUAGUUCCAAAGGUAUUUUGACGCUUUAAGUCUCUUUUUGGCCUUAUCUUCUGCAUAUCGGUCUUAUCUUCUGCAUAUCGGUCCUCUAAGUGCUUGUUUCUUCACAAUUCUUUAUCAAUUCUUUGAGUUUCAUUGUUAAAGUGCACAUAAUGGAUAAAUUGGAAGUCUCACUGUCCAUUCAAACCAUUUUAAAUAGAUCAAGCUAUAUUUCAUAAGCUAAGAAAAAUUUAACUUUUUGAGAGGACAUAAUUUUGUCCUUAUGUCACCAGUGAUAUUUGUGCGCCUACUAAGUUUAUUGACGAGAAUGAGGUGAAAUUUAUUGAAUGCUUAGAAGAGUGGACUAGGAAGAAUUAUCAGGUCCUCACAUGAUUUCGAAACACUUUGAUUCGAUCUAUUAGACUUCAAUUCGGCUACCUCAAUAUAGCAAAGGAAGUCUGGGAUUUGCAUGCCAGCCAAUAUUCCACUUUAGAUAUUGUUCAUCAAUAUGAGAUGUUAGGAAAUCUACAUCGUAUGUGUUGGGAGACAGGUUGGUACAUUGAUAAUUUCUUAUCUUCCAUGCAUGCAAUCUGGGAUCAAUUAGCCUUAGCCACAGAAACAACUUUCCUCCAAUUUAAUUACUCAUUAAUAUUGGGCUACCAAAAUGAUUAUUUUUAUAUUAAAAAAUUCAAACUUUUUUAUUGAAUUGCCAUUUAUAAUUGUCCUUACUUACUAGCACAUCUCUCUCUCUCUCUCUCUCUCUCUCUCUCUCUCAAAUUGUUCGAUAUUAUUUCAGUAAAUUGCAUUUGUGGUCAUCAAAGUUCACCUCACCAUGUCCUCCGUUGCUGCAAGAUCCAAUACGGCCGUCCGGCUCAACAAUCACUUCCAUAACCACGACCAGAACCACAGCCACCCCAGGAUCAGUAGUUGCAGCGAGCUGAACCAGCUCAGCCAGCAGUCAACGGCAAACGCGUGGAUGGCGCGGAUGCUGUCAGCGAGGGAGCAGCCAACAAUCGACGUGAAGAUUAACAACUUUGUGGGGAACGACAUAUCGGUGAUCAAAACGGCUUGUAGGUAUGCAUGUUGGUGUUAGAAUAUCCUUCUAAGUCGAUCCAUCAGCUAACAGUAAAUGGAGACCUUAUCUAGGGGAAUCUAAGCAUUGUCGUUCAUCAUGAUUUGAUAUCGUGCAAAAAAUUGAUGAAUAAAUGGACCAUCAACAUGUAUUUUGAUAUGAGAUUAAUUAAUGAAUAGACCUUGAUGAUGUGUGGUAUUAGAUUGAUCAAUGGAAUAGACCAUUGAUAGGUAAAUUGAUAAAAUAAUUAUUGGACUAGACCAUUGAUGCUUGAUUCGAUAUUGUUAAUUCAAAUGAGUACUUCCAAUAAAUAAAUAUAUAAAUAAAUAAAUAAAUAAAAUGAAAGGUUAAAACUCAUUCUUCAUAUUGUGUAUAUAUUGUAUAUUGGAUAUGAGAUAAAUGAAUUUUGAUAUUAUUUUGUAAAAUGCAUUAUGGGUGCUCAAUUUUCCUUUCAAAGGUGCAAUACUCACUAGGCCAUGACUGCUCAUUCUAUUUAUCUUUCGUUUUUUUCUAAGAAUCUUAGUUAGUGAGGACUUUGGAGAGUUUAAUUUUGGGUGGUUUGAAACUGUGUCUUUCAGGCUGAUGGCUAUCUCAUUAUUUCUAUUCCUAUAAGAUUCGGGAUGUGAUAAACCUUCUCAUUUAUUUCUCUACACUUGUAAUUUUGUUUUUUUUUUAACUACAAUGGAAUCAUGGGAUCCUUCCCCAGUAGUAUUUCCAUUAUUUAUAGAUAUGGACUCCGUUAAUCACCGAUUGUUAACAACUAAAUGCGUCGAGCGAGGGCUUCACCUAAAACUCAUGUGGAUUCAGUUGGUUGUUGAGGAAAAUAACAAACAAUCAGUUGUGAGAAGCUAAGCCCCAGUCGAAUUAGUAGAAAUGUUUCGCCCAAAUUUGUUGCUGAAUUCGGGAACAGUGGCAGUCUCUAGCAGGAAUUAUUAUCCAAACAUGGAAGAGGGUCUAACUGCUAAUGUCACUGCUUAUAUAGUGAUCAGGAUCAUGAGUCAAAUCCUUAGGAUUCUUAAAGACAACAGUCACUCCCUCACAAUCGAUUUCGCUACCUGACAGGAUUUAUCCGCAAGCCAAAUUUCGCAAAAUGACCACGAAGCUCGUCGCCCUUCGCUUCUUGUAGAUUUUGAUGUCUCUCCACCUCGAUUCCAUGUAGUAGCUUACGUUAGCUGGCGCCCCAUACACUCCACACUUGAAAUGCAGAUCACCCGGCCCUUUGUCAGCCACCUUGAACACUUGAUUCCCAUCAAGAAACACGGUCACUUUCCCUCCAUUGACGUCGCGGAUUAUGUUAAGCCUGAACCACCUGCCGAAGAGGCAGGUGGCGAUAGGGUUCCCGCUUUAGUACCACAUCUCCCCGUCAUAGAUCCUCAGCAUCAGGGUAGUAUUCCCGUGAGCUGCACCGUGUAUUUGGGCUAUCGUAGCGCUGAAUGUCCCAUUGGGCACGAAACUGUGUCCUUCAAAUUGCCAGACUCCAGACUAGUAAUCUAGACCCUGCCAAAUGUGUAACGUUGGAGCUUACAAAGAUGUGGUACAAAAUCGAGGAUGGAACAGAGAAAUCGAGGCAGAAUAAAGUGGAAAAGAUUCUGCUAAUUUGAUCAGUUUCUUAUGUUAGACAAUUCAUAUAAAACUUGAUGCGGAAAUUCAUAACAAAUCAAUGAUCUUUGAUCUUCAUGAUUUUCACAAAUAGAUUCAGACAAACCUUUAUCCAUAGCGCUACGCUUGAUGAUGAUCGUUGUAGAAAACCCAAUGAUCUCGAACCAAAAAUGAAGAAAUCCAAUUUCUCUCCCUUAACCCACUAAACUUUAAUGUAUUCAAUUGAUGGAGGAGAGAAUACGUUCCUUUUCGUUACUGUUGUUCGUAUGUGGGUGGAGAGAGGACCGUACUCUUUUAUACGUUCGUUGAAAAGGUGCCUUCCAUCAAAGCGAUAUACCCUUUCGUUUUAUUAGAGUCGUACCUUCUCAUAACCAAUAUUAUUUAUAGCAUUUCAAUCAUUAUUAAACCAUAUAAUAAAUCACAUAAUAUGGGCCACAAUAAUUCUUACAUUCUCCCACUUGGCCCAUAUGAUUCUCCUUUCAUGGUUUAAUGAAGACCAUAAUGUGCACAAUAAGAUUAUGCUAUAAAAUUUCAUUAAAUUGGCAAUCACAUAAUAAUCACAAUUAAGUAAAGAAAACUAACGCGAGUCAUAGCGGUUAUAUGUCAUUAAUCGACAUAGUCCCUUCUAUGUACUACAACUAUAGCACUUUACUUAACAUGAUCCAUAAUUGAGAAGUACAGUAAUAGUCCAACCAUAAUGUUUCUUUAGAAACUAUCCCGUUUAAUAUUCAUCUAUUUCCAUAAUGUAUACUAAAUAGAAAACAGGAAAUAUCAUAAACAUGUAAGUGAGCUCAAAGUGUCAAAUACAUAAACUUAAUACAAUCAUAAUACAAAUAUUAAUGACGUCCAAUAAUGCCCAUCCUUUCAACAUGCUCAUUAAAUGUUUUGGGCGGCAAUCCUUUUGUCAAGGGAUCUGCUAUCAUAAGAUUGGUGCUAAUGUGCUCAAUUGACACUCUUUGUUUCUGAACUUCUUCUUUGACAGACAAGUAUUUGAUCUCCAUAUGCUUAGCACCCUUAGAAUACUUGUCGUUCUUAGAGAGUUAUCACAAUAGAUUUUCAGCGGCUUGGCAAUACUGUCGACGAUCACAAGCCCUGAAAUAAAAUUUCGCAGCCAUAAUCCAUGAAUUGUGGCCUCAAAGCAUGCCACAAAUUCAACUUCCAUAGUGGAUGCAGCAAUAACUGACUGCUUCGCACUCUUCCAUGAAAUUGCCCCUCCAACCAGAAGAAACAAGUAACCAAAUGUUGAUUUUCUUGUAUCGACACAUCCGGCUAAGUCUGAAUCUGAAUAUCCAAUCACCUCGAGAUGAUCAGAUCUUUUAUAAGUGAGCAUAUGAUUCUUCGUUCCUUGCAAGUAUCUAAGAACUUUCUUUGCAGCUUUCCAAUGAUCAAUUCCAGGAUUACUUUGAUACCUACCCAGCAUUCCGACAACAAAACUGAUGUCUGGUCUGGUGCAAGUUUGUGCAUACAUUAAGCUUCCCACAAUAGAUGCAUAAGGAAUAUUAUUCAUUUGUCCUCAUUCCAAUUCACUUUUCGGACAUUGUAUAAGGCUAAAUUUAUCACCUUUCUGAAUUGGAACUAUUCCUGCUGAACAUUUACUCAUAUUAAAUCUCUCUAAAAUUUUCUCAAUGUAGGCUUUCUGAGACAAUCCUAAUAAUCCUUAUGAUCUAUCACGGAAUAUUUCUAUUCCUAUCACAUAUGUUGCCUCUCCCAUAUCCUUCAUUUCAAAAUUCUUAGAGAGAAAUUUCUUGGUUUCAUGUAACAAACCAAGAUCAUUAGCAGCAAGCAAAAUAUCAUCAACAUAAAGAACUAGAAAAAUAAACUUGCUCCCACUAAUCUUCAUAUAUAUACACCGAUCAACGGUGUUUUCCUUAAAUCCAAAUGAAGUUAUGGUAUCGUUAAACUUAAGANNNNNNNNNNNNNNNNNNNNNNNNNNNNNNNNNNNNNNNNNNNNNNNNNNNNNNNNNNNNNNNNNNNNNNNNNNNNNNNNNNNNNNNNNNNNNNNNNNNNUUCGGGUUGGUCCAUAUAAACCUCUUCAUCUAAAUUCCAUUAAGAAAUGCGGUUUUACAUCCAUUUGGUGUAACUCCAAGUCAUAAUGAGCCACCAAAGCCAUAAUGAUUCUAAGUGAGUCCUUCUUAGAGACUGGUGAAAAUGUCUCUUUAUAGUCAAUGCCUUCUUUCUGAGUAAAACCCUUUGCAACAAGUCUGGCUUUAUGUCGUUCAAUAUUGCCUUUGAGUCGCGCUUGGUCUUAAAGACCCAUUUACACCCGACCUUCUUACAUCCUUUAGGCAAUUCAACUAUAUCCCAAACUUGAUUUUGAUGCAUGGAUUUUAACUCUUCUUCCAUUGCAUUAAACCAUUCAUUAGAAUCUUCACAUUCCAUGGCUUGGGAAAAUGAAUCUGGAUCAUUUCCAAUUCCUAAGUCAAUUUCUGACUCUUGUAGAUAAACCAUAUAGUCAUCAGAAAUAGCCGACCUCUUUUCUCUUUGAGAUCUCCUUAAUGCUAUUUCUUGUGACUCGGUUAUUGGAAGUUCAUUAUUGAUAUCUCAAUUAUUGAGUGUUUGUUGUUCUCAAUUAUUGUUAUAUUAUACUACAAUAUCAGAAAUAACAACUUUAGAAGCUUUAGGCAUAGGAACUUCUACCCUUACUUCUUGAAUGCAAGCAUCACGCAUUCUUUCACUCCCACUGAUGUCACCAUUCUCAAUGAACCUAGCAUUUCCAGAUUCAACAAUUCUUGUACUAUGAUUAGGACAAUAAAAUGUAUACCCUUUGGAUUUUUCUGCAUAACCAAUGAAAUAACCACUGGUCGUUCUUGAAUCCAAUUUCCUUUCAUGUGGAUUGUAAAUUCUUACUUCUGCUUGACAACCCCAAACAUGCAGGUGUCGUAAACUAGGUUUCCUUCUCGUCCACAGUUCAAAUGGAGUUUUUGGAACUGCCUUACUAGGAACCCUAUUUAAUAAGUAGAUAGAAGUCUUUAAAGCAUACAUCCACAAAGAUAAAGGUAAAGAUGAAUGACUCAUCAUACUCCUAACCAUUUCCAUUAAAGUACGGUUACGCCUUUCUGUUACACCAUUUUGUUGUGGUGUACCUGGCAUUGUGUAUUGAGCACAAAUGCCAUGUCUUUCAAUGAAUUAAGCAAAUGGACCUAGACAUUGUCCCGAUUCAUCAUAUUUUCCAUAAUAUUCACCACCUCUAUCCGAUCUUACUAUUUUCACAUUUCUAUCUAAUUGCCUCUCAACCUCUUUAAUAUACACUUCAAGUGCAUUCACUGAUUGAGACUUAUCAUGCAAUAGAUAAAUGUAACCAUAACGUGAAAAAUCAUCAAUAAAGGUUAUGAAAUAGCUUUCCUUACCAAAAGAUGAAACAUCAAAAGGACCACAUAUGUCAGUAUGUAUAAUUUCAAGAAGCUCUGUUCUUCUUGUGGCACCUUUCUUAGUGUGUUCUGUUUGUUUACCUUUAAUACAAUCAAUACACACUCCAAGGUCAGUAAAAUCCAAAUUUGGAAGAAUUUCAUUCUUCACUAAUCUUUGCAUUCUUUCUUUGGAGAUAUGACCCAGCCGUUUAUGCCACAAGUAAGUAGAAUUUUCAUUCACCAAACCGUUUAGUGCCAACAUUAUGAUGCAAAGUCAUUAAUGUCUCAACAAAAGUAUUAUCAAGUCUAAAUUUGUAGAGACCAUCACAUAAAGUUUCAGUUCCAAUAAGAGUAUCACUCUUAAAUAGACUGAAAGAUUCAGAUCCAAACUUACAAUAAAAUCCCGCCACAUCAAGUCUUGGCAAAGAAACUAAAUUACGAGAAAAUGUAGGUACAUAAAGGGUUCGAAACAAAUCUAAAUAAUGCCCAGUAUUUAAGAUCAAACGAUAAGUGCCAAUGCCUUCAACUGGAGCUUUGUCUCUGUUCCCCGUAAUCACAUAACUUUCAUUUGGCUUUAUAGUUUGGAUCGUAAGAAAUCCCUGCAUCGUAUUUGACACAUGAGUGGUGGCACCAGAAUCAAUCCACCAAGUAUUAUAAGGAACUUCAGUAAAGUUUGAUUCAAAACAUACCAAAGCACAAGGCUUACCUUUCUUUUCGAACCAAGCCUCACAUUUCAGACAAUCUUUCUUCAAGUGUCCAAUUUUGUUGCAAAAAUGACACUUAAUAAGAUUGCGUUCCUUCUUGUGGAUUUGAGAAGCCUUUGAAGAGUCAUUCAGGACGUGUAGUCCUUUCUUCUUGCUCCUUCCACCUUUCCUCUUAAAAUUCUUUCGAACUUCUUGAUAACUUGAGAGAUGAACAGAAUGAGUCUUUUGAUUCUUUAUCCUUGUUUCCUCUUGAACUAGCAUACUGGCCAAUUCGUUUACAUUCCACUUGUCCUUUAUAGUGUUGUAAUUCAUUUGAAAUGGCCCAUAUUGCUCAUGAGGUAAGGAAUUAAGUAUAAAUUGUACUAAAAAGUACUCAUCCACAUUCAUUCCCAAAGUCCUUAACUUUGCUGCUAAAUUGGUCAUCUCAAGUAUAUGCUCAUGCAUGGUAUGCGAACCAUCAUAUUUCAUGGUGGUCAGUGUGCUCAUCAGUGUACCAGCAAGUGACUUAUCAGCAGUUUGAGAACGCUCUUCCACAAAUUUCAUAAAUUCCUUAGCAUUGUUAGUCUUGGGAAGAGAAGUCUUUAAGUUGUUUGCAACUGUCAUUCGCAUGAACAUUAAGCUCAAUCUGUUUGAUCUUUCCCAAGCUUUAUGGAAAGACUUUUCAUCAUUGCUACUUUCAUCAGUAAUAGCAGCUGGUUUCUCAGCUUGAAGUGCUAAAUCAAGAUCCAGGACACCUAAGUGAAACUGGAUUUGUUCACUCCAAUCUGGAAAAUUUAUCCCAUUGAAUAAGGGAACAGAUGAGGCGUGCGAAUGGAGAGAAACAGGUACAGAUACUGCAAAUGUGCAAGAAAAUACUCAUAUAUUAAUGCUUUGAGAAUAUCAUAUAAUCAUAUUAAACUAAACUACACAUGCACAUCAUAGUUUUCCUUUGGGCGAUCCUAUGAUAUACAAAUAUAUAUAAACUAUAAUGAUGCUAAUAACUUUUAUUUGAUAAUUGUAAAUAUAUCUUAUUAAAAUUUAUUUGUUAUCUUUGGAUAUACAAACAAAUUUAACAAAUCAUAUUAAUUAUCAACUAUCAUGUUCAUGAAUUAUAAGAAAAUAAUUAACCUUUGGGUUAAUCCCUAAGUUCUUAUAAUAAAUGAACUUCAAUAUACCCAUAAUUUCAAUAAUGAUAUAAAACAUAUCAAUUUCAUAUAUAGCAUCACUUAAUCAUGGGUAAUUGAAUAAAAUAAUUUACAAUAUCAAAAAUUCAAAAGACUUCAAGGUUCGAUCACUUUGGUGACUAACAAACCAUUCAUAAUAUGAAUUUUCAAUAUUAUAAAAUACAAAUAUUUACCAAAUUUGCACACAAGGAUAAAAUGCAAUUAAAGCAUAAGGGCAAAAUUGUAAAAUCAUAAUUUCAUAAGGGCAGAAUUAUAAAUUUAAUAUCUAGGGGCAAAAUGGUAAAUAAUCAGCAAUGGCAGAAUUGUAAUUAUUAAUUAAACAGGGGCAUAACAAUAAAUAAAUUGCGAGAAUGACAAAAUUGGAAUUUUAAAAAUGGCACAGGGGCAAAAACGUAAAUAAGGCCACGCAGGGACGUCAGGCGCGCGCCUCGGAGCCUUCUUCCUCGCGCACAGACGCGAUUCUUCGCCGUUUUUCGCCGUUCCGCCGCGGUUUCGCCGGCCGUUUCUUCUCCGGCAGCCCAUCCCAGACACAAAUAAAUAAUGGGUUUUGAAGAACAUGCCGGCACGAUCACAUGCGUCCAAGUUUCGGAGAAAAUGACCAAAAAAUUGGCCCCAAAUCAAACGAAAAAUUCUCAGAACACAAAACUUCCACCACUGCCGCUUCCGCCGCUUGAUUAGCCUCCGGUGAACACCGAUAUACCGGAAAAAUCAUGGCUAAUGUUCCUCAUGACAGUGCGACGGUGUGGGUCCGAAAUCAAGCGGUGGGUUGCCGGAUUUUACCCGGAACCGGCGAGUUUCUUCCUUGCCCUCAAAAUUCCGAAUUCCACCAUUUUUGUCCUUUUCCACUCGUGCACACACAGUAACUUUUCUUCACCAUUUUAGUCCAUGAAAAACGUUCCAUCAUUCGGAUUUUCUUUAACAGAACCUUCCAAAACAUUUCAACAACAACAAAUGCUACGAACAAGAUCGUUCAACAAAUCAUCAAACAUCAACUAUAAUAUUUCUUUAAACGGAAAAAUCAUGAGAUCAUAAACCAAACGCUCUGAUACCAACUGUUAGACAAUUCAUAUAAAACUUGAUGCGGAAAUUCAUAACAAAUCAAUGAUCUUUGAUCUUCAUGAUUUUCACAAAUAGAUUCAGACAAACCUUUAUCCAUAGCGCUACGCUUGAUGAUGAUCGUUGUAGAAAACCCAAUGAUCUCGAACCAAAAAUGAAGAAAUCCAAUUUCUCUCCCUUAACCCACUAAACUUUAAUGUAUUCAAUUGAUGGAGGAGAGAAUACGUUCCUUUUGGUUACUAUUGUUCGUAUGUGGGUGGAGAGAGGACCGGACUCUUUUAUACGUUCGUUGAAAAGGUGCCUUCCAUCAAAGCGAUAUACCCUUUCGUUUUAUUAGAGUCGUACCUUCUCAUAACCAAUAUUAUUUAUAGCAUUUCAAUCAUUAUUAAACCAUAUAAUAAAUCACAUAAUAUGGACCACAAUAAUUCUUACAUCUUAUUCAAUGAAUCACUACCACAAUGAUGGACCAUAGUGGGGUUCGAGAAUUACUUUGAUCCGAACUUUGGUGCGUGGUUGAGUGUGACUGCUCGGAUCAUGGGCUUGUCAUUGGCGUAGACCCACAACUUGCGCACCCCGUCCACGAAGCUGUAGCGCUCCUCCAGUGGAAUGUCGUAAGGCUUUUGCAGCUCAAAGUUCGCAUCUGUCAACAGUACCUCAGUGAAACCGUCUGUAGGAUCAGCAGAACAGAACGGAUUGGAUUUUGGAUUAUGACUCGAGACCAGGACAACAAAGAACAACAGUGGCUAAAAGGAAUUUCCAUUUUUCCUUCUUGUCAGUCUUGAGAAAUUGUUGAGGAGCUAGUUAAGGCAAAGCUUCUAUAUGUAAGGAUGACAUAAACAAUGCAGGAACCAGAUAUGAUUUUCUAAUCUUAACACAACAGAACAUAUUCUGGUCUUCUUUCCUUGGACAGACAUGCUUGUCCUUUUGACAACUUGAACGACCUUGUCUCGUCUAUGUAAUCUCAUGUGUAUAUACAGUGAUUCCUAGUUUCUGAGAAAGUGUAUGACCGUCCAAUUAUGCCAAUGAAAAAGGGUUGAUUGAUGCUCCAUUACUUGGUCUUAGUGUAGUAGGUUUAGUCUGUUAAUUAGUGUUUGUAGAUUCAAACAAUGAUGGAUAUGUCUGCUGAUUCUUUCGCAAGAUAGCUGUUGUCGCACUCCAUUACAUUCACAUGAACAACACUUCCUUGUUUAUCGGCCUAAAGAUGCAAAUUUGGUUUGUGUCUUUUCUAAUAGACAGUGACAAGUGGCAAUAUCGUGCUGUACAUUCACUUUGAGGUCCAUUGCAAGUUUUUUCCAUUGCUUCACUACAUUGAAUUCACACCGUGCCGAAUACUUCAUGGUGCCGUUUCAUCAUGGUCAUCUUCAUCAUUUUCAUCCAUUCGUGUUUGUGGGGGGUUAGACACAAAUUUCAUGAAAAUACAUCAAAUUACAAGCUUAACGAGUUUUGUUAAUUUCUGGUACAGCUGAUUAUGCUACCUGUCAGUUUCGUUUACACUAAGCGAUUGUUCAAACUCCUCUAAAAUGGGAGAAGGUCAAAGUGAAUUUCUGUAUGGCUCUGCAUUCUGCUCCAACUACAUCCAUAGAAUCCAUUCAUCUUAGUGAGACGGACUUGGUAUUGUUUUUUUCUGUUUUCUUGUUUAGUAAGGCGACUAGGCCAAUUCAAAUUGUCUCCUUGUGCAUAUCGGUAUAACAUUAGAAUUUGGCUCUUUCUACUUGGUUGAACUCUCAGUUCUUGAUUCCGGAGGAACUGGAUAAUUUAUGGAUCAACAAUCUGAUAUGUCUGAGACAGACGUGUCAGAUGACUAGGGGCAUGCAGAUUCUACAUGAAGGCCAACUAUAAAAUGUUAUCAGAACGGAAGUUGAUUAAUCUCGAGUGAUCCCAUCAUUAACUAUGAAACUGAUAUACAAGAUGCAGAUGAGAUCCUCUUCAAAAAAAAAAAAUCAAAAGACCUUACCCAAAAAAAAAAGAUGCAGAUGAGAAAUCAUAGUCGCAUCAUUAAUGACAUAAUACAUGAGCAUGGACAUGAUCUUCUGACAUAUCUCUCAGCUCAGUGUCUCCAAUUUCACUUUCAGUUAAAGUAUCGACCCGCUUGAUCAGCUAGUAUAUAAAAGAAAAAAAAAACUAACCAAAACCAUAAGAGAGAUUUAACAUGGAGAGAUCGUGCCAUUUUUCCUUUAGCAAAACAAGAUGAGGAAUGAGGGUGCUAAUAAAUUUUGUGAGCUAGUUGAUUAACACAUGCGUAGAAGCUCAUCAGUGGAGUUGGUGUCACAUAUGCAGAGACAGAGAAAGAAGCUCCAGGGAUUCAUCUUUGAAAGCUAUUUUCAGUUGAAAAAUGCUGUUGAUCAGCAUGUCUUUUCCUAAUUAUAUAUGUUUAAAACACUAACAGCUAAUUGUAUAGUCAAUCCAAGCUUCAUACUUUGAACUGACCACAAUUUCUUGUACUUUUCUGCAGUAAGCUUUCCCAGGUGCCCUGUUUUGCAUAUCAUAGCCUUAUUUAGUUCACAUGAAAUGCAACUUGAGAUGCAACGUCCUAAUUCUCUACUUGGUACAAAGUUUAUGAUUGCUAAUCGGUUAGAGAAAUUAACUCUAAGCCAAGCUCUCAACCAGCAAAGACAAAAAACCAGCUAUCAAAUAUAAAGCUGAAGAGUUUCGUUGGGCACGAUAUAGAACUGAGUAAAUUUUUGAAAACGCUGGAAUUUCCAGUUAGCUAAUUGUGACCCUGCUGACUUAUUUUUUUGCAAACGGCCCUUUAAUUACUCUCUACAUGCACUUCUUGUAUAUUUUGAUGUCCUUCCACUUCAAUUCCAUGUUGUAUAGCUCGUAUUUUUGGGUUUCGGAAAGGGGGGUUGGGGGCAGCGGCAUUCACUCCGCAUUUAAAGUACAGGUUGCUGAGGCCAUGAUCUUGCUUCACGAACUUUGAAGUCCCUUCAAGGUGAACUUCCACGAUGCCUUGAUCCCUGUCAUGGAUCACGUUCACCCUGAACCACUUUUGGUGAAGAUUGGUCGCAACAGAUCACGAAGGUAGUAUCUUACCAUCCCCUGCGCAUAUCCUUAGUAUCAGAGUAGUGGUGUGCACUGUGCCCCAUGUUGCCGUGGAUCCGCACUAUGAUGGCUCCAGAGGUCCUGUUCGGCACAGGACCAUGGCCUUUAAAUUGCCAUACCCCAGAUGAAUAGUCAAGGCUCUGUGAGAAAGUACAUUAGGAUCAAGUUGUGAGUCUAGCCUCUGACCAACUUGAACUACCAACAACAUAAGGCAUGUAUACACAAGGAAAAAGAACAACUUAAAAUUCAUAAAUGUAGGGAUGGGGAGAAUACUCUUACAUGUAGUUCUGUCCGGGGCACGGUCUUACUGUCAGGUUAGUGCGGUUUAUCAUCUGCAUAGACCCAAAUCCUCAUAAUUCCAUCUGCAAAACCAUACCUCUCCUCCAACGGCUUGUCGUACAGUUACUGUAUCUUCCACUUGUCAGCAGCACAACAGUGAACCCAUUGGUGGGAUCUGCAUAGUCACGACCUAUUUCAAUGAUAUGAACAAGGACGAGGCAGAGAAUCAGAUAUGAAGAACGCAUCUUCCUCAGUUCUUGAUCCUGUGAAUUGACAAGGAAAAGCUGAGCUAUGUGCUGAUAGGAUUAUCAUACGCAUGAAUCAGAGACAACAAAAGUUUAGCCUAGAGCCCUUUUGGACCAGUGUCAGUGUCUUGUUCCUUCAAAAUUAUGUGUAUAUGCAGCACCAAACACUAAGAAGAGGUCAAAUGCUCGAUACAGAUUGAAGAUUUAGUUCAACGGUUGAUAAUUGAGGAUGACAAAAUUGCUGUGUCACACUUCCUCCCUGGAUCCAAGGCGUUGUCCUCCUUUUCGUGUUUUUAUCAGAUUGGAGUCGAAUAUUGGCGAUGGCAUGAAGACUCUUAUGCUUAUGUUGAAUCAGCAUCUGCUCUAAAAGUAGUCGUCUUCUCAAUGCACUUUGCAUUUGCAAGGAAUUGUGCCCCAUGAUAUAAAUCGAUGAACGAUUUAGUUCGGAAUGCGUUAAAUUACUCUUCAUCGACAUCUAAGCUUUUCCGAGCGUCCUUCGGUUCUUCUCUAUCUGAAGCAUCUGCAAAGUGCGUUGAGAGGUCUGCAUCAUGCUGCUCUAGAAGAGGCAAGAUUUGAUUAAUUCCAACAAACACAAGCUUCCCAUUAAAGUCGAUUUGUUACUGUGCGGGCUUAUUCUAAUGGAUUACGCCAAUCACAUCUCAAAAAAUGGAGCGAACCAUCACAAACCAUAAGUUACUAUACUAAUUUUUUGGUGAUCAGCUUCGACCCAACCCGUAUUGACAUAUUGUGAUUCGAUUCGGUCCACAGACGACUUCAUCUAUAGCACGAGCCUAUAUCCAAUGUCUUCGGUGGAAAUACAAAGAUGAGGAUCAACAUUGGAUUAGAGAGUUAACUUCACUCCUUAAAAUCAGCCAUAUAUAGCACUUGAAUGAGCUGAGAAUCAUCAAAAGCAAGCAUAUGAGUCACCUGUAUUCACUAUAUAUGCCAAAAAGUGACAUACUUUUAAUGUUCAUGCUAAGAGAUUGACUACUGGGCUUUAAUUAUAUCGUUAUCGCCUUUUGUUUAUCCUCUUUAUGUUUGUUCUAGGAAAGGCAACCGGUAUUAACAACCUCUUAGAGAUAGUUUGCACAAUGUGCAUCACUAAUAUAUUAUAAAGGUGCGUGCAUCAUAAAGCUAUCACAGAAGACGUAUCUCUUCUAAUCAUUCUCUUGCAAAACUCUACACACAUCGCCUGGGCUCUCUUGAAGAUCAAACUCGACAUCAUUGUCCAAAUUCAAGUUUGGAACAAUUCUAAUGCACUAUAUGGGGAAAUUUUCAAAAAGGAAAUAUGCAAAGUAAAUUAUGCAAAAGAAUGAGCUUGGCCGACUUUGUAAGCCGUUAGACGGAGAGGAUGAAGGUUGCCUUCUAAAGAGUGUCAAUAUGCCUUGUAUUAUACGUUAAUCCUGGACAGGCUCUUGUCUUUCCCAUUCGCUUGCAGGCAUUAUAGACCGCCAUUUUCGGUGAAAGCUUUUCUUCAUUGUUCGUCCUUCUGUGCAGUAAUGGCCCUUUUAGUUUUCUCUUCUUUCCUUUUCUUCUCUUUUGUGCAUUUGGGCAGCCGCCAUAUGUCUAGUAUCUGUGUGGGCAUUGAACAAACCAGCAGAUUGACUUUCUUCAUGUAAAGUAGUAAUUCGUUUACGCGUGUCGUCGUGUAUGUUCAACACCAGCAGCUUUAAUGACUAAUGAGGACAUGGGUGAUGAUGAUGUCCGCUUUAUGUCGUUGCGUUUGGAUCAUAAGCCCUGCCCAUACAUUGCUUUCUUUCCAUGAACUUUUGUUACAUUGGUUUUCCAACUUGUCAUACCAUGAAAGAGAGGCUUGAGAGAGGUACUUACAAGGCUGAUGCUGCUUUUCAUAUCUCUUCGCAGUUAGCAAGGCUUGUAAAGCAAUCAUUAACAUACAUGAACCCUAUCCAUAGUUUAAUAACUUGGGACUCAAAAAAAUUAUCAAUUUAUUCCAAAUCUAUUGUACAUAUGACAAUUCAAUCUUAAACUUUUUAAUUUUAUUAAUGUUAAUGGAAAUCACUAACGUAAUAUAAGCAAAACCAUUUAUGUCAACAUGUCAUGCAGGAUUGUUGAUGAUGACUAGAUGUUAUGUCAGCGAUUUUCCAAAAGAACUACAUUAGAAAUUUGUACAAUAAUUUAUUAUUCUAUUUGUGAAAUUGAAAUUCUAUCAAUUGUUCUUAAUAGAAGUUAAGUUUAAACUUUCCUUUUAGUUUUCUUCCCAUGAAGGUAUCUGAAUUUCUUUUACAUGUCCUACUAAAUAUAAUGAGAGUUAGGUUGAUGAGUGGCCAUCUCUUAAUAUGAAUAGUCUUUCGUGAAUAUCUCGAAGAACUCUCGUGAUCAAUUCGAUUGCUAGAUAAAGAUAGUGAUUGUGAUUAGUUUGAUGGAAGACAUUCUUGGUAAGGUGAGUAUCGUGUUGUGGUAAGACACUAGUCAAAAAUACUAGCAGAACAUUACAACUUACUUUAAAAUUUAAGUUAAUUUAAAAAUAUCUAAAAUAGCAAAAAUUUCCUCAACAAUGCUAGUAUUACUCUUUGUUUUAAUUAGUAAAAUUUAGCAAAAAAUUAUUUAAUUUAUUAUAUAAAUAUCAAUUCAGUUAUAAAUCUUUGAAUUUGGUCAAUUUAGUCCUAAACCUUUAAACGAUUUGUCAAUGUAAUCCCUUCCAGCCAAUUUUGGAUGUUGGCUAUCCUACAUGGCAUGGUCAAUAUCAACGUAAAUAAUUUUUACAUUUUUUAAAUAUUUUUCUCAAAUUUCUUGUUUCCUUCUUUUUUCUUUUUUCUUUUUUAAUUUUCCUUUGUUGAUCCACAAUGCCGUCACCUAGCCCAUAUCAAGACAAGGGUUGUGACACCCUCCCUAUGGCUAGUGAGGCUUCAGGUGAGGAUCUCGAUGCUCUCACCAACCAAAAAAGAAAAAAAGGAGGUUUAAAUAAAAAUUUAACAUUUUGUCCAUGUCGACACAAGAUGCCAUGUAAGAUAUCCAAUGCAAUUUAGCAACUCCUUGUCAAAAUUAGUCAGAAUGAAUAUAUUGGCAAAUUGUCUAAAAGUUUACGACUAAAUUAGCAAAAUUAAAAGAUUUAAAACUUAAUUGGUACCCGUACAGUAAGUUUAGAACCUUUUUUAAUAAUUAUGCCUUUCAAGUACUUAAAAAAUGAAGGGUCUCAAAGUAGUUUAUGAAGAUGUAGAGAGCUGCGCUUGUAGUUUAUGGAAAACAAUAGGGUCUCCAAGUACAUUGAUCCAAACAGAGAGGGUGUCGGAGUAAUUUCCGUUAAAAAAAAGAAAAAAAAAAGGCAAGGGGUGUCUAAGUAACUUAAUCCAUACCAGGGGUGUUCGUAUUUACUUUUUAAUUUUGACUUUUUUCUACAUCUCAUGAUGCAUGCGUUUUAACUCUUUUUUAAAUCUUAAACGCCUAAAGUUUUCACAAAGUAAAUGCCGAUACCUAUUUUCAAGUAUAGUCUUUUUCUUCACACGGAAAAUCAAAAAGGUUACCUUUUCUUUCGGAAAUCCCUACAAACAAACCUUAAAUUUAUGUUACAAGCCUCAUCCUUCUUUCAUGAUGAGACUUUAGGAGUGGCUAAAUAGUACGAAAAAUCUGUCGGACCAUCAUCAAGAGUGUCAAUCUAAGGGUUGCGAUAAUUACUGGUGUGCUUAGAAUGAAAAGAAUAAUAUUUUGCAAGGAUUAGUUGAGUGCUCGUCAGCUGGGAUAUCUUUAACAUGCAAAUCUUGUGCAUCUCUUUCUCUCUUUAGAAAUUAUCUCAGUAAUCUAUACUGGUGGACAUUAAAAUUUAGCAUAAUUUGUAGCCGGUCACUGAACUUUGAUUUCAAUAACUAGAUACAUUAAACUUCAUUUAUCUGCAGUUUGUCUCAUUUUGGCCAAAAUCGACCAAAUUAAUCAAUGUAAGCAUCUCUCUCUCUCUCUCUCUCUCUCUCUCUCUCUCUCUCUCUCUCUCUAAAUUGUUCGAUACUAUUUGAGUAAAUUGAACUUUUGGUCACCGAAGAUUAGCACAAUAUGUAAUCAAAUCAAUGAACUUUAAUUUCAUUAGCCAAGUACAUUAAUCUUUCAUUUCUCUACAAGUUAAAGCAUUUCGGUGAAAAUUGAUCACUUUUCAACGAAAUAAUCGAUUUGACAGUGAUGUGAUAUUGAGCAUGACAUUUUUAAAAUUAGUCAUGUGCCCACCACAUAAAAAUCUAUUUUAAAAUCGACAUGAUUUGGACCAAAGCACAUCAAUUGAAAAUCCACUAAAAUCUAUCAACAGAAGUAAUUUGCCCAAAUUUCGAGCUACAGAAAAGAAUAAGUAAAAGGAGCGAAUUCUUUAUCAAUGAAUGGAGAAAAAAGAGCUGGCCCUUUCUCUUUUGGGCUUCCCAAAGCAAAGAUUUGGUACCACGCCUUUUGUUCUUUUCUUUUAAACACUAUUGUUUCUGUCCUUUUCUUUUUAGGAUUAAAAAAAAAACGUGAGGCCCACAUCGAAAUUCACAGACAUGUCGAAAUAAAGGCUGUCACGGUUUCGCUAGCGGCCACACUUCAACAUUCAACAUUAAGUGAAGAAGCAGUCCUUUUAAUACGACAUGUGGUUCGCCCCUUGUGGAUUUAUAGCAAUCGUGCCUAGGCUUGUGAAGGUUCUAUCCACGAGAAACUUUUAGGUCCACGCAUGACUUUGAACCGCAUUAAAAUAGAGUCAUUUAAUAUGGACCUUCUUGUUUGUUCUGGAUUAAUGUAAUCUGCUUGGAGGAUCUUGCUGUUUUAUAUGUAGAUUGGUUCUGUCAUGGCACCAAAUGCAUCGGUUAUCUCAAUCUAGGAACCCCUACUAGUCUAUUCUCUGCUCUUCUUUACCUCAUGUCCAUGGCCAAAUAUAAUAUGAACACUCAAUCUUAAUCUAGCAUAUGUUAGGCAGAGUGAUUUGAGAGAGUUAGUUGUGCUGGAGCACUUACCGAUGGUCGUCACUCAUCGCUGUCCUCCUGUCCACCUAUUCAAGGGAUUAUAGAGUUUGGUUAUAGAAACUGGUAAAACCAAUGUUGACCUAGUUUAGUUGGUCAGAUUGGUGAGUCGUUGCUAGAUGUAAUUUGAUCUAGGAAUUUGAAAAAAAAAAAAAACGGACAGCAUGGGUUGUGAAUUGAAAUCGAACCUUAGAAUAGUCAUAAUUAUUGCUUUACCAAUUGAAUUUUAAAACUUUAAAAAUGCUUCAAAAGAUUCAAAUAUGUGGUGUUGAGAAACACACAAUGCACUCAAUCCAUUUGAUGUGGGAAGAAGUUUCAUAACAUCUGUGCAUUAUUUUAUAUGUAGUAUCAAUGCUUGCUCAAGUUAACAAACCGCUCGAUUUAAACAGUUUACCUAUUCAAAUAGCAAACCACUAGCCUCUUAGGUUCACUUGCCCAGGCGAUUUCAGAAAUUUUGCUAAGAGGCUAAUGAAAUAUCUUAAAAUUUUCAUAAAUCAGUUAAAUUUAUAUCUAUGGCCUUUGCAUAAUAAUUUUCAUGUAGUUUGUGGGUUUCGAAGUUUGAAGCCGAAUUCAUACCAAAUCAAGCCUUCAGUCUAGUUGGCACGAGCUAGUCGUGUUAGCCGACUUGAUGGCCACCACCUUUAUCUUCAAAUCUUGAAUUGGAAAUCUUAUGACAUCUCAACAAAUUACACUAUAUCUUGAUUACUAUCACCAUUUUCAAUGCAUGUAUGACACGUUGGUUUGGUCAAUUAUCUCAUUAUUCUAACUUCGCUGUUUGAUUACCACCUACAAAUCUAAAUGCCUAGAGUGAAGUCUCCAUCAAGAGCAAAUUACAUCGACAGUGCACCAAGCAUUGUCCCCAUCAAAUUCCCCCCAAAAUUCUCAUCUGCAGAACAAACAAAAAAACAAGAAAAUGCAGACAACAAAAGUGAAUUAACGCUACCUACGAAGGCAAUGAAACAAAAUGGAAAAUCAGUGUUUCUGUUCCUGACCAGAAUCGAGAACAUAAUCUCAGCAACAGCCGUUAAGAUAUCAAAUGGGCCAUCCGCCCAUGCUUUAUUGUGUUAAUGUUUAUUCACGUGUAAGGCCUUGUCUGUGCCUCAGGUCUCAAAAAAAGAAAAAGAAAUUGCCUUUGUUAUCUCCCAAGCUCCAUAUAUUUUUAAUUUUAAUCGAAUUUGAUGCAUCGAGAAUUAAAAUAAAGAGAAAAAAGGGUGAAACUUUACACGGCAUAAUUACGCCAUUAUACAAAAGCGACUGUAGUAAUUAUGAAAUACAAAAGGUUGUGAGGAUUCCUAAGAGAAAGUAAAAUAGUAUGUAUUCUCCACCUCCCAAGAACAUAUAUAUAUAUAUAGCAAUUUCUUUUCAGCAUUGAAAUUGAAGAUGUUGCAGGACGAUUCUACGCUAAUCAUUUUAGAAUAAUUAGUGUAAAUACUCUUCUUGAUUAGUUAAGUUUUGAAAUCUCGAGAUGAUUUUUUAAAAAAUAAAAUAUUUUUAUCGACUUUUUGCAAAAACGAGAACACACACCAUCCCCAACACCCAUUUGUCUGUCAUCCAUUCAAAGCACCUCCUGUCAAAAGCCCCUUCUGUCAAAAGCCCAGCACUCCUGACACUUCGUGCAACUCUCUCUCUCUCUCUCUCUAUAGACAUACACACGGUGGAAAGGAAAGUUGGAGAGAAGAAAGAAGAAAGAAAAAAGAAAAGAUUGCUGCCAGAGACAAUUAAAGCCACUGCUGGUUCCACCUCUUUUCAUCUUUCAUCAUCUCUCUCGGCUUCAGCUUGCAAGAAAGAAUACAAGAACCGCUCGUUUCCACGAUGAAGAUCGCAGCGUUCGUCACAUUCCUCUGCUUCUUCUUCUUCUUCUUCUUCUCUGUUUUCUGCAAAGUGGGUUACUGUUCGACGGUCCUCGUGGAUGGAGUUUCGGAGUGGAAGAACCCGACUGUUCAUGUUGGAGAUGCCAUCAGUACGUGUUUUUUUUUUUCUUUUUCUCUUUGUAAAGGAAAGAGUGAUUGUGGAUGAGCUCUCUAUUCAGUGUCGGAUUUCAAGAACUCAAAGCUGAGAGUUAACAUUCCCCUGUUCUCUGUUUCCUUUCUCAGUUUUCAGACACAAGUAUCAAUACGACCUCUACAUUUUCCAGAACCAACGAGCCUUCACUCUCUGCGACUUCACUCAAGCGACUCUUCUUACAAAGCCGGGCUCUAACACAUUCACGGUAUGCUCUCUCUCUCUCUCUCUCUCUCUCUCUCUCUCUCUCUCUCUCUGAGUGUUCAUGUGUGCACCGUUGGGUUCUUUACUUUUCCGUUUUCUCUUUUUCUUAGAUAAACACGUUUAUCAGCUAGUAAUUAGCUUGGACUCCACAAAAGCUACUAAAAUUUUGGAACUUUACUACAUUUAUCAUUUGAAAACUAUGUUACGAAGAAGCUCACAAGCUGAAAUUAGUUUUCUCUUCUAACAAACCCAAAAAUUAAACGAAAAGAAACGUUGCCAUCAAUCGGGUUAUUUCUUGGAUCUUGAGUAAUAUCUGCAAAAUGAAGCAUUUUUAGCUCUCUUUUUUCCUGACCAUUUCUUUCCAUGCUAAUCCAGUGGCACCCAUCACGCCCUGGCUAUUUCUACUUCACCUUCAACAAUGGCUCUCUCAAUGCGUGCCAAGACACCCAAAAGUUUCCCGUUAAGGUCUCUUCCGAAGCACCGCCACCAUCCCCAGAGAGUGUAAUCAUCCCGUCAGAAUCACCUCCAGUGCAGGCCCCGGCCCCGACCACGGGAGGGACUGUGUCAUCCUCGCCGACGUUUCCAUGGCCAUACCGCCCUCACGAGAAGCUCUCGCCGGGACCUGCACCAGCCGCAAGCUCGUUGCCGGACAAAGGCGGGAUUCCCUUUAUUAAUAGCAAUCCUGCAGUUCCUCUGCCUACAGGAGAAGUGGACUCUGCCACAAUAAGGCCUCUGUCUCAGGCAGAUCACGGAAAACAGGUACGAGACUAGUUCGAUUCAUCAAAGGGAUUUUUUACAAGAAUAUUAUUGAAGUGGUUAUAUUAAUAAAUUGAAUUAUGUCAAGAGUACAUUUUGAUGGACCAAUAUUGCAAAUUGUUUUUGUCAGUGUUUGUUCGGUUGGGUUUGGUGAGGACAGAAACCCACAUUGACAUUACAAGUCUCAAGAGGUGACCAAUAAUAGGACCUAUUUAAGUAGGGUGCAGCUCCCGUGAUCUUUACAGCUUUAAUUGAAACCUGACGGUUAGCUUAUGGCUGAACUCCACGAGGAAUAGUUAGAAGCUUUUAGCACGAUGUUUUGAUGUAUCGAAGUCUACUGGGUUCUGAUUUUAUAUCAUGCCGCGCAUCAUUCUUGGCUGUUCUUUAUCAGUUCUUGUGGCUUGUUUUAAGCAUUUUGAGACAAUCGAUAGCUGAAAAUCAUCUGCCGUUUUGAAAAUGGGCAAUUCAUAAUAUAGUCUUACUCAAUCAUCAUCACUUUGCCUGCUUAAAAAUGUGCCACCAUCAUUGCUCUUUUGGUCCAUUCUGUCGUCUCUUACACUUGCAAUCCGAAAUGGGGGGUGAAACCUUAUGUACCCAAAAGUCAAAUAAAAAAGGAAAUUGCUGAAAGCGUAGGAAACUUUAUCUAAUUACUCUUUUGAGUCUUGACAUGGUCUUCAUACUUGAGCUUCACAUGUAGAUCUGAAAAGAUAGAUGAGCUGUUGAUUGGGGUCUCAAUUACAUAUCCCUUUGUCCUUUGAUUGCAGGAGGUGGUGGGGUUGCUUCAACUACAAAUGGCUCUACUGUGUGCAAUGUUCUUGAUGCUGUGACCACAAAAAUUGAGCUAAAAAGAGGGGAAAAAAGGAAUUUAGGAGGCAACUACAGCUAGUGUGUAAAGAAUGUGAGUAGGCUAAUGAGUGGGAGGUUAUUUGGGGUCCUUAAAAGUAGCUUUAGAGAAUAUAAUUAGACCAUGUAAUAUGAUGAUGCUUCUUGCCUUGACCCUACUUUGGAAUCAUUGGCAAGCUUUGGCCUUUAGUUUUGCUGUGUAAUCAAUUGCUCCCUCUUCUCUUUUUUCAACUUUCUUCUUUGCCUUUAUUUCCUUUCACCUACUUUCAUCAUUCUUCAAUCUUUACUUGUGAAAUUUAUCGUCGCCCGGAGGCAUGAAUCGGUUUUCUUUUCGUUUCGGCGGCAUUUUUUUUUUAAGUUGAAAAGCAAUUUAGUGUCAGGAAAAUUUCCAAGCAAGCCAAAAAGCUGUAAAGUAAAGCUUAAAUAAUUGUGGGAUCUUUACUAGGUAAGAAAGGUCAUUAAUCUCAAGGAUGUUCUCUCUUUCUCGGGUGACGGAAUUUGACUAGCUUUAGAUGCAUAAGAGCGAUUUAUGUGACAGUUAAACGCGCGAAAAUCACUUCUAUUACAUAGACUUUAAUGAGAAGUUCACAGUUAAGAUGUGCGAAAGCACGGUUGCGUCUGCUGCAAUUUAUGUUAAAAGGCACGUACUGGUGAAUUUUGACACUUGAUAGCACAAUCAAAUUCGUCCUUUGUUAAUGUGUCCUACAUAACGUGGGAACUCUCAGCCUGCAGUAACCUGGCCGGCAUUCUUAAUCGAGAAAAUUUAAGUGGAGUUGGAAAAGAAUUUCUCGUCAGUACAGAUGAGCAAUUUAUCUGUUGGACCAGAAACCGGGUGGAGGACUAUUUGCGCCCUCGAGCCCUGCGAUAUACUAGCAUCUAUCAAGGGAUCUGAUUCCCCAGCUUAGACAUCAUAUUUCGUGAUUGUCUAAAACGUAACAUGUCUAAAACGUAACAUAAGUUUUCAAAGACAUAUAUCUGCAUCUUAUCAGACCAGAUACUAAUGAUACAACAGGUGCUACGAGCAAACUCAAAUAGAGCACACUUCUCUGCAAUUUUCUAUGGAGCUCUACAACUGUUUGUCUUCUAAACUUAUGAGCACCUUCAAGUCCUGUUUCCCCGCAUCACCAAGGAAAAUUCUAACUAUAAGACCUGAAUUUGAAGACUCCAAAAAUUUCUUUUACUAGAGCAGGCAAGCUAGAGCAUGUUGAGUUAAAGACUAUAGUAAGCCGUAGUGAAAUAAAUUCAACGUCUGAGUUCCCAGAAUUUCGAAAAGCGGUGCUCAGUAAUUAGUUCAUGAUCUAGGUGUGCCAAUUCCUGUUGCUUCUUCUCGUGUUCGCCUGCAUAGUCUGUGACAUUAACGAUAUAGCUCAAACUUAAUCACUUUGUUUUCAAGACUCAGGAUCCGGAAAAUAACAGCCAAAAUGUGUCGACCAGUGUCCGUUUUCAGCUAAACCAUCAUCCGGGUCAUAAGUCGGAGUUAUAAGUUCCACAAAAUUUCUGGUGUACAUAUCAUACAAGAUCGUGUUACAGUGUCAUGCCCGAGAAUCCCUCAGCCCUGGAGGGGCCUGGAAAUUUCGCAGUGCUCUCCACCAACAUAAGUUCAUGAAUGUUCAUCGUUAAAGAAAGCUGGAAUACUUAGCUCACUGGCAAUGGAAAACGCAAACAUUUUACCAGGAGAAGCAGGUAUUUGCUAAGGCACAAGUGCUUGGGCCCAUAGUGACGGAUUGAAUCUCCAAAAUGCAGAAAGUAUUGGGCCAAAACGUCCGGACCUUGCUCCCUACCCGGUUCCUAUGCACUGCAGCUUAAGAAAGUUCAUGACCCAGGUCAUCAUUGGUCAAGACUCAGAUUGAGUUUCAUGUGCUCCCCUAAUUAUUAUUUUCUAUUUGUACCGGACUUCACCAAAAGUAUCCUUUUGUUUGGAGAACAAUGAUGAAAUUCGUAACAUUUGACGAUCCUUCAGCCGGAGAAUAUCAUGAACCAAUUUUUGGCAACGCUGUGUUCAAAACUAGCCUCUUUCUUGUUUCAACGAGAUUAAAAUUUCUGGGUAUUGACUUCUACGUUGGAAUUCUUGGCCUUCAGUCAAAAUCAUAACAUUAACAAGGAUCUUGUUUGCUGAAUAAGAAAUCUUGCAUUUUCAGGAUCAUACCGAUUGUUCUCGUGAUAUACACGCAAUUGAUAUUUGUGAAAGCCAUUCUCAAGGCCCUUGUUAAGUCUAAAUCCAGAUGGUACAUCGCGUCAAAGUACAGUGCUGAUUAAUUCAAUUAUGCUGGUGGUGCUGUACUUCUCCAAGUCCAAUUUGAGGCUCGCAUGAUGCUCGACCCCCUUCGAGCUUUCGGACGGUAUUCAGCCAGGUGGAAUUGGAUGCGACCUGAGGGUUUACAUUGGAUAAGAUGAAGGAGACAAAAUAAGCUUUUUUUUGGGUGUCGUGUUGCCAUCGGACAGCUAACUACCCUAAUCUCAGGGAGAGGUCCAUUCGGCAUGGUUGGUAAAGUCCCUUCCUUUGCGGUCGAGAAUGGAGGAAGGCCAUUUCUGCAUUCAAUCCCUUGCUUUGGCAUUGAUUUGAAGUGUCACCAACCCCAGCUCCUAUCGAGAGUGUUGAUGGUGCGAGGAUCGAUCACGAGUGCCGACCAUAAGAAAAUCAACAAUCUAUAAUUAUACAACUUAGAAUGCCAAGAUGUUAGAGCAUACUUGGUUUGGACAAGAACCGUUCGAAAAGGGUGAAAUCACGUGAGGGGUUUCUCUCCUUUUCCCUCUCUUAGAUGGUCUCGAUGGAUGAACAAUUGGUGUAUGUAAGAGAAACCUUAUUCUAUUUAAGUGUGUACCCUAAUACGUCCAUCCACCACAAGUUAUUCUUAAAAUAUCGACCUACACUGACCCUCCAAUCACAUUAUUACCCUACUCGAAACAUGGUAAGACCACUACAAUAUGGGGAAAUCUAGCACUGCCUUAUUUAUUUUGUGAACUUUAUUUACCAUUUCUUUUACGAACCUAAAUUAUUAUGCAAUUAAUGUUAACCAGUGCUUAUAAGAAUUUCUAAUGAUGACUUAAUAGCAUCUGGUUCACUAUAGAUAAAGUAGUUAGGAUUUGAUUAGUUUGGUUCAUCCUUUUGAGUUUAAUUCACCUCAAUUAGACUUGUAAUGGUACAAAUGUCAUGCUCGGUUUGGCCACACAAUUCGUGAUUUUCGUAGUCCUAAGGACAAAAGGUAGCUUUUGGAAUUGAAAUUUAGAGAAGACUUUACCACACCCAACUUCCUUAAUUGCGGUCAAGAAAGACGGGAGGUCCAUCUACAAUUAGAUUCUAUGGAUGUAAACGGGUAGGUUGCUUGAAGUGAUUGGUGUCCAAAUCUAGUUGGAUAUAUCUUUUCUUCAAUCAAUGUAAUAACAAUAUAUAUAUAGAUGCACACAUGCACAGAUUAUAAGUAAAUCGAGAAAUUAACUGUCACUAUCGUAUAUUCUCUAAACAUUUGUAGAGAGAUUAAAAAAAUGAAUUCAAAUUUUCUUCAUUAAUCUAACGAUGAAGGAAUUGAGUUCGAAAUUUUGCUACUCCUACUUUAACAUUUUCUUCAUUAAUCUAAUGUGUCAUUUUCAUGAAUUACACCCACAAAAGAUAAAUAAUCCAAACAAAGUAGUUUGGGUCAUUAUUCGUAUCAUGUUCGGGUUAAACCAAUCUAAUAAGAACUUUUUAAUUAAACAAGUCACGCAAAUCAUGCUCGGCCUACUUAUUAUUAGCUCAAUCAUUUUUAGAUUAAGAUUUUCUUCAUGUAAUAGAUCGAUCUUGUCCAAAAUGAAAUUCCUAACACGACCAACAAAAUGAAUGGUUCUUCACACCAAUCCGGCUCGUUGGAGAAAUUUAACUAGUACUUCAAAGUAUUUUUGUUUUCGUAGUGUGAACUGAUUAACUUCUCGAGAGAGUCAAAGAUCGAAAAAGUAGAUCAUGACAUACAUAGACACGCAUAAAAUAUUAUGCAAGAUUGCAGACCAUGUGUUUCUUUAUUUAUUGGCUUGGCUUCGGCCGCUGCCUGCCACGCUGUCCUCCUUUCCUUACGAACGUUCUGCCAAUACCACGACGUUCCAGAGACAGACACCGCUUCAGAGUUCAGAGUUCAGACACAAAAGAACCAGUCAAAAGUCAAACGUAGGAACAUUUGUCCUUCUCCUCCUCAGGUCAGAGUCAAAUCCCAGCUCCAGAAGCUGUAACCUUGACCGACCGCACCCUCGAGACCCCGGCACAGCAAUUCCCUGAGCUGUCGAAGUUUCGUUAUGGAAGUCACGUACCACCGCCAAUCCAAGAUCAACACAAUUUGACCGUAAAACAUUGCAACGGCGCAUAGCCAAUUAAAAAUAAUCGAGCAGUACAGAACCUGAAUGGCUCUGUUCCUUAACAUGGAAGAUCACAUGUGGUCAAGGUCAAAAGUUGGCAGAACAAUCUGGUGUUGCCACAUAAAAAAAAAAACAAGCUACUGUGCUUUCCAGUCUCUAUGUUUUUAUACAAUCAGUACUUUCUGCAUCAAUGUCGAAUGAUCCAGAAAGACAGAAGACAGUCAUCAUCUGGGACUUCAGAUUCCACUGUCACAACUGUACCCAGACCAAAACUGGAUUGAGAAGCCUGAUGAGAAGCAAAACAGAUGGUGCAUGUUCCAACCGAGUUUAAUCCAGUAUUUGCAAUGCAAUGUACUGACGAAAGAGCAAAAAGAAAGAGCAUAGAACAAGAACGGCCUAAUUAUACAGAUGCUCAAACACCAAAAUUUACCCAAAACACAUGUAAGACAUGUCAUAUACCUUCCUCCAAAACAUUAUUAGAUCAUGAACAAAACAGUAAAAGAAGCACAGAACCCAGUAAGGUUCUUCACCUAUGCUACAUUCAUAUAUAUUUCUUUACAAAAGUCCGACCGUCGAGACUGCUCCCUCUACUCAGAACGGUUCGCGCUCCCGAUGUAAUCGAGCCCCUCGGUGCGGCUCCGCACAAUCCGAUGGAAGACCUCUCGUACUUGCUUCUCCAAUGGAUCCAAGCCAUCCUUCACAGCCUCAAACACCUCCGCCAGGUCCUCCACUCUCUGCCUCACCUCCUCUUCCUUCUCGGCCGACAGUGGGAAUUGGGCCGAAUCCACCAAUUCGCUCAUUAUCCUCGCGCCCCUCUCGAUUUGAUGGAUCUCCCGCAACAAUCCGCGCGCGUUCCUCCUCUCCCUCUUCUUCGAUUCCUCCACGAUCCUCUCGUGGAGCGACUGGAUCGGCGCGGCCCAGGCGAACUGCCUCGGGAUGGAGAAAUGCACCUGCAGCCCGCGGUCCUGGCAGGGGAUCGCCGCCACGAGGGCCCACGUCACGAAGAGGAGGACCGAGUUCAUCGUGAAGACCGGCACGGCGAGGCCAUUGGUGGCCACGAUCUCGUUCCCCCUCGGGGCAGACAAGUUGGUCCCGAUCGCCUGAAUCUGCCUGGCGGCGGACCACGACCUGGAGACGCUCCAGGAGAGCGACCUGAAAUGGCCCAGCGAGCGGUGGUCCCGGGACACGCUGCUGCGGCCGAAGGACCGGUUCCGGUGCGCCGCCACCCCCGACCCGCCGGCCUCCUUCUCGUCGAGCAUCCCGAUGGCCAAAUCGAUCAGCGCCUUCUUCGCGCGGCGGAAUUGGCCCUCGCUCAAGCUCUUCCGGCUGUCCAGCGCGCACAGGACGAUGUCCAGGAGCUUCUGCCACUGCCGAACCUGCUCGACCCCGUCCCGGAUCGCAUUACAGACGUCCAGGGCCUUGAUGCUCCUCUCGUGAAAAUCGGCAAUCGACCUGUCCAUGGGGGACUUCGACAGCUGGGACUUGUGAUUGAACAUGAUCACCCUGAACUCCUCCUGGCAGCACAGGAACGCGUCGAGCAGCUUCCGAAUCCACGGGAGCGAGAGCAGCUCCUCCGGGCCGGCCGACGACAGAUCAAGAAACCGGUCGGCGACCUGCUUCUGGAAGGCCUCCAUCUCCAGCUCGGCGCUCGUCGCCUCGUGGGUCGGGUCCACGGAAUGGACGGCCUGGUCGCGCCGAAAGCUCAGGAUCGACCGGCCAAUGUACGAGCCCUGGUACUCCGUCGCAGGCAUCUUUCUUGAUCCUCCUACGGCAAACCCAAGAACGAACCCGCCGAGACCCACGUACGGAAAUGGCGAAAGCUCGCGGCUUUAUCGGAUUUCUCGACCGCGGAGGGCUCGAAUCGAAGUCUUAGCAAACACCCAUCUGAGAAUAUGCGCCGAAUCUCUAUCAAUUUCGAGGCUUGGUUCUUGCGAUUGAAGUCCGUACAGCAAAGCGAGAGGAGGAGAAGGAAGGAAUGAUGAAACCCUAAAGGGGUAGGGGAAUUUAUGGGCGGGGAAGCAUCCUGGACCGCGUAUUAUCGGUAGCUUGGAAAGGGAGAGGUCCACGCGAAAGCGAGGGAGAUUUACCAUAAUUAGCAUGAUUAGAUUAGAUUAAAUUUUAAUUAACUUAACCCUUCCUGCCGUAGAAUCCCCAUAGAUCGCCUUUUUUUAAUUUUUUACCCCGCUCGACGCGCCCCCCACGCGCAGCCGGCGGGAUCGGAUCUCGGCCGUCGAUUUCGGACAUCCGCAUCGCGGACCGUCGAUCGACGAUGCGUCACUCGGAAGUGCCGUCGCCGCCCGCCGGCCGUGGGAUGUAUGUCCGCGAAUUCCUGCACUCUGCAGCAGCGGAUCAUUUCCGCGAGGGAUGUCUGUCCCCGUUCCGACUGGUGUGAACUGCGCUAAGCUAGCGUCACGGGGCUGUCGCAUGGCGGGGCCGCGUGACCGGAAGGGUGGGCCCGCACGUGAGCACGAGCGAGGGGCCGCGUUGACCACGUGGAGCGACGUGAAUGGGUCUCGCGAGACGCCAAACGUGGGCGAUUGGUUGAUGGGUGGGGGAGGGCUCGGUCUUCGUCGGCGCGUAACGUAACGCUCUCUUCGUCCCCCUUCUAGAAGGACAGGGGGCGUGGAGGUGGUUCGGUCCUAAUUGGAAUUUUAUGACGAAAAAGAGGAAAAGUAUAUUGUUGAAAAGGUAAAAGGGAAAAACAAUUUGUCAAUGACACAAGUACUAAGAGGAUCAUGGAAUGCAUUUCACAUAGGCGAGUUUUUUCUUUUUCUUUUUUAAGAAUCCUUCAUUUUCUUUUUCUCGUCUAGAGAGGGAGAAGGAGCGGUCACCGUCGUCUACAAAAGUUUUCCAACAUGCCUAUAGUCCCGAUUCUUUGUAAAAAUAUCAAUAUAAGUCACGACUAUUUAGAGAGCUCUGUUUUAAAAGUAAACUUAAUCUAUAACAUAUAGCAUAAUUAAAAUGUAAGAGUAAUUUUUAUGGUCGAUUGAGGUAAUUCGUGGGAGACUCGUCUGAUGAAUUCUCUUAUGUUUUUAGUUUUUCUUAAACUUUUAAAUCGGGCUUUUUGUUCGAUAUCGACAACCCUAGAUCCCAACCAUUUGCUUUUGGCGUUAAAAGCCUUCUUUGACUUAAAAUUAGGUGAAUUGGAAAGACUUAUUAUCCAUAACCGUGUGAUAAAGUAUCGAUCUACAUGUCCAUUAAUUAUAUGGUGAAGUGUGAAUCACUAAGCUUUUUUAUUCACUGUUGUUUUUUUUUUUUCAAAAGAGACUUAUUUUCUUUUCGUGGAGCUAUACGGCGCGUCACUAAAUUAUCCUCUCGAAAGGAACUGGUCAACUUUCAUUACGCACCACUCGUUUUGCUACGGGAACAGCCGAGUUUGACCUCAUAAAGGCCUUCUCAUGCUUUCAUGACUAGGAAUAAAAUAAAUCAAAUAAAAACUAAAAUUCUGGAUGCUCAGUGGUCAGUUGAGGUCGGUCAAUAAUUGAGAAGGAUAAUGAUAUAUUCGGAUGAGAAUGAGUAUAGGUAAAAGGGGGGAAGCGGGUUAGGGUUUCCUGUACAAGGACAGCAGCGACUCAAAGCCCUAAUUCGAGACCACUGAACUUUACAUGCAAAAAAAAAAAAAAUGCAAUUUUUAUGAGUUUACUAUUGUUAUUGCCCCGUGAAGGGACAAGAAAUAUGCUCGAAGACAGAGAGGGAUGCGACAGUGAAACGUCAAUGUCGAUACCAUUUGUUUUUUUCCCCUUGUUUUUUGCUCCUAAUUUUGUGUGGUGGUUUGACAAUGUCGCGUAUAAUAGAGUAGUUUAUACGUCGUGCUUUCGACGAUCAGACAGACUUUUGAUGAGGAAACAAACAAGCACGGGUUCUCUUUCACGUUCUUUAAUCGCUUGUUGGUACACGGAUUCGGAUAAGGACCGGAUUAUGGUCGCGCUAGAUGCAUCGUUUUUGGCCUGCCAAGAUGGGUUUUAAGAACUCCGAUCCUUGCGUGAAGUCGAAUUUUCCAACCUAAAAUAUAGAUAUACAUGUGAUGAAUUGAGCUGGGUUUGUGAUGAUUAGGCAGUGUCUCUUUUCAUGCUCGGCUAAUGACGUUGCGGACUAAACUAUUCUCUAAUGUAACUUUGCCUCUAAAAGUUGAUCUAAGUUAGGCCGCGACACGAUAAAUAAGUAAUUUGUCGGGAUUGUAACAUGCCUUAUGUAGAUAUAACUUUUCUACAUAUAGUGAUUUAAACCUUUUUGUCAAACGUUCUAAUGUGAUUUCAAAAGUAGAAGUCCCUGGUUCAAGAACCUCCUGUAGCACGAAUAACUUGUAUUUGUCCAAAACAACUUUAUAUAUACCUAGAGCAAUUUUUGUUUAUCUUGAACAACGGGAAAAUUGUACAAAAAUGCCUCAAUCUAGCGUACUUUUAUCAAUUCAAUUUUAAACAUUAUAAUUUUAUUAGUUUUAAAUUUUUUUACAUUUUGCUAAUUGAGCCUUUGACCUAAUAAAUUUAAUUAGUGAAAUUAAAAGAUUUAUGGUUAAAUUAAUAUAUAUAUAUAUAUAAUUCUUGGAUAAUUUUGUCCGUGAACAACUUGCAUCUAUCCACGAGUUAGCGCGAGAAGUGAGAAUCCUGGGGCCACGGGGAUGGAGACGGGUGAUGAUUGACCAGUGGAAACUGGAAAGGUCCAAUUCUCGAGGGAAAACGAGUGAGUUCGUGACCUCAAUUCCUUCAUUAAAUAACACGCCGAGUGGGCACUUUCAUAUGAGGGAAAAAAAAAAUCAAUUGACGAGCUCUUGAAAAUACAAGGAAUCUCUACGUAUUCAAGAAUUGAUUUCUUGGAAUACAAGGAAUUGGUCCACUUUGUUUUGCUUGUUCAGCUUUUUUCCAAGCUCUCUCCCUCUCUCUCUCUCUCUCUUUCUCUCUCCUCUUUAAUAAAACUAAAGGGGUCACGACGUGGAGUAAAGAAGAAUGAAUUGACUUCGUCUCUUUCACACGUCUCUGUGAUGAGGUAGAGAACAAUACGUUGGCCUAGAAGCAGAGAAAACCCUACUUCCUCGGAAGAAGAAGAAGUCAAUGGAAUUGCCGGGCGAAAAUGAUAACAAAAUUCGCACAUGUCCUUUUAACACUAGGGCUUGAUUUGUUUUGUAAAUAUUGUGGCAUUUCUAAAUAUAUAUUUUCCCAAAAGAAAAAAGGAGAAAUAUUUAAAUAUUUAAAAAUUCGAUUUUUCUUUAUAAACUUUUUUGGCCUCGAUGAACACCUACCUAGGCUCAGCCUCGACAUUACCGGGCCUAGCAUCCUGGGCAUAGGCACCCUUGUAAAAAAGAAUUGGCCUUGAUGGACCUAGGUACAAUCGGCGAGGACCUAGGCUUGAUCUCAAUAUUACUGAGCCUAUGUCUAGAAUACGGGCAUUGGUGUCUCGAGAGCAACCUAAAUGGACCUGGGCACUGGAAUCCUUAGGCAAGGCAUGGUGGACCUAACCCCACUACCACGGGUUCGAGAACAAGCAUGGGGGUUCAUGUGCCCAAACACAAAGUUUUUGAUCUAGGCAUCAAAUACCUAGCUAUAUUUUGCGAAACAAUUUCCAUCUUUUGCAAGAGGAAAUUAUUUUCCUGAAUUUAAACAUUGAUAGGAAAACAGUUUCCAUAACUAGAAACAUAUUUUAUUGAAUCAUUUUUCUAAGCGUGUCAAAUGUUGGAAAACAAAAAAAAUAUUUUCUCGAAAAAUAUUUUUUCUGAAAAUAACGGAACCUAAAAAGUUAGGUUUCCUUUUCUUUGUUAGGUCAAAGGAAGAUGAAAUGGCAUUGAACAACGAUAUUUGCUAGAGCGAUUAGGUUCGUGAGACCUUUCAGCAUUAAAAUUCACCAAGAAGGUUAAGGGUAUGGAUCUUGACCUCCGAUUGAAAUUUUUUUCUUCAAUAGAGAAUACUCAUGCAAUUGGAAUUAUUUAAAACCUUUAUUGGAAAAAAAAAAGUCGCUGUUUUUCUUUUUUUAUCUAAGCCAAUGCUUAAUUGAUAACCUAUAUAAUGUAUAAUGUACAAAGUAAGUAGAAUUCUUUGGAUUUUUAGAAAUGAAUAAAGGAAACAACUUUGCUGAUCAUGCCAUACUUUUUGUUUGGUCAGAAAGUCCUCCGAAUAUUCUUUCGAUCUUCAGUUAGUGAUCUGUUUUGAUAUCUCUUUUGAGGAAUAUGAGUAGGUGAAUUAAGUCGCAAGAAUUGUUACUCAAUACUCAAGGGUGUGCUUGUUUAGCGGAAAUAUCAACGAUUUUGAAAGUAUUCUUUUAAAAAUAAUCAUUUGUAUCACCUAUAAAAUAAAGAGAUAUUUUCGUUAUCAACAAAAUAUAUAAGAUUCAUAUCCAAUCAGCUUCUGGCCAUUGACAUUUAUAAUUUUAGCUUGAUCUUCAAUUGAUUAUUGAAGUGGGUUAAAGUUGGCGUGUACUCAAAAGCCUCAAUUUUUAUGGGAACUUCAAACAUGCCGUCAAUAUUUAAUAAUGCUGAUCUAAUUUAGAUUGAUAUUGCAACUCAAAAGUGGGACUGCCGCCUUGCUGGUGUUGCAAUCGCAUGCCGUCGAUCCGUGUCGCCAAAAACGCACAAGACACCAAACGUGAGGACACGUAUCGAUGUCGCAAAUCGUAUUUAAUUGCGGUCCAUUCAUCACCACCUCUCUCUCUCUCUCUCUCUCUCUCUCUCGAGGCUUCGCUUCUUCUUGAUCUCUUGGCUUUUGGUUAAGGUUUGCUGAAUUUCUCCUCUUGCUUUUUGAGUAUGAGCGUGAGCUGUCUUCAGGGUUUUCGAGGCUUUGAUUAGGACAUAGUGGAAUUCCAAAAGUCAGGCAGAUUCGAUUCUUGCUUUUCUUGAUGGAAAGUAGGCCAGGAUUCGCUAGUACCUACUUACACCGUUUGUACGUCGAGUAAGAUUUGCCGGCUCGUUUGCACUAUGACUUUAAUAUUAUUCUGUUGAUCUAUUGGAAUGAAACUUGCAGUUGAAGUUGAAGACCACUUGAACGACUUGACUAAAGGAGACUGGCCAAGGUGAGAAAUGGGCUACGUGGUGAUGAUUUCGUUGCCGGCGCUACUGUUGUGCCUCAUGAUCAUGGCCUUGAUAUGUUACUUGAUCGGAAGGGCAUGGGGUCGACGGCCGGCGCAGUACUACCAGCCUCCUGAGCCGACGCUCCGCUCGCACCCGAGGCCACCUGAAGUAACAUGAAGCUUUUGCGUCACUCAACGUAGGUUUAUUUACAAACUCGCAUGUACAGUUGUACAAAUGAACAGGCUAAGUUCUUCUAUUUGAAGCCGCGUAGCCCCGUAGGUCUUUGCUAAAGGCAAGAUGCAUAGCUACUUCCUGUAGAACUCCGUUUGCAGUUUCUUUUCCUUCAUCAAUGCAAUUUAUUCUCAGCCCUAUCUUAGAUAUAAAUGGAGAGUAGCUUGCUCAAGGUUUCACAAUAUCCCGGUUCAUUUCUGUCGAGUGAUCUCAUGGUAAGUACAAGUCCUCCGUGAGAUAUAGGAAUUCUUAAUCUACUAAUUGCUCGCACUCAUUACUCACAACGUUUCCACAUUCCAUAGGCCACUGUAACUGUCCGUCUUUGGUUGGUCGGACCACUGCCAACCGAUCUAAAACAUAAUCGUGGAUUGACAUUGAAAUGCUCUAACAUUGCCCCUUCAACAAUAACUUUGCUAUAUGUUUAACUUGAACAAGGGACAUAAGAAAAGGGUGAUGAAUAAAGUGGUUUCCGACAAUCAAAAAAGGAGUGGGAAUGCUGAAAUCCUACAAUGAGAAGAUACGGAAGAUAUUUCCUCACGAACCAGAUUCUCAUUGACCAGAUAGAUGGCUUGACUGGAAGCAUCAUAAGCUGCUAAUAUAGCCCCCUCAUAUGCUAAAAGACACCUUUCUUGUAAUUUCUCUCUCCAACUUAAAGAAGUAGAUAUAUUCUUUUAUCAUAAAAGAGAAAGGAUACCCAUUUGGGAAGUUCUCCAGCUUACUGCUUCUUUAGCUUCAACCCACAACAUCAGCAACAAAGAUGCUACCCGAGUCGCACCAGCCACCUAAGACAUCUCUGCCAUGGGACUGCAGUGGAAAAGAGCAGAUCUGUGAGUUCUCUGUGAAGAGACUUUCAUGAUCAAGUAAAGCAGCAUAAUGCUGCAGUAUAAGCCAGUCCAAUCAGAGUGGCAUAAGUCCCACUUCACGCAAUGUGCUUUUGGGUCACUUAACAUUGAUUAUUCAGACGAACCUCGUACUUGAUCAAGGUAAGUCUUUAUAACACAAACUCUUGAUAAUUGUUUAACUAAUAGGGUCACCAUAUUAACGUGCAACAACAUACAGAAGUAAAAGCUUUUGUUGCCAGACAAAUAAUUACGCUACAUUGCCCUUUAAUACAUAGGCAGUCAGAAAAGUGAUGAUUGAGGAUCUAGACGAUUACCUUAUUAAACCCUAGCCAGUUCGAGUCUCCUCUAAAUGUAAAUACUUUCUCGCUCUUUUCCCACUGCCCACAAAAGACCUGUCCAAACAAAAGAUUACGAGUAAGACUAAAUCUAUCAAAAUAAAGAAAACUGAGGCUAAAUCUUAGGCAUCAACAAAGGUAGGCUAAAUUGGGAAGUGCCACGUUUUAACUCAACUACAAUCAACAUAAAAGAAGACAUUAAUUUAACAAAUUUCAGCACCCCCAGCACUAGAAAGAGCAAUAACUGUAUGAAGGAAUAAAGUUUACAUGCAUCCAGUGUACCAUUCAUGACGGACAUGCAUACACCUAAAACUGCUCUCUAAAAAGUAUUUUUGCCUGAUGAAAUGUUUUCAUCAAUAGCCACCUAUUCCUCAAGUCACGCCAUUUGCUACAUCCAUGUUAGAUCAUUCUCAUCCUGUGCUCUAUUUGCACAUGCCCAUGUGUUGAACCAACAAAAAAGUCGUAAUACAGUCAGAUACGAUAAUUAGAACAAGAACAUACAAGUGAGAAGAAGCAAGCAGAAAAGUACAUAAGAACUUCUCUGCCAACCUUACCUCAUAAUCCAUUCCUUGGACAUAGAUAUAAUCAGAGUUUAUUGAUGAAAAUGCAAGUCCAGUGAUCUGUAUAAUGAGCCAGGAAAAUAUUUACUCUCACCAGCAGAUUUUGAUAGCAAAAGCCAGAUAUACAUGUACGGACAUAGCUUCAUUUGCGUAAUGCGUAUGCUUAAGCCACUAAUGCAUAUCAUGAGAUUUUGCUGUCACGUGAUGGAAAAAGACAUGAAGCUGGAAGUUUAUUCCACAUUCUAGAAAAAUGAAUUCAACUGAUUGUAAACGAAUACAAAAAGGGAAUUGGCCAGAACUGAUGAACUCUAUGAAUGAUUAUUUAGUUUGACAAGCCACUCUUAUUUUUCUUAUCAUUUCCAGUUAAAGAAGCUUGCACUUUUCACAAAGCAAAAGUGAAUUUACACAAGGAUGAUUAAUUGACACAUGCAUCCUUAAUAAUAUAAAUUGCACAGGUAAAUGAAGAGAGUCGAGAAGCAUCAUCACGUAAAGUGAUAUAUAAGUUGAGACCAGUAGUCCUUAUUUCAAAAGAGAUAUUGUGUUCAGGUGGCAUGUAUUUAGACAGUCAAAAGGAACAGGUGGUGACCUCCAGAUAUUUUAAAGCAAGGAUGCAACUUCAUCUGUGAAUAUUCUAUCGCAUGGAAUUGGAGAAGGCAGCUCCUGGGAUGGUCAACCUCUGGCUUCAUCAACCAGCCACUCAUGUCUUCACAUAAAAGCUAGAUUAUCUACUUCCAACUCGUGACUUAUGACUUUUAGAUACAGAGAUGUUAAGCAAUUCUGAAAUCCACUUACAAUUACCUGAAACACACACUAUUCUUCAUCCCUUGAAAUUGACUAAACUACUAGACCAUGAAGAAGUGUCUAUGUGUCUCACACUCAUCAUUGUAAAACAGUUUGCAACUGGCUCCACAAUCGAUGAUAAAAAGAUUUCUUGCAUGCAAAGAAGAUGAGGUCUCAUUCCUAAUCACGGUGUGAAGCAUAAACAUUAGUAAAGAGGUUGGAAGUGGGGAAUAGCUUACCUCAUACUUUGAGCAAUGCACCCAUCGUGAUAAUGCUGACCAUCUGUAUUAGAAGUACAAAAACAAUAUCACAUCUCUUUUUAUAUAUAAAGAACAAAGAAAUCCUGAAUCACCCCAAUAUGCAGACCAUGUAAUAAACACAUGAUUCAUGUACAAAAAUGACCAAAGAAGUGGAGGGUAAAUGUGCAAGAAUCAUGUAUAGCAAUUUAUUUAAUUCAACUUGAUUUUGGCAUUUGGUCAUGAAUCCAUCAGCUCAUCCAGUUGGAGGAUGACAAAUUUCAAAAAAUCCAGCAUCUGAUUUAUCUAAAGUCCACCAGGAUAAGGAGCCUUAAUGUAAAUUGGACCAGAUUCUAAGUUGGAUUCAAUAAUAAAAUGGGAUGAUAAACUCAUAUAGUAUGUAAUCAUACAAACUACCCAAGAGAGAAUUCAACAUUCUUUCUUUCAGUUCUCUUCUCUUUAGUAUUGUCAGAUUUUAAAAGAAGAAAGGAGGCAAUAGUUCACAGUUCUUCAAAUUUGCAUUUGCAUGGGGAUGCCAUCACCCUUCAACAGACAAGACAUCACGAUAGAGUAUUGCCACCUCGUUAAGGAGGCAUGAGGAGUCUACACUAUUAGAAUAUGAAACGAGUAUAUUCAAGCUUUUUGCACUCUGUUUAGUAAGGUAGAAUGAACUGAUCGGGUGAAAAUAAACUUCAAUUCAUAUUUCUAGUUCUAGUUAUUUAAGAAGAAGCUUAAUGUCAAGUGGAAUAAUCACUUAAUGCAUGUAGGAAUAUGAAUAGCAACAUUACUUUCCCAUAUUUAUGAAUUAAUACUUAAUUUAGUAUCAAUGCUUCUUCUCAAUCCAUUCUAUUAGAUUUUUAGAUUCACAACCAUACAAGAUGUGCAAUUCUAAAAUAUGGAAUCCUCUGAUCUGAUGAAUGCAUCUCAACCUUAAUGAGACAACAGCAAAUGUGAAAUUUUUGUCUCCACCACUUUCAGGAAUGGCACCAAAGCUUAUUUAGGAUAUUCCACAUCUUAUCAACAUAAAUCAAGUCAAACCGACCUGACUAAUUCAACAAGAUCAACAUAAAUCAAGUCAAACCGACCUGACUAAUUCAACAAGAGCAAAAAAUAUAAGCCAUCAACUUCUACAUGUUAGUUUUGAUUACUCGGUCUAAGUAACUGCAUUUACAGGUAUUGAUAAUGAGAAACCUGCGAGGAUCAUAUAUGGUCACGGUACGAUCAGCUCCACCAACUGCUAUGCUGCUGGUAGAAGAACUGCAGACAGCAUAGAAGUUGUCACCAAGAGAGCCAGAGAUUCGAUGGAGGCAACCGCCAUUUUCUUUCAUCCUCAAGUCCCAUAUACUCAGCUGCAACAAUCCAAACAUAAACUGAAUUAAAAAAUAAAUUCAACCACAAUGUUUAAGACAAUUUAUCUGUAAAAACAAAUACUAUACAGCCUUUCUUUAAUGUCAUUACUAUACCUGACUACCUUCAGCGACAGCUAAUAUAAAACUUCCAUUCCCAUUAGACAUAUUCUCUAUGAAGUUCAGUGAAGAUGGAUACCACAGCCUGAAAGACCAGGUCUAUAAGAAUAACCUUUUACUCAAGUCUGCAAACAUAUGCCAUGUACCUAUAGUUAUCAAGCACUUAGAACAUACGUCCUCAGAGUCUGAAGAUGGAUAUCCUGAUCAUAUAUAUCGAUGCUUUUGCAAAAGCUCCGCGCCACAGCAGCCUGUGAUAUACAACCAGUCAGGAGAAGUCUCUAAGAAAUACCAUACAAGAUACCAAGUACUUCUAAAAAUAAGUAUGAGUAAAAAAACACGAAAAAACUUAUGUAGAGGCAGUGAUCUGCUCUCCAACUUUCAAUGCACUUUCUUUAAAUGACCAAUUACAGGUUCCCACUAAGUUUUGAACUCAGGUUCUCAGACAAACUAUCAUCCACGUUCCUGAGGGGGCGAGAACAAAAGGACAAAUGCCAAGCACAUGUAAUGUCUAAGAUCGUCAAGUAAAGAAGCGAGCAUUCAUAAUGAAAGAGAUUGCUCGAAAGGCAAGUCAAAUUCAAAGCUUGAAUAAAUAUUCCAAAACCACUUGAAGAAAACAGAAAAGGGAAACCACAAAAAGUGAAAGUAUGCUUUAUCAAUAAAAUCUCUAUGCAAUUGAGACUACCCUGUAGUAAGACAUGAAAGAGAUAAUGAGAACACAAAAAGAUGUGCCACGAGAUAAAAAAAAAAAAAAAAAAACUUAUUUGAUCCUCAAUGCUUCCAAAUUUCAAAUGGAAAUUGAAAAAAAGAAAAAUUCAUGGAUGACUAGGUACCAUAGACCAUUGAUUUGGACUGAAGCAAAGUCCUGCCCAACUACCUUCUCCAAUUCCACAAUCUUGAGGCAAUACCGAGUAUGUAAGCCUGCUAUCAUCUGAAACUAAUGAAUUGAAGACAGUGUCAACAAGGAAAGCAGGUGAUACAGGGAGUUUUAGCAAUCAUAAUGCAAUUAGAUCACUUACAUUAUAUAUAUGUCCAAAAACUUAUCAUAUCUCAAAUAAAUACAGUUUAAAUAAUAGAAGAUUAAUCUAAUAGCUUCCAUUGACGAGCCACAACAUAGAUAAACUGCACAGUGUGCUAUUGGUCAGACAAAAGUCGGUAAAAAGUUUGUGUAAAGAGUAACAUUUAACAAGGCUAGCCCAACUAUGAAGGGCAGAACAUUAAACAAAAAAUCAUUGGACUCUUCUCUGUCAGGAAACCUUUUAGAACCAAGGAGAGGAAAAAAGACUAAUAAUGCAGAAGAGAGAGGACUAUAGCAUGGAAAGGACACAGAACAUAUUAGAACCUUAUUAAAAGGACUCAUGAGGAGGGGAAUUUCACAAAUCAGUAACACGUCUUCUACAUCCACACAUUACUCGAUGCUUUCUUCUUUAAAUUUACAUAUUUGCAAAAACCCCAACCAGGUAUCAAAGUUGUAGGAACCGAGAAACCAUCAUUCAUGUCCAAUCGGGGAUAAAGACAUUUGAGGCACAUGCUUGCUCUUUUUCCAUUUACAAAUUAAACAUUUCUAAUUCUCCUGCUGAAAGUCUCCAUAAAAAUUUAAAAAACAUUUAAGGGGAACAUACCCUCACCACCUAUAUGUAGCUUAGAUACAAUGAGGUGGCCACAGGAAUCCACACUUCCCAGCAUCAAGUAGCCAGCACCUGCAAUUGAUCGAAAUAAUAUUAAGCCAACUCUAUUGACAUUGCCAUGCGGCAACUAAAAUUCGACAAGGAGAAGAGCAGAUUUCCUCACGCGAGUGAAUCCUUAAGACAAACGAGAUGACCAUAAAUUAAGCAUCUAAUACAGAACAUAUCACUCCACCAGGCAUGGAAGCUGACCAGACACGGCAUGAAAGAACUGUUUAAGGAACUAGUAAAGGAAUGACUCUUUCAAUCAUAAUCAACAUCGCAAGUCUAUUUUCCCAGAAAGAUUAUGUCAAGCUAAGCACAAGUUAUAUCUUACAAGGGAGCCAACCCAUCUCUGUGUAGGACUGGCAGUAUCGACAAAUAUAACCUGCUUCAUACAUGUCUUUUCGAAAGUAGCUCCUGUGUAGCAAUUCAAGCAACGUUGCUUUUGGAUAAUAAAAGGUUCAACAUUACUAUUUUGAAAUUAAACUUAAACUCUUCUUUGGCCCUUCACUUAGUCUGGUGGUUGGACAAAACUCACAUGCAAAGCUUUGGGUUGUAAUUAAUGAAAAUCAGCUGCACACAUUACACUAACCAAUGUGAAGUCACCCAAUAAAUGUAAUUAUUAAUACCAAAUUGGCCUAAAAGAAAGGGCAACAGAUUGUUGUAUAAAAUGCAGUAGUUUGUUGUAGGCCAGCAGUUUCGCUAGGUGGUACUCUACUGUUCGUGUCAAAUAGUCUUUGAAAAUUAAUUGAAUGAGCUGACUACCAAUUAAAAAAAAAAUGAGUUUAAUGAGCCAAGCUUUUUUUUUCUCUUUUUGUCUGCUGGCUUUUCAUAGUUGAAUCAGCCAAGGACCAGAUAUUUCUCAAGCACAACUCAACUCAACACCAUUCUUCAACAUCUUUUUCGUGAAAUGAAAUCUUCAGGUAGCUUAAAAGAAAAGCCACUUACUGUCACAUUCAGUCAGCACUAUACUCUGAAUUUCAGAUCGGUGUGGGCAACGGUUGACUAGCAUAGAGUCUGUAACCUUCAAAAAGCAAGGCCCUCACGUUACAAAAGAUCCACACAGGGGAUGACAGAAUGAACACCAACCACGGAAAUAAAACCCUUUUUGCCAGAAGAAAAGCUAAAACCAGUUCAUAACUGAAACUUGAGAUCACCGCACUCGAGUGAGCCUUACCUCCGCAUGAGCAGGAAUAAGAAGGCUUUCUUUGCCUUCGCCAACCAAAGCCCCCUCCAAGGGCACCUGAAGUCAUGAAAUGGAAAGAGAUAAAGAUAAGAGAUAUAAUUUUCAGAAAGAGAUCAGGACAUCAACGAGGUGUUGUGAACCCACGAUUCUCUAGCCUGUCUAAUUGCAUAAGCAUGUAUCCGAUAGAUGAGUCUCAAAAACCUUCAGCAAAUGGUGGUACCCAUUUAUUUUAUCAUCUCCAAUUCGCCCAGAAAAUCUCCACAACGAGUGGUCUCAAUAACAAUCAUUCAAAACACACGACCAUCACAGGUCAACACAUUUAAGUUUCCAGCAAAACUGCUCUCUCUAACCAUCCCCAACUUCAUCCUUACAAAACCGAAACAGCACCAAAUUCCAGUCGAGUUACCACCAUUCCCAUUCCCCAUCAUCAGUCAACAAGGAAUUAUCAAACACUACUAACUACCACACACUGCGGGCUACGACGGACCCGACCACACAAUAUCAGAACAUCACAAUUCAUGCAAAUUCCAGCUAAAAGCGGCCGCGUAACCUGGACUCUGAAGACGUGGCAACCGGAAGCGAUGUAGACCCAGCACGAAGAUCCUUCCUCGUUAGCCUGACCAGAAAAAAAGGAGGCAAAUUUAAGCUCAUUCCGCCCUCAACAACGCCCAGAGCGCGAGCGAGAGCGAUAGGGGUUUAGGGUUUUGGAGAGUCGAGCGAUUACAUGGAGAGCGAGGCGAGUGGACUGGAGAUUUCCAGGAGAGGGAUGGCGGAUGAGGGUGGAAGGAACCGCCGCCUUCACCAGAGUCCUCGCCUCCAACAUUCUUCUCCUCCUUCUCCCUCUUCCUCUCUUUCGGCCGGAACUGCAGACUGAGCCGUUCUCCGUCGUCGCCCGCCGUCGCUCGAUGAAGUAGGCGACGGAGCUCGGCGGCGGAAGCGGCAAACCGCCAAAACGAGUUUCGAGGAAAUUGCACUUUGCUCCCCAGAAACUUGUACUCUGUUUCAAUUUACUCCUCGAGUUUGCGUUCGUUUCUGGACCCCUCUCUCUUUCUGUUUUUUUUUUUUUCCUUAAACAAACCUUCCAUUGCAUCAAAAUAGUACAAACAUUACAAGAAGAAAAACAUCAAGAUGAUGAAUUGAAGAAACACAGCUAACACUAAAUGUUUUACUGUAGAGAGAUCAUUAAAAGGUUAAGACAAUGCGAUUCCUAACCGAUGAAAUGCCCAUUUUGCGACUCAUGAGCAACAACAUUACUAGUCCUAUUGGCUCACUUCAAAUUCCAUCCUAAGUCGUUACUAAGUGGUAAACGAGAGUCGAGACAAACGGAUGAAUACACCAGGGGCAAAAGCCAUUUUGUUGAAUAGUAUCGAUUAACACAUUACAGUCACUUUCGAAGACCGUUUUAUGAAUGCCGAACGAUUGAACUGCUUUGUAUGCAAGAAGAAGAGUUGCAACUUCCACUUCUACCGGCAAGUUCCAUCUUCCUUGUCUUGUCCACGCUCGGACAACUAAGCCUCUAUCUAAUCAUGCAAUAAUAGCUAUGCCCCUUAUUAUCUUUCCACGGGCCAUUUACAUUUUACCCCAAUAAAAUUUGGUUCCUCGCUUAACUUAACUUUGUUCUCUCUCCUUAACAUAUUUGAAUUCUCCAAGAAAUCUUGUAUGAAUCGCCUAGAAAGCAAUUGGAAUAGUCUAAUCAUGUAACUUUGCAUUCCCAUAACGCCACAUUCUAGUGCAGAGAAUUGCUGCAUAAAGGGUGAAGAGCUUGCAAUCCAAUCCCAUUCUUUGUGCUAAUUUUCCUGGGUCAAGAAAGUGGUUCAUCAUCUCUUUCAAAGACCUGAAGUUCCAAGCAAACGAGAUUAUAUACCAUGGGCUUUGUUUCCACAAAAUUUGGGCUAGAGGACAUGAUGUGAACAAAUAUACCAAAAUUUUCCUUCGAAGCUCCACACAAUGGGCAAGAAGGGUCUGGGAAAUGGAUUAAUUGAAACAAGUUAGCUCAACAAGGUAAGACAUCACUUGCUAUCCUCCACAACAUCAUUUUGCGUCGCUCAUGAGCUCUAAUUUUCCAUAUUUUGUUCCAAAUCAUGCGAUUGUUGCCAUUUUAAUCCACAACUUUAUGAGUUUGUAAGCAAAUUUAAUAAAAAAUAUUCCAUCAAUAGCCGGAUGCCAAAUGGGUUUGUCCACCGAUAUGGAGUUUGGCACAUGGAUCUAAAGAACAACUUGGAUUGAGAUUGGGCAAAGUGUUUGAUUUAGACUUAAUACAUCCCAAGUUUUUGUCCCAGGGAUAAAAAAGAUUUCUUUCUUUGCUUCAAAACAUGGUGUGGAUCAAUAAAAAAAGGCAGAUGAGUUAAAAUGUUAGGAAUCCAAGGGUGAUUUCCUACCUCGAUUGAUUUUCCAUCCCUUAUAUGAUACAAAGUUCCAGUUUGAGUAUUUCUCUAGCAUCCAUGAUUGCCUUCCCUAAAGGAGAGGCUGAUGCCUUGAGUUUGUCACAAGUACUAUGAGAAAGCUGACUAGAUUUCAUUGCAUAGAUCAGUGUGCUCUAAACAACCGAUCGAAUAUAUAUUGCUUUACCUACCCAAGAUAGUGUUUUCCUUUUUCAGGGGCUAAGUUUGUUAUCAAUUUUUUGUUCAGGGGAUUGAUAUUUUGUCCAACCUUUUCCUGGUUUGGAGAGGGGAUCUCCAAGGUACAAUACAUACCCAAUUGGCCCACCAAAUCCUUGGCAUUGAUUUUUAUUUUAUUUUAUUUUUUGCUGGAGUAUAGUCAAGAAAUACAUUACUUAUCACUCUCCAACUUUUAACUCGAUUUCGUCUCGCCCAUCUAAUUUGAUGCGAUAGAUUGUGAUUACAAAGUUUCAUUUGUAUCUUGGAUCACAAUUAGGCUCCAUGAUCUAUAGGAUAGUUUGAUCAAAAGACCCAACCCUACAUUUUCGAAGAUGAUUUCCCUGUAGAAAGCACCCAUUUUGAUCAACAUCAGUCUUUUAGCUUCAAUUUAACUUCUGAAUGUUCUUUUCGUUGGUACAAAAGUGGCAACAAUGUGGCGAAACUGACCUCAAAAUCAUCUCACAUGCCGGAUACAAGGUCAAAUGUCCCGGCGAGGUUGUGGGGCAACUUGAGGAAAAAAGAACAUGGGAUUCAGGGAGUAAUGUGACACAAAAUCAAGUUAAGAGGGGGUAAAAAUUAAAAUCAAGAAACAAUUCAGUGGGCAAUCCGUAAUAUCUUCAUUAGGUGAGUGACUCACGACUGUAAGGUGAUAGAAAAUUUUUGGCCAAAGAGAUCAGUGAUAACCCUAAUUAAAAGCUUCUAAGCUUUUCCUCUGGAUUGUUGCUUUCUGCAGAUGAUUAUGCAGCAUUGGAGAUGAGAAGUAAUUUUCACCAACUGUCCUGUGGAAACAUUGAAAAUAUGUCUAGCUCUUACGUUUUUUUUCCUCAGAGUCGAAUAAGGAUGCCAGAGAUAUUUACGAUCCAAAGAUUCUUUGAUACACUGUUCUUGCGAUGGUUUCUACUGUAGUUUUCUUGUGGCAAUUAAAAGGUUUCUAUUACUAGAGAUUUCUCAACUAUUACGGAUACAUAUAUGUAUACUUAGAUAAAGUUUCAUGAUCCGCUAUACCUGUGAAGACUCAAUUGCAAUUAGGUCACCAAGCUUCAUUUUCAUUCACUCAAACACAUUAACUUUUGAUUCCAUGACAAUCCAUGCACUAGCAAUAUACUAAGGUGGCCGUUAUCAGUGCCAACAAGGUGUCUAGUCAUCUCGAACUUAGAAGAAUAAUACAACCACAUAUUAAAAAAAAAAAAAAAUGGGGAUGUGGGCAGCCAGCUCGAAAUGAAAUGUAGGAACAAGUAAGAUAGAAAGGUGACUCUCACCCCACCCAUCAAGCAAAAAGCCAAGACAAAUCAACUAGAGAUACCCUAAUGGGUUGUAUGCAUAGAAAACUCCUGUUGGUGGAGCACUAAGAACUUAUUAAAACCAUAGUCAUUCUUGGAAAAUACUAAAAUCAAUGGUUUGCACGAGACAGUAUUGCAAUUGGAGACGUUCAGCAUCAACGCAUCUCCUUCUUCUUCUUCUUCUUCUUUAAGGAGAUAAACAAGGGAUUUCAUAUAAAAUUGAGGGUUCUCUAUCUUGUUUCCUUGGCAUUAAGACAUAGGUCUUUGUGACUGUGACGGCUUGGCAACUAGCGUCAUGUACUUGCGUGCGGGGAAUAUCUUAAACCAAAUGUCGGCCGAAAAGAGGAAUGACAGAUUAGUGAUUGUGGGUCAUCUUUUUGUCAAAAGGAUCAUCAUAAUUAAUUGCUUUGAUCAACUGAUAAACUAUAUACAAUUACUAGCUAUGGCUAGCAAGCAUUGUUGUCUUAGCUAGAAGCUGCAUUAGGGUUAAAAGAUCUGCUGCCAAGCUCUCUUCAAAAGCACCAACAUCGGAGUCAAGUCCUAUUUCUAGCUCAAACUCUUUCUUGACUUGUGAAAAAUGCCGAAUCUAGGUUAGUUCCCGAUUUCAGCCCUUCACUUUCGGUCGAUACCUAAAUUUGACCCCUUCAAGUUUUCGUACAAUAACAUCAUUAAAGAUCCGAAAUGUAAUUUCACUCAACUUGAGAUCUCUUUAGAAGAAGCUUGAGAUCUAAGUUUGGCGUAUGUGAAGAGCUUGAGGUUGUUGAUUUUUGAGUUUUAGAUGGUACGGUGUUUUGAUGGUGCUUUUUCUUCAUGAGGAAGGAAUUUGUCGGGAUAAAAAUGUAAAUGAAGGAGAUGAAAGUAAAAGGAAAAGGAAAAAAGGAAAAGAUAAAAGCAGAAAAAAGAGAGUAAAAGACUAUGAAAGGACGCUUGGAGAGAGAGCAGAGAAAUCGGGUGAUGUAAUGUGAAAUGACAAGUCGAAUCUUUAAACACAGGAAAAUUUAACAUGAGUUAGAUAUUGUAAUUGAUUGUCUAUACUUUCUCAUUAAAUUAAAAAAAUUCAAAUCAGAAUAGGAAUCGCUCUGAAGUUAAUAUUUUUGUAUGAUAUAAAAAAUGGUCAAGUCAGAAUUGAAAUUUCACUUAAAAUUAUUUUAUGAAACAAAAAAGAAAAAAUUCGCGUGCGUUCGAGCGACCUAAAUUUAGAGAAUCGGGCCAAAAUAGAGUAAAGGGCUGUAAAUAUUUUCCCACCAUGAUGAUGAAAGGAGGCGACUGACUUUUGUGUCGGUUCAGUGUACAUUUUGUCAAAAAAGUACAAAAAGUGGAACCCACCGGUUAUCUCUCUCGAAGGAAAUUUCUCUGUGAAAUCAAGCGAUGACACGUUUCUAUUUUUCUAUUACUUAGAAAGGAAUCGAGAUGGGGGCAGCGUAGCCAGAACCUCGUAAGUAAAGGAUCAUCUCAGGAACUUUCACUUUCAAACUUUGAUAUGACGUUUCAUCUUAUGAGAAUUUUUUGAGCUAUUAAAACGCUCGUGAUUCGUGUUUAGGGAUUUUAUUCCAAGUUUUUUUCUAGUGAUCGACGGCUCUCUUUAAGGAUAUUGAUAUCGAUGAAUAUAAUCAUAAAAAUUAUAAUAUCUUAUGUAUUGUGUGUCGAAUAACACAAAUUAAGAAUAAAGAGCCUUUAGACAUAUAAACCCUGUUUAGUUAUUAGGAAAACGACACAUAGAGUUUUUAAAUAAUGACUCGAUGUGUAAUGUAAUAACUGAACUUUUAAUUUAUUUAAUUUACUCAUUGAAUUGUCUUUAAAUGCUCAAUUUGUUCCUUGAAUUUUCAAUUUGUUCAAUUCGAUUCAUAAACUACUCAUAUCUAAGGCAAAUCAGUCAUUCAAUACUGGUUAGCGAGUUUUUAUAAUUACACUAUUGCCCAAAUAUAGGGAUGUGUACAAAUUGAGAGACUAUAAAUAUGCCUCAAAGAAAAUUAAUUAGCUUAUUGGAUUCCAACCAUUAUGUUCAUGUCUUCUUUUACUUUUACUUUUCUUUUUCUUGUCCUUGUUCUUUUCUUCCCUUCUAAUUCUUCUUCCUCCUUCCCCUAGAAGCAGCUCCUCCACCGCCGUGGUCGAUGUUGUUGCCCACCAGCCAUUGCCACCACCAUACUCGUCGUCAUACUAAAAUCCAACCGAAGCCAUUGCUUCCCCUCGAAGGGCAUAUUUGUAUCCUUUUGCGGUAAAUAUACAUGAUCUAAUUGCCUCAUAACUUUAGUGGAUCUUAUAAUCCUUGCAAGUACAAAAUAAUCUAAUUCCCAUUCAAAGUCAACUUAGUCGAGUAGAUCAUCGCAUGAUAAUUUAAUUUUUAUCGAACGAUAUUAAGAAAUUUACCUUUUUGCUCUAGAUACUAUCUAUAUGUAUUGAUGAUAACAAAAUCAUUUAUUAGAAAGAUGUUGCCACUUGAAUGUUUUAGACACAGAUCAUAGCACCAACACUGUCAUGCAUGGCAUCACAAAACUGGAAGCAAUUUACAUUACAAGGAUCAGACAACGUUGUAAGCAUAAAACAAUCAAUUAACAAUCACAUCGAAGGAAACGUGGAGAUUUUUAGAACACUAGCAAGGUUCGAGUUUCGCAUUUUGCUUCAUUCUAACCUUCAUCCACACUCGACUUUAUCUUCUCUUAUCCCUUAAGUUUUUUAUGUUUUUGAUAUUCACUACAUGACAUAACCAUUCACUUGUUACAACGUCGUUUACCCAUCUCAUGGCACUUUAGCUCUACUGGUUUAUGCCUUAGUGAGAAUUCGAUGUGGAAAAAGAGAACGUAAUUUAUCAUAACAGUGAUGCCAUAAUGAAAGAAUAGUCAAUACAUACACAUGUUUGGAUGUCAUUGCCUUUAAAAGGGUAGAAUAUACUUUAGUAAAAGGGGAAAAGUUCAUGAGGCGAUCACCAAUGUUGAAAAUGGUCCCCGUGAUCUGAUUUGAUGCCUGGCGUGCACUUUGUCAAAUUAAAAAUUAAUAUGAGUAUACUGCUCUCUAAUAGUGUAAGUUCUUAAAAUAUCAAAUAUAGAUGAUAUGAACAUGUAAGUGUGAUCGAGAGAAUCUUUGAAAGGGAAAAGAAAAGCCGGUCUCGCUAUAUUACGUGAUAAAAUAAUUAAUCACUUCUUUUCCAAACAAAAAUCAACUUUAAGAAUGGGGAGGACAGAGAGGGAGGGAGGGGUAAGCUGGUGAGGGUUAGUCUAAAGCAAAGAAUAAGAAUCAAAGCAAUGCAAUCUGACGUAAUUUCCGAUGGCAUCCCCCACACUACUGUGUGAAUUGCACCCAUUUCGGGAAUGAGAUCAUUGACUCUCCCUUCCCCAUUUGUCAUUGCUCAAUUAAUAAUGGAAAUCCUUUUGGGUUCUUCUGCAUUUCUUUAUUUGAUUUCAUUUGAGUGGUGCAUCUCUCUCUCUCUCUCUCUCUCUCUCUCUCGCAUGUUGUCCGACGGACAUAAGUAAUCUACAUAGGUUUCAGCCGGUAGGUGUUUUUUCUCUCUCUUUUCCAUGGGUAGGUAUGUUAAGAGGGUGGACACCCAUUCGAGAUCGAGAGAGAGAGAGAGGGAGGGAGGGAGUGGGAGGGAGUGGGAGGGAGUUGAGUUAGGUGCUUAUCAUCACCAUCAUCUUGGGUCUUCAUGCUUGAUGGAGGCCAUCGUUUACAGCUAGUUCCGGAGGUAGAAGGAGACCCAUGUUUCAGCUUCAAGCCUCCAUGACCAAGGCAAGAGAACUAAGCAUUUCUCCAGGAGUCUCAAGUGCUCACUUCUCGCACUCUGUCAACCCAAAUCUCUCUUCCUCCUCCUCCUCCUCCUCCUCCUUCUUUUCUCUCUCUCACGCACACAGAGGAUCACAGCAAGUAAAAUUUGUAUAGUUAUUGUGAUGCUUCUUCUCGUUAUACUCUCUUCUAUGGAUGUGUUCGUUUAAUUAGGAGGUUUAUCCAUAUUUAUCAUUCACUGGGUUUUUUUUUUUUUUGUUGCCCAUCUCUGUGUGUAGUUAUGAUUAUGAAUAGACUAACGACUCGACUCAUAUAAAAGACAUCCGUACAGGCUUCCCUUUUCUCUUAUAUCUUGAGCGCCUGUAGCAAGUGCGGUAGGGUAGUAUUGAUAAUUUGUUUAGGUAAACUAUGAUUUUAUUACUCAACUUAUUUAGAGCACUCCGAGAAUUAGCAUAUGACGGAAUCAUGUAUGCGAAUCCUAAUAUACCGAGAUUUAGGAUAUAUUAUUAUCCAUGGCAAGCAGGGUGUGCAAGGCCACCGGCCUCCUCUCACAUAACUAAAGCGCUUGUCUGAAUUUAUCAUGUGCAAUAGGUUAUUUGUAUCACAAUUCAUUGGCCAUGUCUCAACAAUACUCGGAAACUCAAAAUUGAACAUACUUGUCUUAUUUCAUUUCGCUGUAAUAAUCGAUUUUAUUCACCGCAACAAAAUUAAUUACUAAAUGAAGUAAUAUUUUGUACAAAUAAUCGGACAUUGUUAAGAAGGUUAGCCCGUAAUUAUAAAAGCAUAAUUGUUUAGCAACGUCACAUCAAUACAACAUAUCGUAUCAUUAAUGCGCUCUUUUAAAGAAAAGCCCCGAUUACAAGAAUUUUGGUGACACCAGCAAAUUUGCCCUAACAUGUCACGGUCGGUUAAAUGUCACCGCUAAAACAGGUGAUGCGUGAAUUAAAGAACUGCUAGCAUUGGAAACCCCUUUUCGAUAAAUAGAAAACAACUACAUCCCAUCAUCAAUUAUGGAAGAACCCCUGACAAUUGCACUCGGCGGCUAAAACUAAUGAUUAUCACCUCUCUUUUGGCAAAAAAGAGAAAAAAGAAAGGCUAGAAGAGAAGAACAUGUCUACAUCCACGGGGGGAUUAAAUUAAUCGAAUCGAACUUAUCGUUUGAAAGAAAAUUUGAUCAAGUGGGGGGGUGGUGGCUAGAGGACUUUCCCAGCAGCUGAAGGGACCUCAUGCUUUUCGACUUUUAAGUGCUCUUUUCCAAUUAUUUUGAUUAGAGUAAGAAAGUGGCGCUGGACUGGACCGUGAGAGUUUGUGCGUUCUUUGGCUUUUCACUUCUCUGCAAACACGGCAGAAUUAGGAUAUCUUUAUAUUCGAUGAUUCGGCAUCAUUACCGAUUGGGGAGGGAGUGAAGCGGCCGCGUGUAAUGCGGCCCGACAAUUCACUACUGAAAAAUAAAGAGAGUCAAAAAAGGUCCGAUUACAAAGUUGGUCUGCAAAGGAAGAGCACAAAUUUCGAAUCGAAUAUUUGAAUGUCUUGCUUAUUUAACCGAUGAUUCGGAACUUGUGACUUGACUUUCAAAUUACUUCAGUUCGAUGCACGUCCUGAGCAAAUCUUUGAACGAUUUGUGCCGCGUUUCCAAGCCACAGCGUAGCUCGUGUGGAGACUCCGGAGAUGCCAUUUUCCUGGCUUGUGUACGAGUGUCUAGAAUCAAGUACUUUUAAGGAAGUCCCUGAAGAUAAGUUUCUUAAAAACAAGAAUGGUUCACUUCUAUUAAUAAUAACUAACCCGUCUCGGCAACAAAUUACAGCAACAAUAACUUGCUCAAACCAAAUACCAUCAGCACGUUCAGCCAUACCGAGCAAGCGAGUAUCGUCGGGAAGACGUAAGGAUCCAGUCUCUCUUUCUUCCCUCUUCUUGGGUAGGAUGUAAGCGAUAGAGAGAAAGGCAUACAGAUCUUAACUAAUCAGACCAAAGGAAAUUACACCUUUCCAAGGAUAUAAGUUCAUUUGAGGAGCAAUAAGGUUUUCCAAUUGCUUCGAUUAUUUACAACAGGCGAAUAAAAGGGAAGAUGGAAUAAAGACCAGCUUCAUCCAUCAUUAAUCUCCCAAUUUUUGGAAAGUCAAAGAGUUCAAUUAUCCUUUACAAAUCAAAAGUCGUCGCAACAUAAUGGUAACAGCACAAACACACACAAGAAGACCCCAAUGAAGCGAACUCCAAGGGGGAUCAAUGGGAGAGAACUCCAAGCCCUCUCUAUGAAAACUUCUGCAGUUCCAAGGUUAGCUUCUAUAUAGAUAACACAAACUCUUUCUAAAACCUUCUCCCACAUAAUAGAUAUCUUUACAACUCCCCUCAUUUUCUAAAACCUGACAUUCUUCUUUAUAACCUUAUUUAUUACCUACCGAUUUUAUUCACACGCCAAUUUGGUGUCAAAGCUAGUUAGACAGAUGGCAAAAGCUUGAAAUGCAGAUAGAGGGUACCGGUAAUCCAUAGUAAACAUAUCCUUUCCGACCUUACCAAACUGAAGUAUAAUUUUAUCAUGGUCGCAAUGAGAUGGCUGAGAUGGCUGAGAUGGCUGGGAUGGCUGGGAUGGCUGAGAUGGUGUUGGUGCUCCAGCUGCCUGGUGGUUUGCAGCUAUCAACUGAAAAUUCUUUACAGAGGCUACAGUCACUCUUCCGCGGAAGUUAAGGCACCAACACUGCAACUGUUCAUGCCACCUUGGCGCCUUAUUUUUAAGGACCAAAGGUCUUUCUUUUCCCUCAUCUUCCUCUUCACGGGGGCCAAUGAUGUCCGAAAAGCGGGAACUGCUGAAUUCGGUUGAAUUAUCAAUUGAUCUUGAGAAAGAGAUGCUCCGGAAUGAAUCUUCCAGUGAGCGAGGAAGAAUCUCUGGCUGACCCGGGACACUGCUGCCUGCCUCAAGGGCUGAGGCAGGAAUAGAGUGCAUUAUGCAGUGCAUCCUCCGCGGACCCCGCGUGCCCAGCACAUUCAGCUCGUAUGUGACCUGAGCUAUGUUGUAGCUGCCAGUGGGGACCUUAGGUGACACUUUUUUGGAGUGAAAUCUGCGGCUCCGCCCAGGUGGAGAAAGCUGAGCAUUGUUGUAUGGAGGCUGUGUAUCAUAGAUGAUGAACUUGGUGCCAAGAAAAUUAGAUCUGGAACAAGAGGGAAGAACAACAAAUUGAGUAGUGUGCAAUCUUUCAUUUGCCAAAUUUUAACCAGUUGUCUUUACUAAGACCUACUUAUUUCUAGCUUAAGAGCCUCUCCCUCCUAUCUAUCUAUAUUAUCACGUUCAAACAGUCAGGUUAUGUUAACAUGUCCCAUGCUCAACAGCAAAUGCACCCAAUGGACAACAUCAUACACAAAAUAAUGCAUCAGAUGUGCAUGUUCGUGGAGAGUAUUAGUUAAUGGCACAAAGAGAUGCCAGUCUUGAACUAUUAUUAACAUGGUCUUGUUAACGAGUGCUUCCACGCACUAGUUAAUCAUACGUAACAAGGAAAAAUUUUCAGUUCCAAUACAUUGAUUACAAAUAACAUGGGAAAAAUGCAUUGAAAACGACACUUUCUAUAUUAAGGUGUUUAUCAAGUGGGCACUUGUCAACAAAACCCUAUUAACAUAAGGCUCAGCUAAAAAGCCAAUAAUACAGAAGCUCUAUAGUUCAAGUUGGCGCAAAUGCUAUCAACAACAGCAACAGCCUAAAAAUCUGCAAGCCAGCUUCUUGUUUCCCAACUUUAAAGGUUUACCAUUUCAUAAAUCUUUUUUUCUUUAUAAAAAAAUAGGAUGGAGAGGGGGGCAACCAGUGCUAGCAAGCCUUCUGGGCCUUACUAUAAUGGUCUUACGCCUGCUUCAAAAUGUUCGAUUUCAACCAUAACACAUUUCGCACCACCCACAACCCAGAGGUCAGAGGUUGGCCAGCCGUCAACGUAGCCCCACCAAGAUGCUAGUAGCCACAAAAUCUCCCCAAAGAGGUAUACCGAAGCUAGGCAAUAUAACACGAACCGUUCAGAUGUUUGCUCAGGAUGUGAAUCGCUCAUGAACUCAUGGAACAUGGAUGACCACUUUACCACUAGGCCGACCACUGUAGUGGUAAUUGUUUUCCGUUUCUUUUUAUCUUGCCAGUACCCAAAAUAGUACAGUCAGGAACUAAGAAUAAUUUGCACUCCCUUUUGGUAUCUUUCCUGGCCUAACAAUGAAUAGAGCCAUCUUAUGUACUCUUUUAUCAAGCCACCUUGGCGGUUAGAAGAUUAGCUUUAAUUAAGCUGAUAAGGGUUUUGGGUCUCUUAUGCUGUAUAAACAAAGCCAUCUUAUCUAUUCUUUUGAAGAUCCUUGAAUAUUAGCACAACCAUUACAAAUAGAACUACUCUCCUAAGAGAAUUUCAGGAGAAAUGGUGAUACCAGUACAAAUAAAUCACUAAUGCUUGUGUUAAAGAGUAUUAGUUUCAUAGAAUCUGUCACAAACUAAAUAUGAAGGCAUGGCCUAAAGAAGAUAUGAUUGAUGGGCUGUCCCAACCCAACAAAUCCUAAAGACCAUCAAAAGGAUCAAACUUUUAAAUUAAGCGAAAUUCCUUCUCCCUUGAUAGAAAUCUUCAAGGGUGUAAACUUAGUAUCUUUGUCUUUAAACACAAUGGGAAAGAGGAUAAAACACCAACAGCUUCUCUCACCUCAAUUUUCCAAUGUAGGUGUUACUUGAUCUUGAUACGUUAUCCGCAUCCAUGGAGAUCACAUACUCAGUGCAAGUAGUUCUCCUUGUCCGUUUUGCAGAGAGAAGGAACUUGCCAUUCUCAACCAGCAGAGCUGCGAAGAGAUAGGAUCGACAAUCAUUAAGCCCCGUGCAUAAAUAAUAAGAACCAGGGAACUGAUUCAAAUAGGAGGCGAUUAUCUUUUGAUAAGUGAGAUGAGAGGGUGACUAUAAUGCCUUAAUAUAAGCCUUCAGGUGACAAACAGAAAACAACAAAAUGAGAGGCUUCUUAGAAAGGAAGGACCUCUAAAAUCAUUAGCACAUCCAUUCGAAGAUAGUUUGAUUGCUUGAAGACAUAAGAACAAAAGUGAGUACCACUCUUCAAAAUUAGAUAAAGAGUCUAAAAUUGAAUUGCAAAUCCUGGUUCCCUGUUUUUACAGAAUUGCAUUUUCCUACAGACCAGUUCUCCCCGAGCAGUUUAUCGAAUCCACGAAGGCCCACAGAGAAAAUUGGUCCAAAGAUAAAAAAAAUAAACCUUAAAAUUCUCUUUAAAUGUCUAGACAUUUUUAAAUAUAAACAAGAAUGCAUAAGUAAGAACAGCAUGGUAGGAAGUGAUUCAAGACCAUCAGGCACUAACAGUAGCAUUAAUACACUAGGACCCACUGGUGCAAACAAAGGGAACUCUAGCAGCCCUGACUGUUUUAUAGCUAAAGAGCCGUAAAUCCACUUUCUCGGUCUAGUAAUGUACAGACUCGACAGGAUUCUUCAAAGUGGAUUUCCUCCACUGUACACAAAAAAGAAGGUUUUAAUGACAAAAUUAUACUAGGUAUACAUUCAAGAUUAAAUUCUGAACUUUGGAAUCUCCAUUUAAGUCCAUCAAAAUAAAAAUAUAUGGAGUUCAAGUUCAGCAAAGGUAAGACUCCAGGUGACUUGGUAGUAAGAAUUGUAAACCAGGAUGUACAAAGGAGUUAAGUGAUUAAGUAAUCUUGAAUCUACUUUGUGAAUAGAUGAAUCGAGAUAUUGGAAUCUCAAGAACCAAACACACGCAGGAUAAAGGAGUGGAAAGAUGCAUCUGGUGUGUUCAACAAUCGCAAAAAGAAACUUAAGGCUAAGUACAAAGGAGCAACACGGGCACUAUAGAAGUAUAAUAAAAAAGGAAUUGAUGAGUUGAAACUAACUAUGGGAUAAGAUUUCAAAUAGCAACAUUCAUGGAAACGAAUUAUGGCUGCAACUGUGGACAAGAUGAAAGAAGUUUGUUCAAGGUGAUGGGACACAUAGAAAGACAACGUUUGCAUGUUUGAAUGAAAGAUGCAAUUCUAGAGUGCAGAUUAGGGCUACAAGGAAUAAGGAAGACUUGAAAGCCACGGAACAAGGCCGUAAAGAGAGAUCUCGACUUUUUGGAUCUUUUCUUUUUAAUGAUAAUUAAGAUUUCAUCAAGACGGUAACAAGGGAGUAUCACCCCUAUACAAACGGCUUGGUGUAGAAGCCACCCCCAUACAAACUUAUGCAUAAAAGACUGUUUCUAACCUCUCCAACAAACUAGAUGAAGGCUUCAUACAAAAAUGAGAGGAAUCGCAUGAGAAGAUCCACAUAGCGAAGUCAUAGAGAAAUUGGGAUAAAAACUGAUGUUUGUUGUUUCCGUUGUCUGGCUUACACAGUGAGUUUUUUGCAUCUCUCUGUCAUGAACUUGGCUUUCCAUUCACUGUCAUUGUGCAGGUAAGACAAGUAUAACUGGAGCUAUUUUUGGUUUUAAUAUUUGAGAUGAGGGGAAGGAGCAAAGUGCUAGAAAACAAGUCUAAUUCUAUUUUUUCAUUAAAUUGGACGAGUGGAUAAGGAAGGUCAUUUAUGAGAAGCUUUCGCGAAUACCGUCAGAUCAGGUAGAGGUCUGGUCAUCCAAUGGUUGUAAAAUUAACUUCAUUACAGUUGUAAGGAGAGGUGAUUAAGAAAGGUUCCUCUUCUCCCUUGGAUGAGUAGGAUAAGAAAGGUCAUUUAUGAGACACUUGUGCAAAUAACUACCCGGAUCAUGUAGUUGACAAUAAAAUAUGAAAUCUGCGCAAUUAAGAAGGCGAGAAAAAUUGUAUCUUUGCAUGGGAUUAACCAAAUGGAGAUGAAUUCGAAACAUUUAUUGAUACACAAUUUUUAGCCAGACAUGGCCUCAACAAGCAGUUUAGCAUUUUAGACCUAGUUAAGAAGAAGCUAUGCAUUCAUAAAUCAAUGUAAAAACAAAAAUUGUAUCUUUGCAUGGGAUUAACCAAAUGGAGAUGAAUUCGAAACAUUUAUUGAUACACAACUUUUAGCCAGACAUGGCCUCAACAAGCAGUUUAGCAUUUUAGGACUAUUCAAAAAAAUCAAUACUAACUAGAUAAUUAAACUUUCCAAGUACAGAUCACUAAAGCUGUCUACUUUAAAUUUCAGACACUACGGCCUUUAUCAUAAAUGACACUCGAAAAUCUAAGCAACUGUUCACUUUUGGAGUACCCAAGGGAUGCAAGACAAGCCAACAAGCACUUCAUUUUUGACAUCUUUAGUUAGAAAACUGGGAACUUACCAGGGCUAAGGCAGAGGAAGAGGCGGUAAGUCAAUUUAGAUUUGUCCCUUUUGAUAAAACACUGAAUAGCUCCAUCCCGAGGUCCUGGCUGUCCGAGACAAUUGGGGAAACUUUUGUCAACUCACCAGCUAAAAAGUAGAACAGAAAUAUGCACUACAAGUGACCCCAACAAUGAAAUCUUUAAGGAAAGUACCUGCUUCAGUGAGACAGGGAAAGUAAUCUUGCCAGAGAUUUCAGGACAUCUAACAAUUUCCUUGCACAUUGCCCUCCAUGAUCUGCAAACUCCAGCACAGGCAACAACAUGUUUCCGAGCAGGCCAAGUGGUCUCGCUCACCUCUAAUCUCCUGAUAACGUCACGUAAAAGCUCAGGAGGAAGGCUGGCCCAUCUGCUUGUUUGGAUCACCAGAGGCUGAUCAUGGAAAUCUUGAGAACCACGUGAUUUCCCUCUUAUGUGGCCAGGCAACCUCACCUCAAAACUUCGCCUGGAUAAGCUUCCAAACCCAUCCCUUAUGUCACGAACUAUGCUACGGAAAGACAUUUGCUCCAGCUUGGCGACAGAUUAGGAACGUUAGACUAUAUUCUAACGUGGCUGCAUCAGCUCGUCUCCGCUUGAGUCAAACAAAAAUGACGAACUGUAAUGUAUACACAUCACAUCAGCUACAACAAACUCAAACUCAUGACUAACGCUUAGUAUCUAAGAAAGACGACGCCAUAAAGGAACAUAGAGUGGGAAUAUCUCAUUGCAAGAUAAGGAGAUUCGCAAGAAACCCUAAGAGACCUAAAGCAGCUCAAAAUACGGAGGCUUUGCCAGUGGUGACUUUUGAAGGGCUUUGGACCCCAUCGGAAACCCAAUUUGCCAUUAAAUCUAACCAAGCUAUGCCUACCCCAAGUGGAGAAUCCACAAAAAGAAUUCACGAAAACCACAAAAACAAUAAAUAAAGAAAAAGCUAAUCAGACAUAAUCCCCCAUUACAGAGCCCUAUGGAGAUCCUAAUAGCAUUAUUAUCCAAGUCAACACGGUGCUUUACAACAGAGCACCCACUAUUACGCAUUAAAAUGACAAUCUCCCGUGAGUACACACUUCACAUUUAGCAUUAGCAAAAAAAUAUAUAUUAUUGUCUUCGACAUGUUCUCUAAGGUAUGGGCUGGCCACAAAAAAAUAGGCCGACAUCUUCGACUUACAGUCAAUCUUUAAGAACAAGUUAAUGAUCUCCUCCUAAAAAUACCACAAAGAGUCGAAUUCCCGCCUCGUGAAGUCUCCGUCAGUUCAAUUCGAGCAAGCAACUAAAGGGCUUCAUCACAUACGAGUCGGAAAGAGAAAUUUUUCAAGUAGCGAACCUGCAGAAAAACCAGCUCAAAAUGGCGGAACGCGACCUCGGCGAGUCCUAAUUUAGGCGAAAUCGCUCUUCCCGUCGGCCGCAAGCCCAACCGGUCCCAGCGAGACCGACGAAGAUCAGAGCUCCCAGACACGCUCCCGCGCGAAACGGCGAGACUACCGACUCGACCUUCCGCUCCUGCUCCAGUUCAACGCCGGAAAAAGGACGGUCAGAAAAAGCCGAAAAACCACGCGGAAAAAAGAGCAGACGGAAGGGAUCAACGGAGCUCACGAGCCGAGCAGGAGCCGCGAGCGCGCGCGCGCGCCCCCCGAGACGAGGGUUUCCGAAUCAGAAGCGGGGGGACGGGAGCUCGGAAGAAUCGAGAAGCGGGGGGACGGAAGAUCAACGGAGGCGGCGCGCGACCGGAGAUUGCAUGCUCGCCGGCGGAGGGAUUUCGCCGGAACGAGGAAGCUUCGAGAUUUGUCUUCUCCAAUCGUCCACUUCGCCACUCACUCUCUCUUCUAUCUCUCUUCUGUGUGACGCCAGCAAUGGCGGACUGACGUGACCUUCGUCUCGUUAUAUAGGAUUCCACGAACUAACCUUUUUACUUAAACAAUAGAGAGAAAAUAAAAAUAAUAUACUUUUUUUUAAUUUUGUUGAUGUAAGAAUGUAUUUUGUGUAUGGGUCACGAUGCAAUUGGGAUUAUUCAAUUGAUGCGAAGGAUAAGCUCAAUCCCUAAUAUUUUAUAGUAGCUGCUAAAAUUCAAAUAAAAUAUCUCAAAAUAUGGAAAUUGGAAUUCCCAACCUGCGAAGCUACUAUUCGUUCUUGUAGAGAAAUUAUGAAUGAAUCGAUUAUUUUUAUAAGGAAUGAUCGACGAAAUGAAAAUGACACGUUUUAUGUGAUUUUCAUUGUAGUUUCCUUUUUCUAAUUAAAGGUUACUGACUUCAUGAAGAAGUUACUAAUUAUUUACGCAUGGGGUUUUUGCUCACACGAAUUUAAGGAUUCCUUUGGAUCAUGCAUAGUGAAACCUGUUGCGCUAUACAAAUAAAGACACAUCUAGCUCGUGGCGACACAUUUCGCUAUGGAUUGGCGAGCAAGCAAAUCUUGGAUCAUGCAUAGUGAAACCUGUUGCGCUAUACAAAUAAAGACACAUCUAGCUCGUGGCGACACAUUUCGCAAUGGAUUAUUUGCAUUCUUUUAACAUAUUAAGAAAAUAAUAAUUCGUCACAAAGUGAAAGAUUGUAUCCGGAAAUAAUGUUGGAUUAAAAUUAUAAAUAAAGGGCCGAUGAGUUAGGAGAGGGAAACAAUUUAUUUAUACCGACCAAAAAAAAGAAAGGAGGAGACCAUCAUUUUGUCUACGGGGAACAUUCUGUUAGGUCACCAGAUAUUUAAUUAGCCUAAUCAUCCAACAUAAUCUAGAAUUCGCUUAUCCUAAGGACACGUGUUGCUUUCUUUUCAAUUCUAAUUUUCAUUCUCUUUUCUCAUAAAAAUUGUCUGCUCUCAUUUUCAUGAACAAUUCAUAAUCCAAAAGUCAAUACCAAGAUUGAUUGCUAAUCAUAAAUCAAUUAAGCUUCAAUUUUUCAUGUAUUAUUAACAUAUUUCUUUCAUUACAAUCACUAAUUUCACAACCUAUUACUGACUCAAUCGAAACCACUCUUUCAAAAUCUAAGUGUGGUAUCCACCUAUAAUGAGGAUUUUAUUUUCAUACUAGUUUCUACAAACAUCAAAGAAGUUGUCGAUUUUUCCUUUUUCAUCACCUUAAUCUCCUAGAAAAUUUGAGAAAAUCCCACAAAGCCCACCACGAAAUUUUUAAAUAUUAUAUAUAUUAUUAUUUUUUUACUAUAGAACAGACAGAACAACAAGAGUUAUAUAGUAUUUUUGCAGGAAUGCAGAAUCGACACGCAACACGAAAAAAAGAGAGCGGAUGACCUAAGCAGGAUGUUAACGGGGUACCAUUAAGUAAAUAUUAUAUAUAUUUUUGGUCGAAAAUAUUAUAUAUAUUAACUGGGCCGACUUUGAUGUAAUUUUGCAAUUGUCGUUCUUGAUGAAAUCAAGGGUAAAAUGACGCCAACUUAUUUACAGAGUUAGGUCUACCCUUCCAGAUUAUGUUAUGAAAUUUAAUGAGUUAUCCUAAAUAGCAGCACGUAAGCAAAAUCAAUUGGAUGCUCGUGUUCCAGAUAUGGAUUGAUGAUGACUUAAUCUGAAAAUUUCAUCUUCCUAUCUUCUAAUCCGCAAUGUUGUAAUUACUGUUCAUAGGCUACAUGAUCGCAUACACGCCCCGACAUGGCACAUACAUAGGUCACCUCUCCCUCUCCAUUUGCCUUCCCCCGCCAGCAGUAAACAAGCUGCCGCUGCCGCUCCGAUGACCGCCCUUGUCGGGGUGCAGAGCUCGCAUCCGGGUCGGGGCUCGCCGCUCGUGAUGAAGGUCUAACGCUGUUUUCUGCUCAUGGCCGGUAAUGAAAGUAACAAUGUAAACUUUCUCUUUGUGGCGGUGCACAAUCACUAGACAAAUAGAACGACGAGCACCGGAUAUAACAAAUAAUUAACACGAGAAGUUGUGGUUUAGAUUUCUUAUCUCUCGUUUAUGCUCAUGUUAUUAGAAAAUAGUUUCCCAUUUGGUUCAUUGAAUAAAGUUUUAAUUAAAAAGUAGUUUUCAAAGAACUUAGUUUCAAAGAAAAUGAUUUUAGUUUUAUUACGUUAGGUUGUCUUUUGCCAAAAAAAGAAGAAGAAAAAGUGGAAGUCAUUUUCGAUCUUCAUUACUAGAAAAUAUAAGAAACACACAUUUGAGGAAAAGUCUUAAGUUCAAACCCGCGUUUUGAGACCUGGACUUGGUUGUUGAGGUCUAAGGCUUGGCCGUCACGAUCCCAGAUGUAGGCAUUGGGCUCCUGGUCUUGACCUCGAGCAACUUGGCUUGAUCGGCGGGACCUGAACCAAGCCUUCGGAGACUCCAUCAUGGGCAAUGGGGACUCAAGCUCAACUUCAAGGGAUGAAAGAACUUAUUUUUGAGGAAAAUGAUUUUAUUUUUAUUGUGUUAAGUUGUGUUUUGCUAUAAUAAAAAAAAAAAGUGGAAGUUAUUUUCAAUAUUCGUUACCAUAAGAUAUAAGAAACACGUUUGAGAAAAAGUCUUAAGUUCAAAUCCAGAUUCUAAGUUUUGGUGUUGGAGACCUGAGCUCGGAUGUCGAGGUCUCAAGCUUGGUUGUCACAAUUUUAGAUGCCAACAUUGGGGUCUUGGUCUUGACGUCGUGCAACUUGGCUUGAUUGGCGGGACCUGAACCAAGCCUUCGGGGACUCCAUCAUGGGCACUGGAGACUCAAGCUCAACUUCAAGGGUCCCUAGGCUAGCCUUGGAGGACCCAGGCUUAUACGCUCGGAUCCAAGUUUCGAGAUUAGUUGUAUUUUGAAAGAUAAUUCAUGAUUUUUUAUUUUUUUUUCUUUUUGAACUUAAAUAGGGAAUUUCGAUUGAUUGUGACAAAAUUUAAUCGUUUUCAUUAACGGUCGAGACGCCUAAAAAUGGAGAAAAUAUUUUCCGCCAAAUAGGCAAACGCCUUCAGUUACUCUUACGUGUCUAUGGGUACACAUUUUUAUAUAUUCACAAUGGCGACAUCGUAGGAGGCAAAAAUCACAAAAAUUGACCGUCACAGAAUUGAUUUAAAUCAAUUUACGUCUUUAGCAAGGGACUUUAUUUUAGUCAAAAUAGAGCAUUGGCUCCGAUCCUCUACUCAACCAUAGGCUACAAGUUGUCUUUCUUUUCUUUUCUCCUCCCCUCUUCUUCUUUUCUCUCAAUCUGCAGAUGUGAGGGUUGAAAUGUCACUCAGUUAGAUGGUUUAAGACUUGCGCAAAGACCACGGUGUUAGAAUGGUUGUGCAAAAUCAAUAUAAGCGGUGGUACGCAAAGCAUGCAUUACUACAUUGCCAUUCUUAGAAUCAUGAAAAGCGUUAUUAUCCCCUACGUCCACUUGAGUGAUAUUACUUUUUCAUAUUAUAUAUGUUCGGCAAACACUUGGGGUGCAUCUAUAUGUGUUAAGUAGUGCAUGUUUCCGUUGAUAAUAGUAUAUUAUAUAGAUGUGUUGGGUGAAAUUGUGAAUAAUUAUAUCAUUCGUAUAUAAUUUAAUUUAUUGCAGGUUUUUCAUAAUUUACCCUAAAUGAGAAAACUUCAGCCAUUACAUCACAUGGCAUGUUUUUGUCGAUAACGGUAUGUUGUAUAGACAUGCAGGGUGAUAUUGUCAAUAAUCAUAUUAGUCAUAUAUGAUUUAAUCUAUCUCGGGUUUUCCAUAAUUCACCCUAAAUGAGAAAAAAUCAUACCCAUUACAUCACGUGUAAUCCCACGCAAGGUUGGCAUCAUGUCAAAACUUGCAAAAGCAGCACCGUGCAAGGAUUUCUACUGCAGAAAUUAGUAGCUACAUGGAAAUCUCUUACAAGAUUGAGGGUGACCAAGCAUGAUAUAUCUCUUUUUCUUUCUUUAUAUAAUAAAGCAAAUCUUAGGAAAACCUAAAACAACAUUUGAGAGAUCAAAUCCUUUUUUCAGUAAGAAUUGAUCAUAUGUUAAUCUCCAAAAUAUCACUCCUAUGUAGGUUCCAGAAAUAUGAUGGAAGAUAGAGCUCUAUUCCAACUUUUCUUUACCACUCAAUUUCAUAUUAUAAUUUUUUUUUAUUAUAACCUCACUCCAAGACUCACAAUUUUUCAGCAAAUAAAAUUAUCCCUAACUGGAAACAUGGACAAGAUCAUUGUGGCCCACCCAAUGAAGGCCCAAAACUUAAUGGGAUGGGCUUGCUAUUUCCUUAAAGAGAGUAUCUUCGAGGUCAACCUAUGUUGACCGUACUUGUGAUUGGAGGUCAUCAUUUGCAUAUCAAGUCUAAAGUGCGAAUGUUGCUGAAUUCAAGCAAUUACUUUAAAGCAUGCCAAUCAUUAAACUAGGACCAAGUGAAAUUGAUGUAUUGGCAAGCCAUGGGCCAGUCACAUCCUAAGAAUAUAUGCAUUCUUCUGUAGCGCGCGUCACUGUAUAAUUUGUUCAAAAAAUAAAUGACAUUUUAAAGGGACAUAUACUGUUCAUUAAAAAUAAACUGUUUCUUAUUCCUAUUAAUAGGUUUGUGAAAGAGUUGAUAAAUGUUAAAAAAAGGGAAAAAGUGAGACGUGUAAGUGGUUUGGUUCGGUUUGAUUUUUUUGGAAAACCGAACCGAACCAAAAUCACGGUUUAAUUCAGUUCAGUUUUGUUCGGUUUUUCGAUUUCUAUUUUUUUGCUGUUAUAUAUUGUACCCCUUUCGAUAAAUUUUUUAUUUUUUAUUUUUUCCCUUUUCUUUCUUCGUCUUUUUCUUCUUCUUCUUCUUCUUCAUUGGCUAGUCAGCGGCUAGCGACCAACCAUAGGCAAUGUCAAGCCUGGCCGACUUGUGGGGAGGUUUCACCUCGCUUGAUGCCGGUGAACUUGAGCCCGCCUAAUUCAAUGAGGUCAAGCCUCCCACAAGCUGGCGAGGCUCCUAGCGAGGCUCUAGCUUACCUCUAGCAAGAAAAAGAAAAAAAAAGAAUGAAAAAUAUUUAAAAAUCAAUUUUUUUUAUAAAAGAAAAAAAAUAAAAAGAAAAUGUAUUUGAUGAAGGAAGUGAGAUGGAAGAAGGUAUGAAAAUUUUUAGAUUUUAUUAGUUUGGUUCUGUUAACUGAAUUGAUUAAAAAAAUUUUGGUUUUUAAUAUUAUCUGAAAUGAAAAAAAAUUGAAAUUUUCAAUUCGAUUCGGUUUUUGAUUUAGUUUUUGACACCCCUAGAAAAAAUACUACAGAAGUUCUAAACCUAACAUAUGAAUAAAAUCAAGUUCUAAAGCAUCCAAUUGAAUCUAUGAAAACUAUAUUGAAGGGUUUUGCUCUUUUCCCUCUCUAUCGGCAAACCCCCUUAUCUUUCAAAAACUCUCCCCUCUUUUGAAGUUCUCCGAUAUUACUUAGUCUUUGAUUUUAUUUUUCUUUACUAUGACUAUCUUUUCUUUUCUCUCUCGUUUUGUUUUGGGAGUUGUGUGUGAGUAAAUUUCUAAAACUAACCUUAGGUGAACAUGAAGACCAGUUCGGCCAUUUAUUUAGUCGGCAGCCAUUGAGGAGGAUGUUUGUGCAAGGUUCCACAACUUUUCGAGAAUAGGUUGCUCUCCUCUUCCGAUUUACAUUUACGUCUAGAUCCGAGAGUCAUACUAUUCCAAACUAGAUCUAUAUAUAAAUUUGGGAGUUCCUUCUAUGUAUUUGACAAUGGUAAUGAAAACGUCGAAUCUAGUUGUGCACCGCAAGCUGUUGCAAAUGGAGUGGAAGAUUUUGACGUAUGCUUAUCACCAAAUCUAGUGCUUGGCUAUUAAACAUUUACGGUGGUAGAUCUGUUCCCCAGUUUUUCGAGAUUUGCUAGGCUAUGUACAUCUUGAGUAUUAUAUUAAAAAGUGAAUGAAAUCUUUCUUUCCACAAAUAAAAUAAAAAAUAACGUAGUCAUCCAACCCCCCCCCCCCCCCAAAAAAAAAAUCAAUGUAGUCCUAGAUUUUUUUUUUUUUUUUAAAUGAAAAUGCAAACAAGCCUACAUGGUGGAACCAAAGCUUUAUUUUCUUAUGUUGGUUACUUCCUAUGGAAAUUAAUGUAUUCAAAGUGCUGGCAAAUCAUACGAAUAAAAGUUGAUAAGUUAUAAAUUACUAAAUUAUAGAUUAUUAAAGUGUUAGUAAGUUACCAUCAAGUUAAUCGAAGAAAAAUCACCCGUUUUUUCUCUUUAUAUUAUCCUUUUUUUUUACACUUGUCAAUAUUUAUUGGAAAUUGCAUGUUGGGUGAAUGAAAUCCACUUCUUUAGGCACGGAAUAGAGUUCCAUUUUGGGAAAUGGAAAAAUUCCGAUGUUCAAGAAAGGAUAAGAUUCAAAUUCAUUCAUGGGUGAUUUGAGGAAUGGCUUGGGAAAUUAAUAACCCACUACUAUACUAAUUUAAAAUGAACAACAUUUGGAUAUGUUCCACAUGCCAUUCAUACACCAUAAUUAGACCAUAAUAAAUAUUUACCAUUAUUCUUUUGUGGGUCCAAACGCAGCCUUGUAUUACCCGAAACGAAAUCAUAUUUUUUCAAGGAUCCACUAAGAGAAAAACUCACGGAAAAAACGAGGGUUCUAGUGUCAGUGCGUGUUUCAGCUGCUCAACGAAAAAAAGGAAGUACAGAGGCGGCUGUCAUAUCACCAUUUCCCUUCCUUCAAAAUGGCCAGAUUCUCCAUCGUUUUCCGGCGGCAUUGCGCGAUGCUAAGAAAGGAAGGGCUUUGUUCAACCAUUUUCACUUCGAUUUUUUUUUUCCGUUUCCUUUUUUUUUCCUAUAUCAAGAAAAGGGAGGGAAGUGGAUAACGAUAAGAGGAAAGGAAAAAAAUAUCUCAAGCUGGAAGGAGGAAGGAGGUUGGAAGCAAAUGGCCAUUGAUGGCAACAGCCAAGGAGGGGGGUCUUCCCUACACUUGUACAAUUCGCUGUCCAUUAUCAUUCAUCUCCAUGUUUCCGAACGCGACCCGUCGAGUUCGUGGGGCCAAAACUUCUUUUUUGGUUGGACCACCGCCAUUGCCUUAACUUCACCAAAGUUGGACACCAAUAUGGUAGGGCAUAGGCAAGUGAAAGGAGAUGAUAAUUAUACACAUAUGGCUUGAAAUGUGUGGAAUCUGACACAUGUAGAUACAACUCGUGAGAACGACCGGAACUGGUACUGGCGAAACUGCAGUUGGGAUGGCAAAAUAAAGAUGCAAUUGCCGUCGCUAGAACGAUGAUACAUUUGAUAUGUGACUAUACAUACGAUAAAAAACUAAUGCAAAAACAUCCUUAGAAUUCAUUGUAAAAGUUUUUCUGACGUGGUUAAUAUUGUAAUUUACCCUUAGAAUUCAUUGUAAAAGUUUUUCUGACGUGGUUAAUAUUGUAAUUUACCCUUAGAAUUCAUUGUAAAAUUUUUUCUGAUGUGAUUAAUAUUGUAAUUUACCAUUAUACGAGUUGAUCUAAUAAAGUUAGAUAUAAAAAUUCUUAGUAAAUUUAAUAUGAGAUUGCUAGUAUUAGCCGAGUAAAGUCCGAUCUAUGAUAAAAAAGCUUGUAACUGAAAGUUCUAUAAAUAGUUUUCAAGUUUCUUCUUUAAUCCUAAAAGCACGCAUCGCCUCAUAAGGAGAGAGUGCAGGGUAGUCUUAUUAAAGCCGGGGUUAGGAGGGCGAUCGAGAAGAAGGCUUGAAACUUAAAGUGACCAUCGAUAUCCCGCAUCAAGGACAAUGAUCUCCAAAAUAGGUGCACAAAUCACUUACUCUCCGUUAUCAUGCUCUUGAAUCCUGGCUAUGGUGAUGUUGGAGUACUGAUUUCGAGGCUAACAUCCAUAUAAUGUAUCGAACAAAUAAUUAUUAUCGAAAUUAUACAUCUCUAGUAUUUUCGUCGAAUAGUCAUGAUGGAGAAUGAGGGUGGUCCCAGAAUAGACGUUACAUGUGAGUUCUAGUGAAACUCCAUAUAUCUCACCGGCACCACUUGAAUUUGACGAAUGGGAUGCCCUACCUUCGGCCACCACGGCUUUAAGUUGCUAGGCCAUGAUGUAUUUAAUCUUAGAACAAUGUUAGAUUUUGCUACGCACCUAAAUAAGUCACCAACCAAUGUAGGUCAAUAGCUAUUUCUCUUCACUUUUUUUUUACUACGUGAUAAUUUAGCAACCGCCGCGAAAUAAUAGAUUGAUACGUAACAAGAAAUAAUUAAACUUCCACAUGCGAUUUAGUCAUUUCAUAUGCAAAGUGACUUCUCGAUGGUUUUAACGCGUGAUUAGUGAAUAACUUAAUUAGAAUAAUCAAAACCGAAAAUCAGAACUCUCGGUCAAAACUUGCUCGUGCAAGAAAAGCGACACAGACCCAAAUUCUCUAUUAACCACAUCAUUUACACCAGAAAUGAAAAAUCUUAUCCUGUUCUACAUGUAUCUCUAUCCCCAAUGUGAAAUUUUAUUUUCUCAACCCCAAAAAAAUCGUAAUAAAUUGGAAAUAAACAUGAAAGUCCGCUCACCUUUAUCUGCAACAAGCCCAUUUCGCUCUUGCUUCGGCAUGAAUCCGUCCACCGCAUGCCGACGGGAUCCGACCCGCUCAUCGAUCCCCACGGAGUCUUGCCUGAACCCGGUGAAGUGAGCCAAGUUUCACUCGGCUGCGCCCAUUGAAGACGGUUUGCUAGCCACGAUCUCGAACUCACGGCCGUCGUCAUCGCCAUCGUCAUCCUCGCCCUCCUCUUCCUCCCGAUCGAUAUUGCUGGGGUCGUCGUCGUCGUCGUCGUCGUCGUCGUCGUCGUCGUCGUCUUCUUGGUUUUCACCAAUGUGGUUCCCUUCCAUCUCAUCCAUCUCUUGCUGUUGCUGUUGCUGUUGCUGUUGCUGUUGCUGUUGCUGCAGCUGCUGCGGAGGCGGCCACUGCUGUUCCGGGGCCACCAUCAGUGGAGCUGCCGUGCUUAUCAUCGGACUGAACUGAGUGGUGCACGUGAACAGCGUCGAAGAGCCGAGGUCGCCGCUCUUGCUGCUCUUCUCUCGGUAUAGCUCGUCGAGCUGCUGGAAGUAGGGGCACGUCUUGGAGUCCUCGCGACGCUUCUUGUUGGAUUCCUUCACCUUCUUGAAGUACUUGUUUAUGUUCUCCCACUUCUCCUUGCACCGCUUCGAGCUCCGCUCGUACCCGAGCCUCCGCAUUGCCACCGAUAUAUCCUCCCACAGCGGCCCCUUCGGCCCGUUCUCUUGGUACUUCCCAUCGAGAUUCGUUCUCAACCUUAUCAGUGCCUCGACCUCCACUUUCGGCCACCUAGAAGAGCUCGCCGCACCACCUCCCCGGGGGGUCGCAAAAUGCACCCCAUUGUCGGCCUUUGGGACUUCGAUGCUCCUCAUCUGAGAUGGAAGGGCCGCCGCCGCCGCCGCCGCCGGUGGCGGCACCGUGGAUGGUUUUGGUGUAGCUGGGGUUGGCACUGCCACUAGCUGUUGCGACAGCGGGUUAUUAUUCUGGGCCGGCGAAGACCUGCGGCUUUGCUGUUCCGCUAUCUUCUGCAAGAACGACAUGACCGCCGUAUCCUUGGCUUCGGCAGCCAACCUCUCUUGGGCCAGGAUCUCGCGCUCCCGGGCAAGCCUCGCGGUCUCCUGCAUCCACCACGACUCUUCUCGGGCGGCCCUCUCACGCUCGCACUUAUCGAUCAUCUCCAGGAAGCUGCGGUGCAGAUCCUCUUGCUUGUCCAUCACAUCCUUGAUCACUCUCUCGAAGAAGUCCCUCCACCUUCUCUUCCGCUUAUUUGGACGUUUUCCUCGUGGCACCCCCUCAUCCGAGAAUGUUGAUGACGAGGUCGAAUUGGAGGUGGGCUCUCCAGGCCGGGCGCCCCUGGGGAAACCAGAGUUCGGUGGAGGAGGAGGAAUGACAACGGUAGGGUUUGAAGGUGGUGGGAAGGAAGGCAUCGUGAAGUUUAGGACGGUGGAGGAAGUGGCCAAGUUAUUCUGUGGGAUAAUAUUGAUGUUGUUGUUGUGGUGGUUACUCAUGUGGGUUGUGGAUAAUGGAACGGCGGCGGUGGGGACGUUAGGGAUGCUGUGAGGCCCGAUCACCGCCUGCAUUGCUGGGGGCUGUGCUGCCGGAGCUGGAGGCCUUGGUGGUGGUUGCGACGAGUGGAGGGUGUGAUUCUCGAAGGCCUCCAAUUGAUCGAAGAAGCGGUAGGCCUUGCCCUCGUGCUUUCCGGUCCUACCGUCCUUGGUGCGCUUGUGGUACUUGAAGACGUUCUCGAAUUUCUCCUUGCAUUUCUUGGCACUCCGAUGAUACCCAAGCUCGCUCAGCUUCCUGUGAAAACAACAGUCACAGAAUAAACAAAUCUCACACUCGCAUCCACGGACAAAAACAUCAACAGCCCAAAAGUAUCUUCCUCGAGCGCACAACCGCACGAGGGACAUACAAUUAUCAAACAAUAAUCUGGAUAUUGAACUAGGAAUAAGCAACGAGAGAGAGAGAGAGAGAGAGGCAAAAAGAUAAUUGAAAGGAACUCAUCUGAAGUAAAAGCUUAACGAAGAUUUCUCUUGUUUACUUCAACAGAAAAGCAAAGACAAGACAGCACAGACAAACGAGUUCCCUCGAUCUGAACUCGACUCUCCCCCUCACCGAAAGUUCACCUUCAUUAAAUCCACAUACGAGCAACCCCAAGAAGAAAAGGACAAAAGAACCGCACAUGUAUAGGCAAGAUUAUCGUCCUAGACCCUGGAGAUAUUCUUGAAACAUUUGGAAAGUGGGGAGAAGAUUCAAAAGAAAAGCAGAUCUACUGCACCAACAACUUCGCAAACGCUCGAGCUUUCGCUUCAGAUCGAAGUAGAAACAGCUAGGAAGAUAGAACUCGGAAGUCGAAUUACCUGGAGACCUCUUCCCAGAGCGGACCCUUUGCACUCGAGUCCCGGAAGGUCACGUCCAUGUCCGACCUUAUUUUCAAGAGAGCCAGCGUCUCCUGCCUCGGCCACCUAUUCCCGCCGCUCUCCUCCCUCCUCCUCCCUCCCUCCUCCUCGCCCGAAUUCGGCGCGAAGCUGCCGACCUCGGCUGCCCCGGCUGCUGCAGCGAUCGCUGCCACAGUCUCCGCCGCGUCGCCGGACGCUCCCGGCACACUCGGUGCGUCCCCCAUCAUAGGAUUCUCUCUCUCUCUCUCUCUCUCUCUUGCAGCUGAACGGAGAUGUAAUGGAGGGCAAGACAGAAGAGGAAGAGGGAACAGAACGAAUCUACCAAAAAAAAGAAAAAUAGAGAGAAGGGUUAAUCCCCAACAAGGGUUUCUAUGAGAGGAGAGGAUGAUCAGUUUGUGGUGAAUACAGUAACUUUUUAUAUUUUUGAGGUGGGAGGAUCUGCUUGUCAAUCUCAAGAAGCUAGCUAAAGCUUUUUUUUUUUUUUUAAUAUAUUUAUUUCGGCUUUUCUUUAAUUUAUAUAUAGAAGAGAAAAAAACAUAUCUGAGUGUACUCUUUUUCUCUUUUCCUUUUAGCUGAGGAAUCUGCAGAUUUAAAAAAUAAAUGAUUUUUUUGGGAUGGUUGGUUCUUCUUAAAUAAAAAGGAAAAAGGGAAGAAAUUUAUAGUAGGGGGCCGAUCUUGUCCCCCCUCAGUAAACUAUAAAAGCGGCACAGAAGGUUGCGUAAAAUAAAUGAAUUUUAAAAUACGAGCGUGCUGAAAAUAAGAUAGAUAUAAAUUUAACUGGCUUUGAUUUAUUUUAUUUUAUUUUUCUUAUGUCAACAGCUGCAUAUGGAGACAAUAGUGAUAAUAAGUUGGUUUUUGUCUGUCCAGCUAAAUUGAGUUAAAAGCCGGCCCAUGUAGGCCACCCCUAUUCCCUCUCCAUUCUCUCCCCACUUCCUUGUCUUCUUUUUAUAUUUCAUAAUUAUCCCCGAUCCGAUACGAUCAGUUAUUCUAGAAAUUUAAAUCUUUGGAAGAGUAUUUCUUAUAAUGCAUGUAUAUAUAUAUAGACGUUCGUAUCUUUGCAUUGACAUCCGUAUAGUAAUGCGAGAAUCGAUCUACUUUUCAAGACCAUAUUAUAAAAAAUACGAAAUCAGCAAGUUGAAAGCAAUUUGAAAAUCAAUACAUCUAUUUUUGCAAUGAUAUACAUCUUUGUCAAGGAAGUAGUGAGGCAAGUUCCUAGCGCCACGAUUACCACCUUUAGAGUAUACUAGAAAAUAAAUAAUUUCAAUUAAUUUAAUGAGAAAGUACUUUCCAAAUCCUUUUCAAAAUUUAAACAAAUUUAUAUUCGUUACGCAACCCAUGUGAAAAGAGUCGCACAGACUAUUUGAUUCAAAAAGGGUAUUGCAACCGACAUAUAUCGUGUACUAGACAUGAUUAGUGUAAAAAUCGAUUAAAAAUGCAUUUCUUUUUUUAGAGAAAUGAAUCAUCACGAGACUCUACAUCAGAGUAUGUAGAUCUUGCUUGUAGAUCACAUCUGAUUGGCCAUGACCGAAAUAAUACAUGGUCAUGUGAACAUGGUCACGGUCACAUCAUUUGAAGCUCAGCUAAUCUCCUUUUACUUUCGAUAAACAAGGGUUUUUGCUCGCGAUUUCAAAAGCUGGCGGAUCCAGGUGGGGCCUCCAAAUGACCUGUGUUUAGCGUAGCCCUAACAUGGAUCCAAUUAGGCACUUAAUCAUUGAAGCCAAUUACAGCACAAAUCACACCGGAUCGGCACGGCUGAUUGCGAUCCGAGUCCGCUCCCUGCAGUCUCCCAAUAGUUUAUACCCGGUAACUCCCUAGUUCAACUGGCAACCGAAAUUUGAUAAAGAAUUGGGUAUUAAUUAUUGUAUUUAAUAAUUAAUAAUAGGAGUGAGAAUGUGAUACUCUCUUCUUGUGGGCGCAGGCGGGGUCCUAAACUGAUCAUGACCCAUGCAGCUUUGACAAGUAUAAUAUGUAGUUUUUAUAAUUGGGUGAAUAAAUAUUGAGAAAAGGUCAUGAGCAGCCGAUCUUGCGAGGAAAAAGAUAUUUAUAUUUUUUAAAGUGGGAUCCACUAUUUUGAAUUGAAACUAGUUAGAUGGUGGGUCAAUUUUAUAAGGCCAUGCCCAUUUAUGAAUCGAAGUGAAUAGUGGCCAUUUUCGGUUAGGUCGUGACCUACCGUGACAUGUGGUAUUAAAAUAUUGAAUGGCUUGGCGACCUGAUAAUUAUUGGAAAAUUCAAUGGCCAUUAACCCACUUGCGGCAUAAUGAUCUAUGACGAAUGACAAGCAAGAGGGCUAGUAUACAAAAAAAAAAAAAAAAAAACCCAAUCUCAGAAUUUCUUUUCUAAUUCAGUAACAAGUUCAACAGAAUUAUUGAAAAAAAAAUGGUAAAUACCGAACAAAAAAUCUUAUACUCUAUUUUUUUUUUGUAUUAUCAAAAAUCCUAAAUGUGCCUACUCUGACACAAAAACUCUCAAUUUUUUUGUCACGAAAAAAUCCAAAUUUAUAUAUGUGUGACAUAUAUACUAUCUAUUUUAGUUGCAUUCAAGAUGUAAUAAACAAAAAUAGUUUGGAAUAUUAGUGUAAUAAUGGGCAAGCUUAAGGUUUCAGUGACACAAAAAAAAGGUUUAAGAUGUUUAUGUUUCGGUAGGUAUGGUUUGAGAUUUUUUUUGUGAUAUUAACUCAAUAAAAUACGGAUAAUACUCAAUAGCUAUAUAGCAUCACCUCUCAAACAUGUUUUUUUUUUUUGUAAAUUUAUAUGCGUAUAUAUAUAGUUUAACAUUCUAGCACUAUUCAUGAGUGAUUGGGGAGGCAUUUCCAUCAUUAUCAAGAAUGAAGGUGGGGAGAGGGUGGACAUUGCCGUUGGCGCAAGUUGCUGUACUUCUUUGUCAAUUAAAAUCCAGCACGACUUCAUCCAUACGCACUUGCACUUGAAAACGACCCCCCCCAGAAGAAAAAGUUUCAAAUAAAUUUGCCUUCACGCGCCGGUUAACAAAAUACAUAGAAUACCCAUUUUUCGAUUUCAACGACAGCCCGUCCAAAAAUUGUGGAUGAGACUUGAAGGCCGGGAAAGAAAAAUAUCCGUGAGCGAUGACGUCAUAAAAAAGUCCAUCCAUCCCGAUCUUUAACUAAGGUGAGAAUAUAUUAUAUUUUAUACCUAGUCUCGCUGCCGUUUGUCCAGAUUAUUAGGGUUGCACUGAUCUUUUCUUUGUCAGGGCUAAAGCGUGAGGAGAAUCAUGUGGAUCUUCGCUUGCAUCGCAAGGCAUGCGCCAUGCAUCUCCAUUCCAUCUUCUUUUCUUCCAGUUCUUGCUGUCCUCCGCGUGGUGCUUCGCUGUCGCAGGACAUUGGAGCUGGCGUGAGGAGUGAACUGUAAUGGAUCCCCCUUCGUGGGGCGGCUGCAGAGCUUCCCUUUGCUGGAGAGAGAGAGAGAGAGAGAGAGAGGGAGGUUUACGUAAUCCGAAAGCGUUUUUCACAGCCUGACAAGUACAACCGGAAAUCUCCCUGUCAAAAAAACUAAUCUGUAUCUCACAUCCUGGAUUUCCAGCGGGUUCGGCUCGCUGAUGUUGAUAAGAACAAUGACGAUGACAGAGCUGUACGGCCGCUUUGUAAUGCAUGUUACUAGGUUAUUCUUGAUUGGCCGAACAUGGCUCGGUCGUUUGAGUGCUUUUCCUGUGUACCCAAUCAUUUUGCAAAAAAGAAACGCCUUAGAUUCGGAUCGAACAGGUCCUGUCGCAGUAGACACAUGUAUGAUCAACGGCUCAGAUAGGUUUGAUUUGAUGAAGUCGGCCGUUGAUAAGAUUUAUCCAACUUCCUCAAUCAAUCUGUCGGAUCGAUCUUUGCAUCCUCAUAUAUAGUGCUCUUACAUUCCGGUUCAUUUUCCUAAGUUCGGCUCCAUCUCAAAUAAUAUGAAAGCCGUUUGAUGACAUUUGCUACCAACAAAUUAGGAAACGCGCAUUCGAGAAAAAAGUAUCGAUUACAACCCUAGAUUUCGAGUUCGGACACUGGGUCCAAGGCCGGCCUUGAGGGACUCUCUCGGUGUUGGAGGGACUCGGGGUUGGCCACUGGGUCCUAGGCUUGUUCUUAGAGACUUGAUCUUAAACGCUGCAAAUCGGGGCACAACUAGUAAGGUCCCUAGUCUGGGUGUUAGGGACUUGAGCAUGGAUAUUAAGGAACUAGGCAUGGUCACCCGAUUUGGACGACCUUGGCCUAUUCCCAAGGGACUUGGGUCUAUCAAGGUCUUGGGUGCGCUUGAGCCGGGAAUCUUGUCUCGACCUCGGUGACCUAGGCACAAGCAAGAACAACCUAGGCGUGAAAAGCUGAGUAGUCGAGAGCCGGUCCUAGGGACACAAGCGUGAUUGCUAGGUACUUGGGCUCUCAUGCCUAAUUAUUGGGGUCUAAGGUGCAAGCACUGCGGUUUCAUUGUAUUUUCGAAAAUGAUUUCCAGUUCUUAAAAAAGGAAGUCUUUUUUUUUUUUUUUAAUUGAGGGUAGAUUUUGCCUUAAUUAUGAUUUUUUUUUCCAGUAAUUCAUUUUGAUUGUCAUUUUUCUAAGCUAUGCAAAUGCCGAAAAAUAUUCUUGACAACAAAUUAUCUGUAGAACACGCGGGACGCAGGACUAUUCUUUUCUGACCCCGGAAAAAACGGCCUUCAUUUAAUGGAUGGAACACGGAAUGUUCAGGUAGCCAACUAGCCACGGACUCAGACCAAAAAAAAAAAAAAAAUGGCCACGGACCGAACGUACAAGAUAUGGCCAAGGCCUGAUAUAAUUAGCAUUUGAUAGUAUACAGGGACCAUCGACCUGAGCAGUGUACGACCAAAAAAUAAAAAUAAAAAUAAAAACUUGAGCAGUGUGUCUAAACUAUAUAAGCGAGCCAAUUCCAGGAUCACUAAAUAAACCCUUCGUACAAUACUUAAUAUUAUCCUUAUUUGCAUCUAUUGUAAAUACAAUAAUUCUAUGAGUACAAUAUUACGUUAUCACUCAAUUUGUAAACAUUAUCAUUGCGAUAUUUAGCUGUUUCCAUUGAAAUGUCCCUCAAAGUCAGAGUACAAUGGACCCCCCAUAUGCUUCAAUGGGGGAAAAAAACCUUAUCUAUACGUAUAACCCGAACAAAAAUGGCAGGUUUAGACAAUUAAAAAGAAAACAUGCAAGCAAUAAUUCAGUGCACUGGAUGCAGAGUCUAAUGGAUGGCACAGAAAUAAUUAAUUUCAUAUAUUAUCACAAGAAUUCAAGUAAAAGUAUCCAAUCAAUCACAUAAACCCGUAAUUUUAGGCGCACUAACUUUUCUCAUAGAAAUACGCAUAUCGGAAAUUAGAUUGUUUUACAUUAAAUAUGUUUAGAAUCAGCCUUCUGAAAGCGGCCGUUAAUUUCAGAGAUUAUCAUCGAAAAAAGAAAAGAGGGUUUAGAGAAUUUUUAUUUUUAUUUUUUUUAACCUUUUGCCACUCCUCUUAAACUCGUGGGAAAGAUUGCUUGCUCAGACAUCAUCCUGUUGGCUUUGCAGAAAAGGGGAUUGAUUAAUGAUGGUGGCGUUCGGAAUCUGUCUGAAGAUGCCUGAGAAAAUGUGCAGAUUCACAUGUGAAGAAGAAGGUGGUAGCAACGUGGUUAUUUAAUGAAGGAGGAGUUAUACAUGUGGAUCGCCAAAACUUAAUGCUUUGCCAUUAAACUAACUGGUCAGCCCUUAGGGUCCGUACGAACUAAUUUCUCUUUUUCCGCUUUGCCUCGUGCAUUGCCCAGAUUACAAUUAUCUUAGGUUUUGUUCUCUCUCUCUCUCUCUGACAUUAAAGAUUGGAAACUGGUUUUUUCAUACCCUAAAGAAGAAAAGAUCAGACCAGGUUUUUUCGAUUAUUAUGAUUUUAAUUUGUUGUAUUAAAUUAGUGGAAAGAUAAAAAUUUAAAACAUUGUUUGAAUCUGUAAGAAUUGUUGAAAAGUUUAUAUGUACAUACACAUGCCAAACAUUCGCAUUUUUGUAAAAGCUUCGAGUAUUGCGGAUGUAAAGAGAGAGGGAGAGUCAAAGUAUUUCGGUUGUGAGAUUUGACCAAAUGCAUGAUAAAAGAUAAAAGUCUAUUGAAACAAAUAAUUCUAUUUAGUUACAUUUACUAUGCAAAAAAAAAAGUAAACGAGUUAAUGUGGUUUAUACUUUUUUUAUUUCACGAAAAAUAAAUUAUAUGAAAAAUAUCCUCACGAAAAUGAUUCUUUAUAUUGCUUAAAAUAAUUAAAUAUUUUCAUGGAUGAUGAAAAUAUUUUUCGUUUAUUUAUUUUUGUAAGUAAUACGAACAAUUAAUUUUAAGAAAAUAUCUUCUAUAUCAUUUAUUUUUCACAAAAUAAGAAGAGUUUUAAUGAGAUGAUGGCAUAAGUCUUACGCAAUUUAGAAAUUAAAAAUGUGGUGGGUUGUGUGUAACUAUCGCUUGAUACCUUAAACUUCCAGGAUUGAAUUGCCUUAUCAAAUGGAUCAUUGAGGCUAAAGACAUCGAAAUGACAAGCUAGGGAAACAAAAGGUGGACACCCUCCUGAGGAAACCUAGUGACGAGGAAUUCCAUUUCUUCUUCAAUAAAUAUACGAGCAUUUAUUUAUUAUCUAUAUUAUAUAUUAUUCUUGUUUUUUUGCUGGAUGUAUAUGAUUGCAUCGUGGAUUGCUGCAAGUGCAAGUACUCCCUGCUACAUAUCCUGUCCCUCUUUUGUUCAAUCUAACAAGAAAUGAUGUCACAACAAGUUAUGUAAAAUUAUAUCAUCGUCCCAAUAAUUUUUUUCUGAACUUUACAGGCAGACUGGUAAGGGGGAGUUCUAAAGAAAAUGUCAAGUAGCUAAGAAUAAUAGGAAAAAAAAAGCCGCAAUUUUCUAGGGCAUCAAUUAAAUAACGUAAGCAAGGACUUUAACCUGCUGGCCCCGAUCGAAAAAGUUACAGGCAAUAAUACAAAAUAAAUAUAAUAAAUGUUAAUAAUUGUAAUUGUGAUUAUGAUUUAUUUGUGUAUGUAGACAAAAAGGAGUUUACACCACAUGGUGGGCAUGUGGAUGUGAAUGAACACUUAGCAAAGGGCACUGUCCACCAUGUCUGUCGCCGACUUGGCCACACCCCACGUGGAUCCCUUUCUUCAUCCCCAUUUUAACCCUUUUUUCUUCCUUCUCUUGUGUCCCCUUUCAUUUCAUUUUAUAUUUUUACAGAAUAUUUCUCUGUUUCUAUUUUGUAUUGAAAUAUUGAGCUAAAGAUAUAAUUAUAGGUACGAUAGAAUAUUAAUAUCGAGGAGUCCUGAUUAUCUAUGAUUUUAACGUCAAGAUGCGCAUAACUAACGUGGUUUCAUUCACGUAAACUGUUUAAAGUAAAAGAUAAGCUAGUUCUGAUUCGGACACCUCUUAUGGAAACGACUGUAAUUUUCUGGAGUAAAUUUUGGGUUUUGUGGCCUAAUUCUGAUAUACCCACAUGUUCUUUUUUUAUUUAAGAAAAAAAGUAAAGACGACAAUUAUAAAAUCACACCACUCCACUCCGAAUGUACGGAUUCGAUUAAGUGUUCACUUAAUUCUAGCAUUAUUCUUAGUAUAUACCUUCGCCCGAGGCAGAUCAACAUUAUAAGAAAACAAAAUUCAGGUACACGAAACUUCAUUUUCUUUUUUUUUUCUUUUCGUCUGCAAAUGUAAAUAAUAAUAAUAUGUCCGGCCGCUUUUUCAACUGGAUGUUUUAUUCCAUUCACGAGAUCAGCGGAGCAUUUCAUGAAUUUUAAAUUUACAACUUACGUGUUUUCCUUAUUGUGUAAAAAAUAAAAAGUAGAAGACCGGUUCGUUUUUUAAAAAAGGGUGAGAUUUAUCUCUCCGUCCUUAAACCCAGUUACUCUUAUUUCAUACAUUUUGCAGUGUUACUAUGGUUUUUCUUCGCUUUAAGAAUUGAGAUUAUAUCAAGUUAGGUAUAACUUCACGUCUUAAAGUUGUUCUCUUAAAUAUACCAUUUCGAAAAGUUGACACAUCGGUUCAAAAUUCUUUUCACGUGGCCCAUAAUUAUUUUCCAUAUCCUUUGCCCGCUUCCUUUUACAAUGGCCCCCCUUACCCAGAUUAUCCUGCUCUUGUCACCCUGUCCGCCGUUCCCACCAACCUCCGUCGGAGCCGAGCGACACCGCCGGCCGUGUCGCUCAGUCACGUCUUCCCACGUCGCGCUAGCAGUGGCUGCACCGUCGCUCCUGGCCUUAGGUGCCAGGAGGCCCCUUCAGGCUCGGUCACCCAACUAAUCCUUGCUUCAAAGAACUUUUUCUCCUACCUAUUCUGCACAUUCUGUAUCAUUAUCGAAGUUCAACAUAUCAUAAGAAAGGAUUAUCUAAAGCAUGUCAUAAUUAACCCGUUCUACACAGUAAAUAGCGCUGUUCCUAAGUCGUCCUAUUAAAAGACUUCAUGGAUUAUAGAGUUGAAAAGUAUAGUGGACUACCCCACUUGAGGAGAAAGGUCAGGGCUCAUCGCGUUGGAGACACGUCCAAAUUUGACAUGACACGAGGAAAAGAACAACAGCGGGAUCUAUCUAAUUGGACACCUGCCAAUCCGACUGUAAUCAUUGCAUGUCUUUAUACAACACCUAAAAAUAAGAGGAAGACUAAAACUUUGAGAAAUGCCCAAUUAUUUCUAUGCACUGAGCGAAUGAAUGCAAUUAUCAAAUUCAAAUUUUUAAUGAGUCUUUAUGUGAAUUCCGCAUAUGUUCCAAAUUUCUAAGUAAGCUUCUUCCCGCAAAAGUUCAUGGAACAACUCCCAUGUGCAUGUGCCAAACAAUCAGCUAUUUUCUUUUUGGGUGAGAAUCGGAAUUCGAAGCGUGAAGUUUUCAAAUGAUUAAUUGCUCUCGAUUAGGGAAGAUCCUUCUUGGAACAUGGGGCCAUGUGCAUGUCCAUUUCACCAAGCAACGUAUGCGGAUGUUUAAUGUUUAUUAAUUGGGUCUGUCCUUGGCUCAAUAAAUUAGAGAAAACCUAAUUUUGUUCUCGGAUAAAAGAUGGUACGAUGAAGAAGGCACAGAAAAUGUCUCCAAGUGGAGAAUAAAAUUACCGAAUAAUGCAUAAACUGUAUUCUGCAGAAGAUGUGGCGUACAAAAUAAGUUGAGUGACACCCACGUAAGUUAUUCUAGUGAUUGAGAUGUAGAUGAUUUCUAUUUGGGAUACUGCAAAAUCAGAUGAUUGUGAACCAUUUGAAUAUUUUAGGUCGGAGCCAUAUUUUACUUGAUUCCUGAUUGGAAGAAAUUUUGUCCGAACACGCAUUUGAUUGAUGGAUGGCAUCUGUAUUCAAUAACCCAUCAAUCAAAAAGCUAGUUGAAGGAAAACACAACCAUUAUCGAUUCCAUUGUUGGUUUAUAAACUCAUAAUCUCAUAAGAACCGUGAUCAUUUUGUAUUUGUUUACUAUAGUUGUCAUUUUCUCAACAGCUUACGGAUUGAUUUCUGUAAUAUUUUUUUUUUUUGUCUGUGGGGUAAAGACCUACAAAGGUGCUAACGAGCAGGAAGAUAGACCAAACCAAAGCAAAACCACAUUUGGCAUUUUAAGUAUAACCAUAAAGGGAUGGGAGACCUUAUUCAACGCUGAUGAGAUUAUUAGGUGCUUCUUAAACAUAUAUAAACUAAUUAACCAUUCAAUUUUUGCAUUAGCUUCCAAUUUGAGUUUGCAUAUUAAGAGUGGUAGUUAUUCUGGCCGAUGCAGAAAGAUGAGAUGCGUUGGACUCACAAAACAUGUAGCCGGCUACUUUUUGGCCGGAAAAAGAACGACUAUUUAAAGAGUAAAUAAGUUUCGUUUAUUUUGCGAAAAUUGAAUUAUUUUGAAAACAUUUUCCUAAAAAUGAUAACUUGUAUCACUUAAAAAAUUAAAUGAAUAAAAAUAUUUUCAUUUUUUAUGAUAAUAUCCAUACAUAAAUUAUUACUGAUAAUAAAAAAUAUUUUUCAUUAACUAUUUAUUUCAAGCAAGUAUUUCCAAAUCAUUCUUCUUUUUUCUCAUGAAGCAAACGGAGUCUAAAUUACUCUAGGAAAUUGAGUGGUGAUUAAAAAAAAAGAAAAAAGAGAGCAACUGGCAAGAAGAUCUAAAGCCUUAAUCACUAGGAUCUUGAAAGGGUCUUUAAUCCAAAUCAUCAGCUUCCAUAUAAUCAAGAGCUAAUAGAAGUUAAUGAAGGCCUUCGAGUAUAACAUUUAUGGAAAAACACCGUCCCUAGAGAAUAUUUCCAGUUUCUACACAUCUCACACUUGAUUUGAUUCUCAAGUGUAACAUCAUUAAUUGGUGUGGCUCAAUCAAAUUCAAUCGCUCUUUUCAGUAUAACAAAACUCGAUUCAUCAGUAGAUCGCUAAAAUUCUCGUUGCAUAGAUGAACCGAAACCGAAACCUUGUAAUCUUUAGCUGAUGAAAAGGUUUUGAGCAAUGUAAUCAUGCGGUUACAUAGGACCCGGUCGACUUAACUGCAUUCAUGCUCCAACUAAAGAGGUUCAUCUGUGCAGAAGAUCUGCAACCGAACGCGACCGCUGCGUCUCACGGUCGCACGACAGGGAAAUGGAAGACGACGAUGCCCCCAUCUCUAGCAUUUUACAGUGACAUUAAGCAGAUAUUUGAGUUAGGCGGGCAAUCCCGGAAAAUUCAAUAGGGUCUUUUCUGGCCAGUUCAGUGAGACUAUUUUCAGAAGAAUUGAGGCAGCAGCUGCAGAUCUGGAAUCGAAUUAGGCAAACUUUCACUAUAUCACCAAAUGCCAUGCCAGAGUUGAGAAAUUCAGGAUGCAAGCAAGAAGGGAAAACGCAAACAUGAUUGCUUCAUGAGCCGAGACUUCAAGUAUGUAUAUGCAUAGCCACCGACGGAAAAAGCAAAACGUUAAACCGAGAAUCGGAACUCUGUCAUCUGAAACUUCAAUUUUUUAUCUUUCUUUCUGUCCGACUUAAAUCCUACAAACAAAUUUACUUGUUCAAGCAGACAAAGCCAUUCAUCACUCAUGGUCACUAAAUUGUCUACUUGAACAACGAUCGAUUGACUUGGGAUUUCCCAGUGCUUUGCACCAGAGAAUAUUUAUAUCAAGGCAAAGUUCUGUCGGUUUGUCUUAUGUCCAAAGCUUUAUUGUGAAGAUCAUCUCCUGUACAUCUGAUGGCAAUUGCCGACAUUACUUGCCAGAGAUCCAGCAUUGUAAUCUCUGAUCAUGUUUAACAUAAAACACCUCUUUAGCUUUUAAUCUGUUAGAACACGACCCCAAAACGCAUCCCCGAAAAAAAAGAAAAAGAAAAAAAACCACCUUACCGGAGAAAAGAAAAGUAAGGAUUCUCAUGAGAAUAACAGCUAGUGUGAAAGGGAAUGGCCGUCAGGCCUUACAACUUUGAGAAAAACUUCUGGGCAUUUACAUCUUAGAACAUCAUAAGUGACAUCAAUUUUCAAGACACAAGCAACAUAAACGCCAUUGAAUGCCAGUCGUAGCUUAAUUUUUUUUUUUUUUUUUUUGGCAAUUUAGAUAGGUUUAAGCAAGCGGCAUACAAACCAGAUAUUCCUGCGAAGAACGGUAGUAAUUUUACCUACAGAUGAAUUGCACAGACCGCACAUAACACAGGUCAGUGCAUGAGCAGAAAAGAUGCUCGAACUUUAAAAGUUAAGAUUACUCGCAGUAAAAUCUUUCAAGCGCGAAAUAGCCCGAAGUGCUGCAGCAACAAUGUGUCUAUUUUACUUUCCUUAGGGUUCUGCCAAUGUCAUUCUUUACAGUGAUUGCCGUAUAGUCACAUAGUCUAACAGGAUCAUUAUGGAGUGAUUGUCUCACAUCACCAGACCAGCUUAAACAAAUAUUUUUGUGUCUCAUUCUCUUCAGAUGGUAACUAUGUUGUUCCAUGCCCAGCCAGUCAGAACUUUGUCUUCCGCGGUACGCUCCCACCUAGCAAUCAUCUUCAUCCCCGUUACAGCAUUUGGUAAGCAUGUUGACAUCCAAUUGUCCGACCCUCCCCAUCAUAAGAAGCAUAAUCCGCUUCAUCCAGCAUUGAGUACUUAUCCACAAGAAAACACUUGAUACAUCCCAUUGCAGUCACUACUUUCCAUACUUCAGAUUCUUGUGCUCCUAUUUGGACCAAUUUAAACUGACUUGUGUUUUAAAUUUUUCCAUCAUAAUUCAAGACUCCUUUGUUUCUCUCAUUAAAGCUAUACGAUCCACAAAACAUUGGGGAAUUAAGCUGUGAACUGUAAGCAUGUGCCUCACUAGAGUGAAGCAGUAAGAUCUCAGCCCAACGCAAUAUAUGUUUAUAACCUAAUAAAUUCCUCCAUUGGGCCCCUUCCUUCGAAAUCUAUAUGCAUCCCAUUACAAAGAGUUGCCAUGUAUAAGUUUAUUUCUUCCAUCACGAAGCUAUCUAGAUGGAAUGAGGACAACGCAUGAAAAUCAUGUGCUAGUUACACUCAGCAAAAACGCCCUCAAUCUGGCUUAAGGUAUUGUUAUACUUUUGAUUGCAAUCCGAUAACACCGCCAAGUUCCAAAACACCAUCUCAACGUCACAGUCCAGUUCUAGCAUCUGCUAACUAAUUUAAGAGAUGAAUUAAAAGGGCACAAUAUCAGAAAAUAGGAACCUACAAAAAAUUCAAAUUGACAUUCACAUCUAAAAUAAUCAGACACUGGUUAUAACUCAUAUCAUUCGCAGAAAAAAAUAGAGCCAUUGCACCGAUGUAGGCAUCAAAGAAAGUGAAAAAGUUAUUAGCAUCCAAGAUCGUGGAAACAAGUUGAGCUUGGAUCCAGACUGAGGCAGGUCAGAGCCCAGGAUCAAUAGCGACACACUGACACAUGUCACAAGAAAGUCAUAUAUUUCAAUUGUUCAGAUGAUGACAACUACUAGCAAAUCUUUUUCUCCCAUGUAGGUCAGCAGUCGGUGACACAAAUUAUGCACACCAUUAUACUUUAUUUUGCACUAUGUAUACGAUGAGAUUCAAAUACUCAAGAUCUUCCCUUACAGUUCCAUAACACCAUCCCAAGAUCACAGUCCAGCUCUAGCCCCGCUAACUAAUGUCAGAUAAGAAUUUAAAGGGCACUAAAUCAGAGAAUAGGAACCUAUAAUACUUCAAAUUGACUGUUAUUCACAUCUAAAACAAUCAGACACUGGUUACUACUCAUAUCACUUGCAGACAGAGACGGCACUAUUGCACCAGUGUAGACAUCAGGAAGACUGCGAAAUUUAUUAGCAUCGAAGAUAGUGCAAACCGGUUGAUCUUGGAUGCAGGUUGAGGCAGGUAAGAGCCCAAGAAUUAAUAGCGACACAUAAUGUAAUAAGAAAGUCACACACAAUUUUUAUUGUUCAGAUGUCGAAAACUACUAAGCACAGUCAGCAGUCAGCAGCAAGAAUUAUGCACAACACUGUACUUUAUUUUGUAUUAUCUAUUCAAUGUGAUCCAAAUACUCAAGAUCUUCCCUCACAAGUCCCAACUAUAACUUUUUAUGCUCUCUCCACCCUUUUUGAAGUACAUCGCUACAAAACACCAGAAGACGCUUCAUGUGUCCUGACCUCCUCAAACAAGCUUUUCUCAUCCUACCCUUAAUUGAGGUAACACCAAUUUCUCUUUCAAAUAUAUUCAUUUGGGAUCUAUCUUUUCUUGAGUACUACUAGAUUCAACAACGCAUUUCAUUGUAGUGCAAUCUUUCUGUGCAUAAAUUGGCAAUUUCGGGAAAAAAAAUAAUUAGGGACCAAUCUGCAAAACAUAGUUCAGUUCACAUUGGGUUUACCAAAGAUGUGACAAGAAUAAUAGUGUUAAGAGUAAUUCAAGAUUAAAUCACGUUUUUAUCUAAUAGCUUAAGCUUUUGGAACAGUUAGCAGAGGUCCCAUCAAAAUCUCACAUGGUAUCAGAGCAGGAGGUUCUGAGUUCAAAUAUUUCUAGGCCCCUAUUUGCCUUCCCAAUUAUAUAUUUCCAUGGUUUAGGCUUAAACCAAAGUCCAGCUUACUUGUGAGGGGAAGUGUUCAGAGUAAUUAAAGAUUGAACCAUGCCUUCAUCUAAUAGCUCAAGCUUUUAGAAUAGUUGGCAAUGGUCUAAUCAAAAUUUCACAAAUAAAAUUCACCAUAUUCCUAGAAGUCAUAAAGUUCGAAAUGCCAGAGUCACUUGGAACAAAACUUUCGAUGAAAUCCAGCUUCCUGCACAAAGAUUUAGCAAGAACUAAAACAACUGGAAAGUGAAAAGGAUUUUGUGCAGCAAUGAAGGAUUAAGAAAAGGCACCGUCACGUUUGCAUGCAUAACACAUGUGUUCAUAGCCAUUUAACCUCAUAUGCCACACAAUACGUAACUUGUGAAACACUAUCCAUGUCCAAAACACAAUCAUAUAAACCUCAGACUUAUGGAAGAUUAGACAAGCCUCUUGACUCAAGUAGAUAUCCAUGAUAGGAAGGAUUAAAAUACAAAAAAUUUCCCAGGUUUGAACUUGUGGAUAAUCAGACAAUAAGUAAGAUAGAGGCACCUUGGAAUCCAUACAUAUCGGUAUACUAGGAAGAAUAAACAACGCAUACAACUUUCUCAAGUUUGAAGUUUUGGAAGAUUCAACAACGCUCCUGAUUCAAAACCAAGCAGUCUACAUAACCUACUGACAGGAAUCUAGUACAAAAGAUAACACUGAAAUAUUCAAAAGAGAUUUAAGUUAUGUGAUGCAGGAAUUAUAUCUUUGCUGCUGAAGAGGGACUUGAACCCCCAGUUUUCCAGUCAAUACUUUGGUCAAUUGAAAAUUUCCUAGAUAAAAGAAAACCAUUGGGCAAUAUUGGAAUUCUCCAUGCGUGGAAAAGUCAAUAUAUUUGAUGCACAGAGCAUACGAAAUUUAACCCGUAGUCAAUAGCAACUCUACUAAGGACCUUUAUCUCUUGAAUAACGAAAAGAGUCAAAGUUAUCCCUUAACCAACUGAUUAAGGACUUGAUUUGAUAACAAGCUUGCAAGACAAAAUGUUGUCCCCUAACAAAGAAGCAAUGUGUAUGAGACUCACUCAAUUGAAAGAAUCGAAACAGAUCUAAUUCAAGGCCAAUUAUAUCCUAUCUUAAACUGCAAAGAAAUCCAGAAGGUUGCAGCAGCAAACUAAUUCUUGAUUGACAGACAGGAGUUAGCUUGAACAGCAUUCAUACAUUCCAAAAGAUAAAAUAUGCAACAGAGAAUGUGAAUAGACCCAGUAACAAUUUAAGGAGAGCAGAAAAGGCAAAAAUCCGGUGGCUAAAGAUAUAUCACAAGUAAAACCAAGUACAUGAGAGACAUUACAAGAUGAGGGUCAACAAGAAGAAACAGACCGUCACAUAUUGCCACUCAUCUACUAGCGGAAUAUUUUCUCUCUUCUGCAAUAAACAUCAACUACUGGAAUUUGAGUAGCACCACUCCACUGAAUAUUUAAUGGCAGCUACUAGCCACAGAAGGAAAGCUGCAUUUCAUGUUGAUAAUCUCAAAAAGGACAAGACUGACCUCGCUAUCUGUCUAACUAAAGUCAACACCCAUCUCCUUUUGUCUCAAUUCUAAGGCCAUACGUUCAUUUUCAAGCUUCAUCUUUUCAUUUUCCAUUUUCAUCUUUUCUAAUUCGCGGUCUCUUUUCUUGCAAAAUCUCUCCCAUUUGAAGCGCUGUUUCUCCAACUCCAACAUCUCAUAUUGAAUUUGUAACUUCUGUUCUUCCAGUUGAAGUGAACGAGAUUCAUUUGACUGCUUCUGUGACCAAGCCCUGUUCUCUGAAAAAGUUUGAUUCAUAUCAGGAUGUACCAUAUGAGAAUGGGAAUGGGAGCUUUUGUUGAACUCUUGAACAUUCAAAGAAGAACCAAAACUGAAAUCUUCAUGGCCUUGGGCUUGCUUCAUCCUCUUCGCAGAACCCUUUAAAACCCCACACAUUGUCCUGCCAUCACCAUGAGGAGCAUAAUUCUCCUCAUGUUCGUCGUGAUCAUCAUUAUCCACAUCUUGAUCGUCCUCAUCAAAGUCAUCAGGGUUGUUUCUUCUGACAUCAUUAUUCUCAUGAUCAUCUCUACUUCUGAGAGCCUGCUGCAGAGAGCGUUGUAAGGCUGGGUCAUGAGGUAAAUGUAGCCGAUUGCUAUUGUGGUAAGAGCACAUCUCUUCAUAGAACAAAUGCUUUGAACUCAAAAUUUUCCUGACAUCAUCCUUCUCCUUCUCCGAAAGGAACUCUAUCAUAUCCAAAAGUGCAGGAUUCUCAACCACCUGGCAAGAAGUCCCCCGACCAAGCAUAUCGUUGAGUUUCUUGUACCUCUUAUUAAGGUCGUUGAACUUAUCCUCACACUGCUGAGGUGAGACAUGGUAACCCCUCUCAGCCAAGACCUUCGAAAUUGACUUCCAUUUACCCUUUUUCUGCAAGACAGCAAACUUUCUUCGUCCCCCACCCCCACAAUCUGAACCCGAAUCUUCACCUAUAUAGGAGACGGCGGUGAUCAGAAGUCUAACCAUCUUAUCAGUCCAUUUCACCCUUUGCCAUGGUGACCCUUUUUUCCCUUUGCUUACAUCAUUAUGAUUAUCGAUACCAUCUUCGGUAAAGCUUGGAUCAUCAUCAUCGCUUGCCGAGUUCUUGCACCUCUCCCCUUUGUUGAAAUCUCCCACAGAGAUCAUCUGAUCACAACCUGGCAACGCUCCCAUGGUAAGUGGGAAACCCUCAUGGAUCGAGGGGUGGACUCCAGGCGUUUGGCGAGGAUGAGAGUGAUGUGGCUGAUGAAGCGUGUGCGAUUGUUGUGCUUGACCGUGGAUUUGCAUUGAUCUCUGCAAAUCUAGACCUCCAUAUGCAGGAUUACCUGGGAUCAUACCUCCUUGUGACAUAUUUCCUUCCAUUGCUUUACCCAAACAACAAUUAAUCAAGACACGCGAGCUUAUCUCACAUAAAACCCUAUUUUAUAAAUUUUUCAAGCGAGCAUAGCCAUCUGCCAACGCAAAUUCAUUUACCCUGAGGGCCAAAACGAAGCAAACCCAUCUUUUUCCUCACCCAGCUCAAGCAAAUUCUACUCACUCUUUGGGAUCCUUCUGACAGUUCCCAGAUCCUCAAGCAAGCACCUUUCCCAUCACAGAAACAUUAAUCCAGCCACUACAACACGAAUCCCACAAAAUCUCCUGGAUCAAGCCUAACCAGACCAAACUGCAGCUCACCUCUCAAACAAACCCAGCACUAAAAAUCACCACAGGUUGAACCCAAAAGAAAACACACACACCCAAGACGCAACUCCUGAAGAUUCAAUCCAAAAUGUCGUUCGCCAGAGAGAAAGGGACGACGGACUUAUCUGGGCAGAACCCUGCACAGAGCUUCGCCACCCUCGACGGCAGCGCCAAAAAAAGUCCCUCCCAGAAAAAAAGGCGAGGAACCCACAACGCUUACGGGCGCCCCCACAAAAACCCAAGACCCGUCUGGCCUCAGCGGCUCAAAAGGAGAGAGCUUUUUGAAGGGGGGGAAAAACAGAGAAGCGUGUGCCCGAAAAACCGAAUAAAAAUCCGGCCUUUAUAUCAAUGCGACUGCAGUCUGCAAGUGGGUUCUUGUCUUUUUCUAAUUACUUAAUUAUCUUUUUCCUCCCAUCCGCGUUUGCGUUGCGCAUCGAUGAAUUUUUUUAUGGGGGAAAAAGGCUCCUUUUUUUGCAGGUUCAGUGAAUGAAGAAAGAUCCGUUGGCCCCACGGUCGGACGUCCAAAUCAAGAUUCGAAAGAUCGAUAGAGAAACUCCAAAGGCCAAAUCCUACGUCGAACCGAAGCGUAUUCUAUCGACAUCGUCGCAGCGUAAUGACAAACAAGAACAAUAAUUGACGACUUGGGGAGGAAUAAACUUUGAGGAGAAAUGGUUGCUUUCUCACAUAGUAUUGGAAGUGGAACAGCCAUUAGCUGGGGAAAAGGAGCAAUUUGCAGUAGAUUAGUAUAUUUCUAUGUCAGCAACUUGGCCUCCCAAGUGGGGGGUUUUGAUAUUGUUUUGUGAUUAGCUGGUGCUUAGAUAAUAAACUAUUUAUUUGGUUAUAAAAUAACGUUGUUCAGAGUGUGGUCGAGGGCCGAACUUAUCAGUUUUGAGAAAUUCUUGAUCCAAACUUAUACCGAACCAACAAAAUUUGAGCUCAAAUCAAAUCGAUAAAUUUGGUUUGCUAUGGGUUUGGUUCGAUUUCAGACCGUUAUCAUCGAACCAAUUUGUAUGUAGGAAAUUUAAUAGAUAUUUGGGCUUUAUUUGUUUUGUAUAAAAGGAAUAAUUUUAAAAAGAAUUCCUUGAAAUGAUCGUUUGUAUGAUUUAUAAAAAUGAGUUAACGAGAAAUAUUUUUCUCUUUCAUGAAAAUUUUUAGACAUAAAUUAUUAUUGAUAAUAAAAACAUAUUUUAUUGAUUAAUUAUUUCAAUUAAUUAUUUUUAAGAAAAUAUUUUUUAAAUCGUUUAUUUUCCGUGAAACAAACAUAAUUUUAGAUUAUCUAACUUCAACUUGAGAUGGAAAUUAAUAAAAAUGCACCUAUUUCCACACGCUUAUUGAAAAAGGGGCUAUAAUCAUAACUAAAUAUGAUAAAAUUAUCUAUAUAUUGAAAAAAAUUAUGGAAGAGAACUCUUGCAUAAGUAUUAUGAGAUGAGAAAUCAAUCAAUAAUAACUGACUUGAGAAGUAGAAAUCAUUUAUCUGAUAGAAUAGAAGAAAUCUUGCGGAUAGGGAUAAUUCAUUUAAUUAGGCUGAAUUUCAAAUUUUUUUAGUCAAAAAGGAGGCAGAAAAAUAUUCAACUCAUCAGUUGAGCUCGAUCAUAUCAAUUUCCAUUGUUAUAAAACCAAACCAACCUAACAAACGGAGAAGAAAAGUCUCAACCAAAACCAAACCGACCAAUCCAUAAACUGCACUUUUCAAUUGGUCUCGGUUUGGUUCGGUUUAUUGGAAUUUAGUUUUCCAAAAAACACCCCUAAUUAGCAAUGCUUUCGUCGUUCAUUUUGGUGGUCCAUCUAUUCGUGGCUGUGGAGUCAAAUCUGAAUACCCGUGAUCGCCCUUGUCAAGGGUUUCAUCAAGAAAAAACCAAGAGAAAGGGCGUACUCUCGCGGAAAAGUUCAUAUGGAAAGUUCAUGCACGUGGCUGGGAAUAUUGAGAUUAGGGUCCCCUCACCUUGUCCUUUGUCUCUUUAGGUUUCGUUUCUCCCGUCCUCCCGUUUUUUUGGGUAAACAAGUCCAAGAUCACGACGCGCGUUUUCCCCUCUCUUUUUGAAAUUGGGGACAAGUAGGUGUCCUGGAAAAUACGAUAUAGCGAACACAUGUCAUGUGAUUCAGAACGAGAGCUGAAUUGCCGAUUCAACAUGUGUCGAAUAGCCUGAAUCGACGAAUUCCAAAAAAGCAGCUUUGACCCAAGAAAGUUCCUAAGACCACGCAAAUUUCGCUGGUACCACAGGAGACCAGCCUCCCAGAGUCAACAAAUGAUAAAAGUAAAAACAAUCCGGCAGACUAGAUCUAAUGUUCCUUAUUAACAGUUCCCCAAGAGGCCGAAAAAUUGGCUAGUUAUCCACCAAGCUACAUAAAAAUUAAUGGUACAUAGAGAUUCGUCCCAUAAGAAUCAAUAUGUCCUGGCUUUCCCUUUGAUAAGAAACAAUCGGAAUUAGAGAGAUACAUCGGUACACACAGUAAAGGAAGGGAAUGGAUAUACUUGAGACCAAAAAAGAAAGUAUUAAACGUCCCGAUUUUAACAUGCCCAAACGAUUACCCUCCGCUUGUCAAUCACUGCGUCGGCACAAUCUUACACGCAUUUCAAAUGCCAUCCCACCGCUUUUUAGUUCCUAUGAAGCACACGAGCCAUGUCAAGCCAAAUUGAAUGCUUAAUUGACCUUCACACGAUGCUUGGAGGAUCCCCAACCCAGUUACAAACAGCACGAGGCCACCGAGUGCGUAUGCAGUCCACAAGGGGUGCAUGCUGAGGAGGCUCUUGUUUAGCCACUUCAGCAUCCUUUGCGCUCGACUGAUCCCCACCUGAGCCAGAGGGCGCUGCUGCCAUGAAUUCUUCAGGGGUCCAUCGCGGCGGGACAGAAACUCUCAAUUUAGUAAGUCUAGGCCUUUGAACUGGAGCCUCAUUUCCCAAGUUUGCUUGGCCAUUCAAAUCCGACUUUGCAAUUCCAUUGAAAUGGUAAAGAUCAAAUACCUUUUUGCCCAUCAAUCCUGAGGAGUCCUUUAGACCUCCCAUACUGCUGUCUAGAUCUAAUAUGGCCUGCCAAAAUUCACUCCACACAAUAAAGCCGGAGCUGCAAAGUUGAUCAACUUUUUCAGAAGUAAGCCUGAUGUCAGUUUCCCUUAAUACUUGAUGGAAUCCUUCCACACCAAUAAAACCACCCCCUCCACUCUGAUCUUGUGCAUCAAAAGCCCUCCGAAUCUGCGAUUCCCUUUCUUCUAGUUCAUUCUCUUCCUGAACAACUGUAUCAAGAGCAAAUAGGACUGUGUAAUGGGACUCACUUCCAACAACCCAUAUAGGCCAGAUUGGGCACUUCAAAUGCUGCCCAACCUUGCAAAAGUUAAGUGAUUCUAACAGAGUCAGAAACCCAACUUCCACGCUUGUUGAUACGCCCUUUAGGAACAUACCACCACCUAGAUCCAUCCUCCCAUCGAAAACGUUGGGCACAGCCUGCCCGCAGAGGAGCAGGUUCACAAUUUCCUGUCCCAAGACAAUCGUAAGUUUGCAUCAAAAUUUUCUCUGCAUCUUCAUUAUAUACCAUUUGCACAGUAAAUAAGAUACAAGGUAUUUCUCAGAAGCAUCGCAACUCUUGAACCACCCAAACAAUAAAUUUUUGAUGCAAUGAUAGUUACCUGCGACGCAUGGCCAAAUGGUGCAGUUACCAGAGGAAGACUGGGAUCAUCUCUGUCAGCUUGAACAGCAUCCUGCAAUUACAGAAUGCCUCAACACCAUUAUUUCCUCUGUUUGAUCAUCAUCAUCAACUACAUUUCCUCACACAUUAGUUUUUCCAAUGGAUCAAAUUUCAUUUUUUAGAUCAUCAGUUAUUAUCCCAGCAUCCUUUCUGUGGCCUAGCAAGAUGGCAUGAUUUUAAAGUUUUGACUUAUGUAAAUAUUUGAUCACUUUCUGAAUUCUGACUUUUGGGCAAAUAAAGAAUAAUUAAUAAUAAAAAAAAUCAUUCUGACGAAUGGCAGGAUAAUGACACAAGCAGUAUUGUACUAAUAUUGAGAGGAAUCAUAGAACUUAGGCAGCCAAAAGAAAGGGAAAUAGAGCUGCUCCUCCUGGCUCGUGGAAAAAGGGUUUCGCGUUGAAGGCAAGAUACCAUGACUUCGCUAUACAUUCUAUUAACAUGGUCAAUAAAAAUGGAACAUUGGCUGUAUCAGAAAUGUGUUUUAACUUCUAAAGAUACACUGUUAAAUAUUUUAUCUCUCAAAGAAAAACUAAGAUUUGGACAGCAAACAAAGUAAAUUGAAGUAAACAUGAGUAUUUUUUUUUGGUAAGGAAGUAGACAUGAAUAUUUGUAAACUAGUAUUUGACAAGCUUGCCGGAUGACUAGAAAGGGGAACGGUAUCAUACCAGUCCCCGAGAAAGUAACGCAGAGAUAAGAAAUAGCAGUGCCCCCAUUCGACUUUGAAAAACAGGAAGUGUUGCUUCAAGCCUCUGAAAAACAGUAGCUUGCACACUAUAAGUCUCAACUCUUAGAAUACUCUGCAAAUCAGAAGCUGAUUCUAUCGAAAGUCCCUCCAGAGCUUUGAUAAUACUCUAAGCAACAAAAAAUAAUGGUAAUUAGUUUAAUCAGUUUGAAAAGGAACUUCUGAAAGCAAGUGAAAUGGUCAGAAAAUAGUCAGAACCUAUGUAUUACUGCCUUUAAAGUAUACAUGAAACACCAAACUAUCGCCUACCUCAUCCUUUGAACCAUCUGCAGCCCCCUCAAGUUCUUUACCAGUAACACUUAAAGUGGCAAUAACCGCCCUUUUAUUACUUCCACAGUGAAAUAAAAUCUCACUCAUACUUCUUAUCAAUGCCCUGUCAUUGAUAUUAAAAAAAAGAAAAGAUAUUGCUAGUGAGCUCAAUUAAUGAAUAUUGCAACUUGCAUAUCAAAGUAGCACAGCCAAUGGAAACAGAUUAAGCAGAGAAAACAACAACCAACCUCUAAGACAAACAACCUUCCGACCAACAACAUACUGCAUGUAACCAUCUUAAGGCUCAAAAAAAUAUUUAAAGUAGCUGCAUCAUUUCUACUAGAUAAUUCGUAUAGUAAAACGGGUUUUGCAAAAUUGGGGUAAACCAAUUACAAGUAUUUGGUUUGCAACGACUCAAAAUCAGUCCUUGUCAGAAUAUAUUUGGAAAUUUUCUAGUGCUGAAGGGCAUCGGUCUAAAUCCAAUAGAUCAUAAUGACUAGUAAACCUAGGCAAGAGGAAGUCUCCAAGUGGUACCUUAUAAGUUAUUCAUCAUCAAUGCCCAAAACCUGUCUUUACCCUAUCAAUGCAACUGAGAAAUUGACCAAGUAAAUAGCAAAAUCAUUUAUGUAAUAAAUAUAUGUCCGGGAUUUACUUUUAUCACAUGUUAAUCAACAAAAUUAGUUUACCAUCAUCACAUGUCCAGGUUAUGGUUUGGGAGCAGAAUCAUUCCAUUGCAUUCCCCAUACUUUUCCAACUUUUCAAAAUUUUUGGCAUUCUCUACACAUGCCAAUCAAUAUAAUAAAAAAUACAAGCAACAAGAGAGCAGUAAUUGAAAGAGACUGCCGAUAGCUUACAGAACUAAAAGAAUAAUGAUAUAACCAUUCUCUUUCCUUGGGUAAAGAACAAUGAAAAUAGUCAUAUUCAACCAUAUGCAGAGAAAAAUCAACCAAAAAAACUAAAAAUGAUUGCUGAUGCGGAAGACGUACUCAACCCAACUAAAAAAAAAUGAGGAAGUAAUUACGGCUAACAGAAUCAUUCACUAACAUUAGGCAACAAGUAUAGGCAGAAACAAACCAAAAGGAAGGCAACAACCAAGAAAACAAUCAACUCCCUAUAGAUUAAUUACCUUAAUUUUUCAUUGUCUGUAAGUGAGGCAAAAUUAUCUGAACCUUGAAAUUGUCUUCGAGAUGAUGCUUUUGUACCAUGGAAUGGUGAAAUAGUCGAUGCACCUUUACGGAAAUCGUCCGGAAAGAAAAGAAGAUACUUGAGAACAAAAGCCUACACAAGCAAACUUUUAUUAUUGUAAACAACAUUAGUAAAAGAAUACAACAUGAUCCUAAAAGCAGACAAUAAAACCAAAUAGAUGGGCACUAAAAUGUCAACAUAGCCAUAACCCUGUUGCAGAUACCAUCUCAAAUAAGUGAUCACAAAAUGCAUCCACCAUGCAACAACACAUUGCCGGUAUCAACCCCAUUGAAUUUAUUCACCACCAAACCCACAAUCAAUAAAAUAUUACGACUAAAAGCAUAUAAUGAUGGAUGCCGGAUAGAUUAUAACUUCUUUUCUUGAACUGCCAAAUUGUAAGGUUAACAUGUAGUGAAUGCAUUCACUGACAAAAUGAUUGGUUAUUUUUGUUGUCUUCAUAUUGUUAUUUGUUUGCUGCAUUGCAAACUCAACAAUAAUCUGUAGUGCCUGCCUUCCAAUAGAUCAUAGUGAUGAAAGCUGCAUUCAAGAUAUUUACCCUCUUCCUAUAUAAAUUCAAGACAUACUCUUCGAUGAUGUCCUAAUAUUCAAGAAAAAACCAUAAACAAAGCCAUCAGGAUCUGGACCUAUAUUUUCGCCGCGUUCAGACAGCAUAUGUCAUCCAGUGGUUGCCUUAUCUAGAAUGUUGGAGUAAGAAGAUGUCUAAGGAGACUCUUAUGAUCCGGCUCAAUUCCGUUAAAAAGCACCAAUUUUAGGUUAGGCCUCAAUUCUGGCCCAAAUUUUUUUUUUCUCACAACAAAGCCCCUACUUUAGGUUGGGUUCCGAUUCUAGCCCAAACACUUUUUUUUUUGGCUCAUAAAAAAACACAAACUUCAAUCAAUAUCCAAAUCUAUUUUUUGUCUAAAAAAAUGACAAACUUUCAGUCAAUAUCCAAAUCUUACCCUUCAAGUUUCCAUCUAAUGAUCCCGUUAAAGACUGGACGUAUCCUUCCACGUGUAAGACGAGAGAUAAAUGAUUUUGUCGGAUUUUUAAGGGCAUUAUUGGAUGGAACUUGUGGAGGCCAGAAUUGGGUAUUGACUAAAAAUUGGUGGUUUUUCAUGUGACAAAAAAAUUUCAAGCUAGAAUUAGUAUUAGACCUAAAAAUUAGUGCUCUUUUAUGCACUAUAAAAAGUUCAGAUCAGAAUUGAGACCUAAAGUUGAUGCUUUUUAAUGAGAUAAAAAGGAAGUUCAAGCCAUAAUUAGGACCUGACCUAAAGUUGAUUUUUUUUAAGGGAAUUGGACCCUUCAGAUCCACAUAGACAUGCUUCAGAUUUCUAGGAGUAAAAAACACAGAAGAUUCUGAAAGGCGUACUUGCUAAGAACUUAUCAGCAAAACUGGUUCAAAAACCAACAACCUUGUAUCUCCAUGAUCUGUGUGUGAAAAUUAUAAAACCUAAAUGUAACAAACACAAUAUACAUCUUAAAAUAGCAAUGUGCUAUGUUGAGAAAACAAGGCAUUACUUGUACAGCUGCUAAGACACCGCAGGGCCCACCUUCAUGCUGCACUAAGCCCAUAGAUGUUUCUGGAUCAGGGCUGAACCUGAAGUGAGGGUUUGAUGGUAUAAAUGCUAGGAAUAUAAGAUCUUUAAAAUAAAUCAACAUCACAAGUUUUACAAGCAGCAUAGAUGAUGCAAAUGUAGUGAGCAGACAGGAAAAUCAAUGAAAAAAACUACUCUAUACAAAAGGUGAAAAGAACAUGGAGGCCAAUGAGACUCCGCACAAAUGAGAGCAGUCAAUUUCACUAGGAUCACCAUGCAUCUAGUACAUCACUUGAUUGCUCAGGCAUAAUCAACAAAAGAAGAGGCCCCGACAUUUACAAGUUGAUUCUCGUUUCCACUAGAUGUCUCCCUUCACUCCAAAUUAGAUAAAAGGAAUUGUAAAACAAGUUUUUUAAAAGCAGGUGAUCAGGCACAUCAACAUGGAUUGCUAACUGGAGUCAACAAUGGAUGCAUUCAAACAUCCAUUUACCACUAUGAUUCCUCUCUUUCUUCCAGGUACAUACCAAAACAAACUCACUCUACUUUUUAUCCCCUUGACAUCACAUGAAGCAUAAGUAGAGCAGGUAACUCACAAACUAACUGCAGCAUGGCAGCAGCAAAAACAAAGAGAUGCAAUUGACAUCCAGCCUUUAAAAGAGUAUCCAUUAGUUUUCACCCAUAUACCUGACAUUUAGUUCACAAACCAACUAGCGAUAUUUAUUUUAUUUUAUUGCUGAAUGAAAAAAAAGACAUGCAAAUAAAAGCAGAAGAAAAACAAUUUUCAAUUAUCUGCAAUGGGUCCAAAAGGAAUCUUUAAAAGCACAUUGCCUCUAUUUCUUUAACCACAGAUUUGACAAGGUGUAAUCAACAUGAGGAUCUUCUUCAAAGCAAAUGAUGCAUGUGCACCAACUCAGGGCAUAUCACUUUCUAAAUUCACUUCCAGUGCAAUCGCUAUGAUGCCUUUCUUACUUCUAAAGACAUCAUAAAACUAUCCGAGUGGACUUUAUGUUGCCUUAUCGACCUCAAAGAAAGAGUGAGCAAAUGACAAACAUUAACCAUGGCUCCAAAGAAACCACAAGAAAUGCAUAUAUAUUAAACUUCCAAAAUCUAAACAAUCAUUUAGUCGCUCUGUUUAAUCAUAAGCUUACUCCAUGCUCAGCUCAUGAACCAAAUGCCAAAACAUAUAUGCAAAAAUUGACAAAGGAAUCCCAAUAAAUAAUACCAAUUCCAACUCAGUUACAUAACCAUUUUGAGAAUUUGAACAAUUCAACUGGUUCAAUUCAUAGAUUUGUAUUCAUAGAACCGGCACAAUGCCUAAUUACAUUGAAUCGCGAGAAUUUUGUUACGGGUUCCUGGGAUUAACUAUGAUAUAUAGCACAGAACAAUCAGAAAAAAGCAAUUUAACACAUUUCAGUUGCCCGCAUGCCAUACCUUAUCCCUUGAUUACUCCACUGCGCGAGAAUUCCUUUCGAAACAUCGCUUCCGAAAACCAUAGAGAACAACUGACAUGCUUCUUCACUCGACAGCCCUCUCCCAGUUCGCCCAUCAUCCACUCCGGCUCCCCCCUCCCUUUGCGGGAGAGGCUUAGACUUCUCAUUAUUCGGUGCCAACAACGGCGCCGGCGACUGAGACUGAGCAGGCGACGGAGAUGGAGCAGGCGACGGCGCCCCCCCGGCGCCCCUGGAGGCCAGCAUCCUCUUCUCGGCCGCAGCAGCCAUGAGCUCCCUCUGCAUCCGGCGCCCGUCCUCCGGCGACGACGACGAGGACGCCGCCACCGCCGCCGCCACCGCAGCGCCGCCCCCGGCGGCGGCAUCCCUCGGCUUGCUCCGCUUGGGCUCCGGCGGCGAGGGCUGCAUGCUGAGGCGCAGCGCCAUCUUCAGGUCCUCCUCCUCCUGAUCCGCCAUCUCCGAACGAACGCACGCCCGCCCGCCCCGGCGCGGGACAAAAAGAGGGGGAAGAGGAAAUCUCGAGAAAGAGCGAGUAAGGUCGGAUUAGGGUUUUCCCCCCACGGGGGCUCCCGCUACUCCAUCCGUGGCUCCGCCGUCGGAUCGGCCGCUGGCCUUGCCGGAGAUCGACGCGGAGAUCGGCGGCGGCGGCGGCGGAAUCAAAGAGGUGGAGGGGGUGGGGAUCGAAAGCUUCCGAUUGAGGACUCGGAAUCCGCUCCGAUUUAAAACCUUUCAGCGACAGGAUCGUCGGGGAAGAAAGGAAUCUCCCUGUUCUUUCAUUUCUCUCUCUCUCUCUCGGUGCCAGCCGCUGGAGGAAAAAACGCCGUCGUUUCGCCCGAGGCAAACGGUAGCUGUGAAAAGAAGUCUAUAAUUAUUAUUACUUAUUUUGAAACAUAGUGACUAAUUUUUUUUUUUUAUGAAUAGAAAUGAAAAUAUUGAUCCGCGAAAUCAAUAAUCAAUGUCAUUUUUAAGCAAUAAAAUAACAAUUAAAAUAUGUCGGGUUUCAAAAAGGAUAGAUUUCUUGGAAUUAAAAAUCAACGGAACCACAAGAAAUUAAUUUUAACAAUAUAGUUAUAAAAAGUAAUUUCAUAAUAGGUUUUUUGGCGAAAUUAAGAUCAAAGUUGCAUGGACCGAUUCACGAGCAAGAGAGACGCCUCUUUCAUGUCUCCGUUUGCAUGUAAUAAGGUUUAUCGAUGACAAAAAAGAUGUGUAUUGUAAUCGUUAAUUUUUCUCAUUUUUGUGGAAGGUCACGUAAAAGGAAAAUGCAGAUUUGAUGCCUUUUAUAGAAUUAGAUUGAACCAGUGUCUAAUGCUGAUAUAAAACCUCUUAUAAAUAUUGAAAGGGCAUUCAAAUCCUAUUAUUCUGGCCAAAAAGGAAAAUGCAAAUAAUGCAUUUUUCAAUUUUCGUCUACAAUAGUUUUUUUCUCUCUCUCGCUCUCCACCUUUUACUUUUCUUCUUUUUCUUAUUUAUUUUAUUCCACCAUUUUCCUGUCCCCCUUCCUCUCCGCUUCUUCCUUCUUCCCCGUCGAACUCGAUUCGCUCGACGGAUCUCCUCCCGACCCGUUCAACCCGAAGCGAGCGAAGAUCUCCUCGCCGCGCCUCCGAUUGCCGCCGCAGCCGCCGCCGGAAUGUCGAGCGACAGCGACGACCUCGACGAGGACGAGCUCCUCCAGAUCGCCCUCAAGGAGCAGGCGGAGCGCGAUCUCAGCUACAAGAAGCCCGGCCCCACCCCCCGCCGGCCGGUCGCGAAUUACGUCCAGCCGCCCCCCGCGCCCCACCAGCAGAGGAGCCACGCCCCUGCCGCCGCCGCCGCGCCGCCGCCGCCCGCGAGGGCGAGCUACAACGGCGGCGCGCAGCGGCAGGUCGGGGUCGGCGGCGGCGGCAAGGGCAAGGGCGGCAGCAGUGGGAAUAGGAGGGUGGUCGACGACGACGACGAUUCGGAGGUUGAGAUGCUGAGUAUAUCGAGCGGGGACGAGGAUUCUGCUAAGGAUCGCGCGGGGUCGAGGCCCAGAGGUGGCGCGAGUGGUGGUUCUAGGACCGGUAGGGACGAUGACAGAGCGUGGGAUGGCGAAGAACCUGAUUGCUGGAAGCGCGUGGACGAAGACGAGGUGAGUUCGAGAUGGUAAACCUUAAUUAUCCGGCCUUGCAGCGAUUCUGAAUGAUAGCAGAAGCUAUUAAACUGAAUGUUAUGUCGAUGUCUUGUUAUCUUCUGUUUCUUGUUCUGUAAAGAGAACGAAGUCACGUGUGAUUUUUUGCUACAAAAUGAUUGUUUUGGGUUAAAUUCUUGUCCCUAACUGCCAAGGUUCUCAGAAUUAUAGAAAUGGUGAUUCGGUCUUCAGUUGAAAGUUGCUCUUUUCCGACAGCUUGCUCGAAGGGUUCGUGAUAUGCGGGAAACAAGGGCAGCACCUGUAGCACAAAAACUGGAAAAGAAAGCAUCGGUAGUGGGUAUUAAGGGGCUGAACACUUUGCAGUCUUUCCCUCGUGGCAUGGAAUGUGUUGACCCCCUUGGUUUGGGGUAAUUUUCUGCUCUCUCUCUCUGCGUGCAAUUGUUCUAGGGCCCUGAGGUGAGCGGCAUUGUGCUCGCUUUAUUCUGGCCUUUUUCCCUGCUGCUUAGUUUUCAUUGUUUUCUCAUGUUAAGCGAGUUGUUGUUUGUAAGACACCAUCAGAGCUCUGCUUCUGUUUUGGAGCGAGCAAAUUCUGUUUGGAUCGCAUUUAAAGGCGAUUCGAACCUGUGUGUUCCUAUUUUUACCUGUACUUAUUUACAGUUUCAUUAAGAAUGAUGAAGCUAUGUAGAUAUUGACUAUCCCAUAGUAUAGAGUUUUGUGAUCUAGUCCUUUGAUUGCUUUUGCCUUUUGCACAUUUUUCCUGACAGGAUAAUAGACAACAAAUCGUUACGGUUAAUUACAGAAUCAUCAGAAAGUUCUCCGUCAAAGAUUGGCAAAGAUAAUGUGGAUAACAUCCUUCGUGGUACUUUUUUAUCUUCAAUCACAUUUUAGUAUGACUAUCUGCUAGUGGAUGCCCUCUUUGGAUGUUGUCCCCUUCCUACAUUCAUAUACAUUGUCCUGCAAACAGCUGACGAUUGACCCAAUAGUGUUCCUUAUUGUAUGCAAGCGCUAGCUUACUCUCUGCAGAACUACUUUACUAAGAAGUCUUUCAUUGACAGUUUUUCUUCAUUAAUGCUCUAGCACAUUUUUUCCUAGAUUUCUCAACCUGACGUCCCUCGUUUUGGGUGUAAAAUGCAUGUUGCAUAACAGAUCUCAGAAAAUUGUGAAAAAAGUAUAGAAAUCUCUAAAACUUCUGUUAAACUAAAAUAUUAGCAAAGUUGUGGACCUUAUGGUUGCAUUUUCAUCGUUGUUAAAUGAUCCUGUCAUAUGAAGUGACUGGAUUCAAGCACAUUUACUCAGCAUAAGGUAACAAAUGACAUUAUGCUUUCAUGUGGAGCUUUCCUUAGGAUGGAUGGUUUUGAAUUUUGAACAUUGGACACUCGAAUGAACUCUUCUCUCCAAUCUAUUUGCUGAAAAUAUUCUCUACUGGUCUAAUAUUUCACUCUACCAACUGUUAAAUAAGGUGAUAUUUUACUUCUAAAUCUCUGAAACCGUUCUACUAAUGUUGCACUAACUAGAAGAGAUCUGUGGAGCGAAGGGGAUGGUUCUUUGACCCUGGUAAAAACUUAAUGGUUUCUUUUUGCUGUUGUCCAUGUAUUUCCAAUCGCUCAGGACAGCUAUAUCCCAGAACUAUUCAUUCACUGGCAUCUUAGCCGAAGAAUGACUAACAGCCUAGCUUCUUCUGGAAAGAAAAACAUAAUUAGACAAAAUGUGCUUCUUUUGUCAGUUUAUAAAUGUAUAGCCAGGUGUUAUGCAUAGAACUCUGCAUAUGAAACUGUUAUUUGCUGUGAAUUCUUUCAGGUGUAGAUUUUCUCUUAUCUAAUUCCAAAUGGGCAUAUCUCCUGUUAUUACUUCUCUUUUGCCAAAUUGAGAUGAACUGAGAGACGUUAAGUAAGAGCUUGGAUAAGUAAACCUAUUAUUAAUUUAUUUGAGAAAAGAAAUGGCCAGUUGGGGUAGUUUGAACAUGUGCGAUUGCUACUUUUAAAUGAUCCAUUGGGAGCAUGUGGUUCUACGAUGGAGAUGCAUGUUAUAAAGGGAUCGGGAAAACCUAAAACGACUUGAAAGGCGAGUACAACAAAAGAUUCCAAGAUGUUGGAUUCACUGCUAAUUUGAUACAUUAACAAGUGGAAUGACGGAAGAGGAUCCCCAUAGUUAACCUUGUUUAGCUUCUGGCCAGAAGAAAAAGGAAACAGUUAGCAGGGUAAACCAUGGUUCUAGGAAGACCUUAUUUCCAACAUUAUUAAUUCUUCAGUUUAUUUGAAAGUUGUUAUCAUAUGGCCUCAACAGAACAACAGCAAUUUGAGCAAUAAUUUGAGCGUGCUUUGAGCUUCUUUCGUAGGCCUUGUCCAAUACUUCCAUCAUGUCGUCUGCGUUUGUCUCCCGCUGGGCAUUUCGCAUAGAUGUCCAGCAGAAUUAGAAGUCUUAUAAAAGUCAGAAGUGGCUUGGUGAAGCAUGCUUUUGUCCAUGUUAUGUAAAAGUAUCUCUUGAAGCAUGAAUAUGAGCUUGCAUGGAUACUACUCAACGAGCCUCGUUGCAAGACUCGUGCUCAUAUUCUUGAGCCCCUCAACAUAUAUUAUAUUUUUCAUGAUUUGCUCCCAGUAGAAGCAAAAAGGCCAUUGCUAAAAAGGAAAAGUCACAUCAUUAGGAUCCUAGUUUAGUAGAGAGUUUGGUGUUUAUGGUAAAUCCGCUUGUCAAGCUUACAAUGCUUUAUUGCUUUACCUGAUCGACUAGUCAUUGCACAGGUGAGACUGCAUGUGUAAAUAUUUUGUGGAUUCAGUAAUCUAUUUCUUGCAUCUUAUUUUUGUUUUGGAAUCUUCAUCGAUUGCUUCUUUUAAGUGUGAGCAAUACUGGUUCUUUGGAGCUGUUUUUUGGAUCUUAAUUUAGUUGCCAUAAUUGACACCAACCCCUUGCAGAGAAGCUGAUGUACUUCUCGGAAAAUUUUGAUGCUAAGAUUUUCUUAUCCCGGAUACACCAAGAUACAAGUGCAGCAGACUUAGAGGGUGGUGCUCUUGCUCUGAAAACUGAUCUUAGAGGAAGGACUCAACAGAGAAAGCAAUUGGUUAAAGAAAACUUUGAUUGCUUUGUCUCAUGCAAAACCACAAUUGAUGGUAUGCGGUGAUCCUGCCCAAUCUGAGGGCCUAUCUCUGAUUCUUUCAAGCUACUAUUUUUGCUGCAGUGGGGAUUAUAUUACUUGUUUAAGUAAUUAUGCCUGCCAAUUUCGUCAGUUUAUUUGAUUUGAUGAGUUAAAUGUUAAUUUUGUUAGACAUUGAGUCGAAACUAAAACGGAUUGAAGAAGACCCUGAAGGCACAGGGACUGCUCACCUAUUUAAUACUAUUCAAGAUGUAAGCUCAUUGGCUAGUCGUGCUUUCGAGCCUCUCUUUGAGAGACAGGUCAGUAGCAACAAUUGCUGCUCAUGCUUUCUGCAUACAUACCCUUCAUUGCGAGAGGUACUAUAAGUGAUCAAUGACUUGUUGAAUUUAAAUAUAGGCUCAAGCUGAGAAAAUUCGUUCUGUCCAAGGAAUGCUUCAAAGAUUUCGAACUCUGUUCAACUUGCCUAGUACAAUUCGUGGAAGCAUCAGUAAGGGAGAGUACGACUUGGCAGUUAGGGAAUACAAGAAGGCGAAGUCAAUUGCUCUACCAUCUCAUGUAAGAUUUUUAUGGAGCCUUGUUAUAUUGCCGGGACUGAUCCACUCUCUAGUUGGGUGGUCUUUUAGUAAAAUGCAAGUUCUGCAACUAGGAUGAAAUGUGUGUGGAUCUCUUCUUUAUCAUUUAGCUGCACCAGUGUUGUGACAUUCUUUGGAGAAUGGUUCUCAUGAAAGAUUAAGGAAGCAAUGGAACAUUAUUACCAUAGCCUCAGCUCUGCUGACUGAGAAGUUUUGCACUUUAGAAUUGUUGUAGCAGAUGGACAACAUCUCCCCUAUGCAUAAGUUUUUCUCCCUGUAGGGUGGCCUCCUAGGUGGAUAUAAAAUCAAUCUGGAGUAUCGGCAUUUUUCGGGGCAUCAAACUGGGUGUCUAAAGAAAAGAGGGUACGCCAGGCAGUCAUCAUGAGAAAAUCUAAAAGAACAAAAGUACGAGUUUGCUGUAUCUGAAAAUGAGAGAGACAACUUUAUUUUUGUAAUGGUUGAGUGAGGAACUCUUGAGAACGAUUUUAGUUUCUCCCUUAUAAAAAUGUCCUUGUUCCUUUAAUAAGGAGAAAAUGGUAGUUGGGAUAAAUAAUAAAGUACUUUGUGGUAUACUUAACAAAAGUUUGAAGUGCAUAAAUAUCUUGUUUGUUUACUUGUGGUGCAACUUUUGACCAAGAUCUCCACCCCCCCCCCAAAAAAAAAUCCUCCUUCUGCCCUCACAAUAUAAUUAAACUUGGAAGUGCUCUUGCAAGCUGCUUUUUCAUUAAAAAGUGACUUCUGUGGGUUGUCUUUUUCCCCCUUAAGGGAAAUGAAAAGAGUCCCCUGCAUCAAAGUCUUGGUAGAGCCCGAUUUAGUGACAAGAUGUUGUCUCCAUCCAUUUUGGCUGCGUCUUGUUACCAGUCCAUUUAAGGUCAUAUAAUGUAUAAACGGGACAAUAUCAUAAUGUGGUUCUAUAACAAAUAAAUUGGCUACAAACCAAAGAUAUGCAGCUUUAGCCUAUUUGACUUGUUCUUUUGUGGUCUUGAAUGACUUCCUUUCUUUAAUAAAACCAUAUCUCAUCUUCAAUGCCUACAGGUGGGAAUACUAAAACGUGUACUUGAAGAGGUUGAAAAAGUGAUGCAGGAGUUCAAAGGUACACUGUACAAAUCUAUGGAAGACCCUCACAUUGAUUUAGCAAAUGUAAGUUCCUCUUCUGUCGUUUUAUCUUUAAUUCUAUUUUUCCCAAGUAAGAAGCUGUAAACUCAAGUGAGGAUGGUAAAUAACAUGCAUACUUGGCUUCUGCAUUUCCUUGCAACUGAUAUGUACUGGAAAGUAAAAAAAGGUUGUUUCUUUGUAGUCAUAGUUAGAAAAUAGAGAAAUGCAGCUCUUCUCAGAUUAGUGUGAUUGGUAGAAAAAAAUGUUGGUCGGUAUAAAGGACUUCCUCUGAAACAAGGCUGUCUUAUUUUGGUAUCAACAUAGUCAAAUGACAUACCAAUCAGAAAAAAAAAACAUAGUCAAAAGACAUGCUCAAUGAUGCCUCUAUACGUUCGUCAGGUACCAUGAUCAUUUAACCGCUGCCUGAAAAGAAAAAAAUCCUUCAUAGUGUCAUUCACCUUGCUAGGGAAUGACAAUUUUGGCUUAAAUAUGGCAGAAUAGCCAAAAAUAUGACGUGUAGUCUAGCCAGCUCGUCUGGUAGUGAGCUUAGUUCAGUUGGCUUAUCAUUGUAAUUUCUACUAUGUAGAGAUCAUGGGAGUGAAGUGAUUAUGGAUCUGGGAACAUACAGUCGCAAGGCCAAGUUUGGCUGAUGGUUCUCUCAGCUGUGGGAAUAUUUAAGCUAUUUCAAUUGCUCCUUGUUUAAGCUCAGAUGGGAUUUUCCCAGAGGUCAUAGAGGGUUGUGUCCUCCCAUCCCUUGUGUCAUAUGAACAUGUGCCUUCGUUAGGGAAACUACUAUAAGACUAGUGUGAUGAACAGGUUGAAAUUAUUGUUUUCAAAUUUUCAGCUUGAAGUUAUCUACAUAAAUGAACGUUGUUCUAAGUUUUUCAUUAAUUAAAUGAUCCACUUCAUAUAAAUAAUAUCAAUAUGAAGGCCGCGUUAAUUGUUGGGGCAUAAUUUUGGAAUCACUAUGUUUGUUUCAGUCAUAGAAACAAUUAAUCAAUUUCAUUUGUUUUUUGUUCACAGCCUGAUUUUUUUUGUUUUUUUGUCAUGGAGGAUGACAUGCUUGUUUACUCAGUUUUCAAAUAAUAUGUAUUACUGAAUAAACCAAAAAUAACUCAGAUAUUAUUUUGUUUUAUUGUAUUUAUUUAAUUUUAAAUGCAUGUCAUUUUUCUAUCCCAAACACAGUGAAUUCGAAGAUUUAAAGUUACACAACAAGAAUAAUUGAGUAGUAUCUAUAUGAGCAUUGAAUAAUUUAUGUGUAAGAAAGAGUACUGAUUCUGGAGAAGUUAAUCGGUAAUGUGCUCUUGUGGUCACUCCAUGUGGUGUGGUCACGUGAAUACAUCACCUACUUAUACAGAUUAUCGAUUUUCAUUUUGUUACUAAAUUAAAUUAAAUAAGAAAUCACAUAUUGCUGUUUUAAAGUACUUGCUGUGGCUUUUAUCCACAUGUUUUGAUUGGACAAGAAAAAGGCAAUUAAAUUUUUCCUACCAUGUCUUUUGCCUUUAGGAAUAGAAAAGACUUUGAUAGUAGCAAUCAUCAGCUGAUACUUUUGGAACUUUUUAAGCUUGUCUUUUGCUGCGUUAUGCAAAUCACUUUGUUCUUUAAGGUGUUGGUCUUUUGAUUGGUUUGCUCUUGGCUGAUGGCUUGUAAUGUUUUUUGUAGCUUGAAAACACAGUAAGGUUGUUGCUAGAGCUGGAACCGGAAUCUGACCCUGUAUGGCAUCAUUUGAAUAUCCAGGUUUGUAGAUUUAUGUCCUUGUCAGAAUGUGAUUUUCCUUUUAUGGAAAUUGUAAGCAUUAUCUAUUAAUGAUUUUCUUGUGAACUCAAAGACGAUAAUUCAGCUUGACUUGCCGAGGUUAUGAACUCUGGAGAUUCUUUUUCUGCCCAUCCUUAAGGGUCUCUGCUAGCCAUUUAUCAACAGGGCUGAUGAAACUUUCCAAUCCCCUUAUGUAGCCAAAACAAAACAAUAAAUAAAGAGCAUGAAUAAGAGGGAAUCAACAAUUGGGCACUUUCUGAUUAGAUUUAUCCUUCCAUAUCUCUAGAAAAGUGAACUCUUCCCCCUCAACAGCACUAUUUCUGACUUUUCCAGAAUCAAAGAAUUCGGGGUUUGCUAGAGAAGUGCUCCUUAGACCAUGAAGCAAGGAGGGAGAAUUUGCAAAACGAGCUGCAUGAAAGGGCUGUUUCUGAUGCAAGAUGGAGGCACAUUCAGCAAAAUCCAAAUGAGCCCGUAAGCUCACAAUCUGAAGUACUAGACUAAUCAUCAUGUUGAAGUGGCAGAGGGAGAUCAUUUAUGUUGCUAAUGAGGAUUUCUUCUUACAGUCAGAUGACAAUAGUCCCAAUCCUGGCAAUAUCAACAUGUUGGUAGAUGCAGAGUCACUAGACAUGGCAGGCGAAGAAGUUGAUGCUCUCAGAGGAAAAUAUAUCCAUAGGUUGACUUCUGUUAUUGUCUAUCAUGUACCAGCAUUCUGGAAAGUAGCUCUUUCUGUUUUCAGCGGGAAAUUUGCAAAGGUAUUCCUUUCUAAUCUUCAGUUGAGAUUCUAUACUUGAUACGGGUCAAUACUUUGCGACAUUCUCAAUUUAGCAGUUUGGCGCUCAAUUUCAGCAUUAUGUCCUCUACGUAUUCUCUGAUAAGAGGAAUCAUACCAGUAUAGAGCUGUCGCAUUAAGUGGGAUGACAGUGUGUAGCUAGUGAGUUUCAGGAUUUAUUUAUAUUUGUAUAUGUCAAGAUUUAAGGAUUGCAAGAGAGAAGGUCACAGAAAGACGACUAAAGUGAUUAUCAAAUAUAAGAGUACAUAAGAUGCUCUAUGUAGAGAGAGUGAAACAUAAAACUGACUACCUUGCUUAAUAACUUUUUUACUAGCUGAUGACUAACACUAUUAAAUAUACUUCAACAGUGUAACAUUUAUCUGAUAGAACUACUUCAGAAUUUGUAAAAUCUGGCAAGUAUAUUGCUAGUUGCGGAUAGCAGUGUGCUUAGGUGAAGGGAAUCCACUCCUGAGUAAGAAAGAAGAGCCCCUUUAGCGAGCUACUUCAAAUUAUUUAAAGUUUUAUCAGAUUGGGUCAUUUUCAGGUUGAAUGUCUCCCACUUGCUUGGGUCAACCACAGGUUGAUCUUCCCCUUUGCUGUUUAUGAUUAUUUACGGUUUCAUGGCAAAGCACAAUUAGAUUAUUUAAUGAGAUAAGGAUACUAUCGCUAUGGCAAUUUCUGGCCAUAAUUACAUUGUUUCCUGGUUUGCUCAUUGCUGAUGUUUGCAUUGGAUGGGCUGUUGGAUUGAAAGCUUGUUUGUGUCGAGUGUCAUUUUGAACAUUCUUGCAUCAGCUUCAGAGUUAGUUUAGAACUCUCAGUUCCUUGUUACGUAACCCUUAUUUUAGGGAGUCCACAACCAGCUGAUUCCUCUAAGACCUUAUUGUGAUUAUUUCUCAGUAGUUGUGCUUUGCCACCAAAAGAGGAAGUGAAUUUUGCUUAGGAGUUAUUAUAUGUUCCCCUUAUGCUCUAUCCCUCUGUUUGUGUCUGUGGGUGGGUGGUGGUUUGGUGGGGGUGGAAUUGACUCUGCAGGUGUAAAAGUAGGCAUGGGUCAUGGUGCAUCCAUGCACACGUCAGUGCAUGUGCUCAUCCAUGUGACAUGGGCAUGUGCGUCAGCAUCCUUGUGUACUUGUUGGCAAUUUAGAAAAGACACUUUGUAAUUUCUCUGUUUGAAUGGACUUGAGAACUGACUUUAUUAUGGUCUUAAUGUCCCAGUCUUCCCAAGUUUCCGCUGAUUCAAACAUAAACAGCACUGGAAAUAAACCCGAGGAAAAGUACUCAAGCCAUUCUCUUGAGGAAGUUGCUGGCAUGAUACGGCAGACCUUAUCAGCCUAUGAAGCAAAGGUAUUUCUUUUGCAUUUUGAUAGUGAAUUUUUGGCAAGUUCCUGGACAUUUUGGACAGACAUCAGCAUUCUAUCCCCUGUUCCGAGAAUGUUAUGUAUUGCAAUGAAUAUUACGUUUUGGAUGAGGCUGAUCUUUAGCUGACAUUUUGAACUCAAUAUUUGAUUAAAUAAAAUAUUCCACACAACUUUCUAAAUUAGAGGAAUGGUUCAGCGAAUUUUUGGCUGCUUUAGGUCCUAUAUUGCUUUACGUAUAUUGGAGGUUGUGAUCUCGUUCUUAUAAUUGUUUGAAGUUGAUUACUUCAUGUAAGUUGAUGUGCAGCUAAACACAUAGAUGUACAUACUCUAUAAAGUUCUUAUGAACAAUCAAUUCUGGUACAAACUUUCUUGUUCAUCAGAAUCUACGUAUUUUAUGUUUAGUUAAAAGUUAUUUUCUUUCUCAGGGUUGUAUUGAUAUUUGAGUCUACUAAAAAAAAUGAUUACUUACGUCGUGCUUACUGUUUACCUAGUGGCAGCUUAUUAAGCAUGAAAUGUUAUCUUGCAUGUGAUAAAAUAUUAUUGAGCAAGGAUUGUUCCCUCCAUAUUGACUUGCAUUGGUGAUAAUGAACUUACAGCUAAAAAAGAAGAAAAUUAUUUAGAACACCGUGAUUCUAUUCUAGUCUUUUAGGCUUGUGCGGCUUAAUGUUAAGAGCUGGUCUGAUAUUGGUGGUGAGCCUAUGUGGCAUCUUUACUUUCAUUGUGGAUUCCCAUUAAUGCAAGACUUGAGAUAUAUAACUUUCUAUUGAGGAAUUAUAUACUUUUGAUUGGGAAUACAAGCUUCUGCUUGAAUGAAAUCUUGACGGGAAUUUUUGCUAUGAAAGCAUCAUUUUGUAAACUCUCUGAUAUUGGCAUUGCUGGCCAUCUUUGGAUUAAAGAAUCAUAUCACCAAAAAGAUGUGACAAGUUAGUUCAGUCGACAAUAAUUCCGAUGAUAACAUAAGAUCCUAAAGGAGUCCUUUGGGAUGAGGCUGGUAGAUUAGAUCAGGUUCAUUUCAAUUUAUGGCUUGAAUGAUCUGUGACUUCCAACGAUGACAGCAUCACCGGUUUGUGGGGAGGAAGGCAUAAGAGCAAGUCCACUUCUAUACUGGAUAGCAUUUAAUUUAACAAUCUAAUUGAUAUAUGAAGAUGCAUGUGGACAUUCGGUCAUGCUGAGAGUACCAGUGGGAGGAAGUUGAAGCCUUAAGGCCCUGGUUGAUUACAUAGACUGGACUUGAGGGAAUGGGAUCUUUCUCCUAAAUUGUUUGGUCACCUGUAAUUAAAGGGAAUGGCAGGUGAAAUUUGGGAAUAAAAAGGGCUCUGUUACCAUAUUUUCAAUCACAUGGAGGAACGUGGGUUAGGGUUGGGAAUAAUUGAGUUGUGAACUCAUAAAAAGGAAAGUUUGCAGAAAGACUAGUAAUAUGAUUUGGAUUUGACAACUUUAUCAGAAGCAUAUUUUGAUUUGGUAAGUAUAUUAAUCUACAUAAACUGUAUGGCAAGUGACAAACAGAAUAUCAUACCAUUUAUAGUUUGCUAUCUGAUUCUGACUUUAUGUCAAACAUGGUGAUUCAGACAUUACUUACCAUUUCAAUUACUCAAUUUCAUUCCUAUUUCUUUCAAUCUAUUCUGCUCAUCUCAUUGUUGCUAACCAAAUGGGGCCUCAAUGGUUUAUGACUAUAGUAAAAAAGUGUACGAAUCCCUUUAUUAAAAAAAAAAAUGUUUUUAUUUAUUUAUUUUAGUGGUGGGACCCGUCAGGGAAAAAAAUUGUUCUGUUGCCUGAUCAUGUUCCUUAUGUCAAUCUUCUAAUGGUACCGACUCUCAGAUUUUACGAAAGGAAUAGCGAGAUCUGCUUCUAGGCUUCUGCUCUUUUUGCUUUGUAAUAUACUUACCAGAACUUUAAUGUACAUUUAGGUUGAACUGCUAUCUCAUUGUGCGCUUUUCAAUGGAAUUGAGCAUUCAUUGUCUGUCCAGGUACAUAACACCUUCCGGGAGCUUGGAGAGUCGAACAUUCUCCGGCCGUACAUGAGUGAUGCUAUAAAUGAAAUAUCUAAAGCAUGCCGAAGUUUUGAAGUUAAAGAAUCAGCUCCUCCUAGUGCUGGUAUUUACCUCCUGAAGCUUCAUUCUGUUGACGUCUCCAAUUACUUGAUAAUCUUUGCUUCUUUGCAGUUUCAGCUCUUCGUGCAUUGCAUUCUGAGAUCACGAAGAUUUACAUAAUAAGGCUAUGCUCAUGGAUGCGGUCAAUGACAGAAGAGGCAUCUAAGGAAGAAACUUGGGUUCCGGUGUCUAUACUUGAAAGAAACAAAUCUCCAUACACGAUCUCCUUCUUGCCUUUGGCAUUCCGUGCCAUUGUGAGUUCAGCAAUGGAUCAGAUAAACAUGUAAGUAAUCUAUUGCACUUCAUGUCAAUGCUUUGGCUUAUACAUAAGCAGCUCAGUACUGUCCUACUCCGAUUAGCCCUUGGUUUGUGGGACUCUUGAUUGCCUUCCUUUGAUUUUGAUGGAAGUUUAUGUGUGUCUGUUUGAGGUGUCAUUUUUCAUUUUCAUUUGAUGAAAGGAAAAGAAUUCUCUCGAGGGGAGAACUUUAUUAUGCUCUAUCCAGAACGUGCUAAAGAGAGAAGUUUAUUGGCCGAACUGGGAACAUCAGUUAUGAGGAAAGAGAAGUUUAUUGGCAGAACUAGGAACAUCAGUUGGGAGGAAUAACAUGACUUGGAUGGAAACAUAGACAAACUGACGGAAUAGUAGCUUUUUUAGAUUGAUAAUGACAGAGAUUCUGUUCAUCUCCAUUUAUAUCUUCCACACGAUACAUUGUAGGUUUGUUCUUUCCAAAUCUUUACUGUUGAAGUGUUUUAAUCAGCACCUGGCUUUGCAGUGUCUUUUAGCUAUGUUGGGCAUAAUGAGACCAUUAUUUUUUUGGCCAUGCUGAUUGAUGUAGUUGGUUACAAGGUCACGCUGGAGGAGAUGAAUUUAUUCACCAUCUUGCUUAGACAUGCGUUAACAAUAGGAUUGUAAUAUUUUUUCCUUCCUAACAUUUUAUUGAUGAGAAUCUGGUUUCUCGCAGCUGUCCCCAGAAUAUAAAAGGGGAACUGGCCUCCAAAUCUGCUUUUGGACUAGUUGAAUAGGUCUAGAAUGAGCCUCAAUUCCUUUAAGUUUCAUUUAGAAGCUACUCUCGGUGUUUUUAUCCAAACUCAAACUUUACUGACAUUUCUACCUUUAAUGCGAACAAAGUAUUGAUAGAAACUUUAAGCUUUCCUUUUACCAGUCUUUAGUGAUUUAAAAUAUUGAGUCCACAUCAUGUUCCAUUUUGAAACAUCAGCUACCAUUUCUUGCUUUCGACAGCAAUAGGAAACAAAUCCUAGAGAGAGAAAUUAACAUCUUCAGCCUGCACGUCUUUACUUUUCUAUUAUUUUUCUAGAGGCUCGACCAAACUUUCCCAUCCACCCUUCUUAAUGCCAUAUGUGAAAUUUUCAUUUCAUAUGCUUUGCUUUUCGUCAACUGACCUCCAAAGUCAUUUUUGCAAGUGAGUCUAAGGGGGAGCAUACGAAAUCCCCGUUGUGAUCCAGAAUAUCCAUCUGCACAACUUCUCCAGAGGAAAUUCCUUGCAAAUUACGUAAUCUGGUGGAGAAGGAUGGGGGAAAUAGGACAAUUUUGGGAAGACUAUACAGUUUUUUGUUCUUUUUUUUUUUUUCCAAUGUAGAAGCAUCCCCUUUUGAUAAAAGAACUUCCAAAUGGUCAUUUUCUGUCCAUCCUCUCAAUUAUGUGUUCUAGUUAAACUGAAAUUACGACAUUUGUUCUUUACCAAAAAAAAGAAAAAAUUAAGACAUUUGAGGUUGGGGUGCUUUUUUUUUUUUGGGGGGGGGGGGGUAAUUCUACUCCAUGUCAAGCAAGCAAUCAAGGGCAGUGAAGGAUCCAUCUUUUUCUCUUUUCCUUUUUAUUGGCAUUCAUGACUUUUUUGUUCCCUCUCAUCCGAGUACCUGAUUUCAAAAGUUCGGUGAAUUAUGUUGGCAUUUCUGCCUUUUAAAAAAAAAGAAAAGGAAAUCUCUACAUUCAUAGUGCAGGCCACCCGCAGUAAUUGUUGUCAUGCCGUUUAGUCCCCUUCUUCUGUCCCAAAGAAGAAGGAUUACAAAUGUGGUAUCAUCUGAGAUGCUGUCUUGACUAAAUGGGUCUUCCCAUUUGACUCCCUCCUAUAGUAGGGAUGAAAUAAGAUGAAACUGCCAAUACACCCUUAGAAUGCGUUUCCGGAAACUGUCAUACAGGAAAAGUACACAUUCACAUUCACCUGUUUCGCUGAGGAUCGCUUGAAAAGUAGUUUAAAUAAAGUAUUAUGUCUGUAUGUGGGGCAAAUCUUUUGCUUUCAUGCACCCAUGAUAAACUGAUCGGUAACAAGCAGACAAAAGCAUGUGUCAUUUUCUUGCAAUUAUUUAAAUGAUUCCACAUGUGCUCUAAAAUAUGCUUUAAAUUGUGUUUAUGGCUUUCCUUUUCAGGAUGAUUCAGUCUGUGAAGAGUGAGGCAGCAAAGUCAGAAGAUAUGCUUGUACAGCUCCAAGAAAUUCUAGAAUCUGUUAGACUUGCAUUUCUGAACUGUUUUCUUGAUUUUGCUGGUAUGGUGAAGGUCAUUGCUCACUUUUCAUACUUCAAAAAUUUACAAGCAUCCUUGUUGGUAAUUGUGAUUUAUUUGCAUGCAUCAACCAGGUCAUCUAGAGCGCAUUGGUGUUGAGCUAGCACAGAACAAAUUAGGCAAAGAGAGUCCCUACUUGCAAAAUGGCUACUCAAAUGAACUGGAAGAAAAUAGCUCGACUGAUCUCCCUGGAAGUGCACAUCAGCGGUUAUUAAUUGUCCUCAGUAAUAUUGGAUAUUGCAAGGAUGAGCUUUCUUACGAGUUGAACAACAAAUACAGACAAAUCUGGCUUCAAUCUACGUAUGUCUUUUGCAUAUUGAAAUAUAAAACAUUAUUGAUAGGUUAUCCUAAAUUGCCUAUGGCAGUAAGUUCAGUGUAAAACCGGAAACAAUUUUAUAUAUGUGCUUAAUCACCCAGAUCAGCUCACAUCUUAAGUGCUAUUAUGUUUGAAAUCAGCCUAUUGAUUAAUUGCAAAAGGUACACAUCAAUAAUCUGGCACAUUGGAUUAUAUUUUACUUGUGAGAAAAGAUGGUUUAUGGGGUAAGUUUUUCAUUGGCACUUCAUAUCCUUCUACUUUUUGAGUGAGGCUUCUCUGCAUUUCCUUAGAUGGAGAAUAAUAUCCUGGUAAUAAAUUAGUCAAUGCACAAAGCAAUGUUCUUUUCUUGCUUUUCUUGGUUUUUAAUAGAACUUCUCUUGCCUUUUUAUAUAUUUUGAAUUAUUUAUGCUAUGGAAAAUACUUAUCUAGUCUUCAUUCAGCGUAAAGGACGAAGGGGACAGUGAUAUACAAGAUUUGGUAAUUUCUUUCUCUGGGCUUGAAGAGAAAAUUCUUGAGCAGUAUACAUUUGCGAAGGUAUUGCUUCACAUUCAUCCAUGGUGAAUCUUUGGAUCCAUUCUUGCGAAUGGGUUUCAUGUGCGUAUUUCUUCGUCUUACUUGGUCGUAGGAACUUUUUUUAAUGUCAAUGUUCAUCCCCAAUGGGACUUUGUAAAUGUGAUAUUGUGACUUAAUGGAAGUGAGGCGAUGUGCAAAUCAAACAUAACAUCAUGAAUCAUGUAAUACUUUUUUCUUGGCAUGUCACCUACCAUAGAAGUGUUUAUUGAUCAGUUACUGAGAAUUUUGGUGUCUCUGCAGGCAAAUUUAAUUAGAGAAGCUGCUGUGAGCUAUUUGUUGGAUUCUGGUGUUCACUGGGGAUCAGCACCUGCAGUCAAAGUGAGGUUUUGAACUAAUAUAGGACAGCCAUUUUCUUAACAUUUUUAUAUGCUAAACUUCUUGUCAAGAUCCAUCUUAAAAUUGGUUGUUACUUUGUAGGGUGUGCGGGAUGCAGCUGUGGAGUUAAUGCACACUCUUGUAGCUGUUCAUGCUGAGGUAUGUUCUGCCUCUCUUAUUAUUGUAUAAUUUUACCCCUCCUUGUUCCCACCUACUCCUUUUCAUGGCUAGUGUUACACUCUCUGAUCUCUUCUACUUUUGUGGUUCAUAAGAUGUGAUCUCUAUGGCCUAGGAAGUCAUAUGGAGUGGCAAUCUCAUCUUGUCGUAUCUGGUACUUGGUUAUCUAUAGUUGCUUCAGUAAAGCUUUUCUUAUUGUAUUUGUUACAACAGGUUUAUGCAGGGGCUAAGCCUCUGUUGGAAAAGAUCCUAGGUGUUCUUGUGGAAGGUUUGGUCGAUACUUUUCUUAGUCUCUUUAGUGAGAACAAAGGCAAAGAACUCAGAUCACUUGAUGCAAAUGGUUUUUGUCAGCUCAUGCUUGAGGUAUGAUUUAUUUUGGAACUGACUGAUGCAAUUUUUGCACUUUAGGCUUGCUGGCUGUUUCUUCGAAUUGUAUUGGGAAAGUCAAGACAUGAAGUUUUGUGACGAUGCAUCAGUUUUUGUUGUUUGUUUCAUUGAAAAUAGUUCUAAGGCAGAUGAAACACUGCUCUCUGUAACAGAUUGUUGCUAACAGUCACCCCAUGGAUGUGCUAAUGCGGUUGCAUCCAAAUAGUUAGGCCGGAGGAGAAUUGGAGUAAAAGGAUAACAAAAUAUGGAGCUUAUGUUCCAAAGCUUGUAUGUUUUCCUAGUACUUGCUUUUGCGUGUGGCCCUUAUACCUAACAUAUCCGCUUUUGCUACCACUUGUUUAGUCCUGGUGGAUUAUGUUACGCUGCAAACCAGUUUGCAGUAUAUUUGUGCAGCAACCUACAACAAUAGUGAUCCAUUACCAAUAUGUAAAUUUGUUUCAUGAUUUUUAACUCUUCUUACAUUUGUUUGUCGUUCUCUCUCUGGUUUGCUCUCUCAUUGUCCAGUAUCUUACAUUUCGUAUACAUCCGCCCUACCACUUACUUCAUGCCACGGCCUGCCACCAUCACUGUUGCUGCUGCCAUCAUCAUCAUCUCUCUCUCUCUCUCUCUCUCUCUCUCUCUCUCUCUCUCUCUUUGGGGUUUCCAUCUCAUUAUUUCUUUGUCUCUUCAUUUUUCUGCAUGGUGUGGCAUUUUUUGUCAUAUACUUCUUAUACAUCGUCAGUUUUAGGGAUGAUGGGGAAAUCACUCAAUUUGCUGAACCAACCUAUCUUACAUGUCUACUGCAGCUUGAAUAUUUUGAGUUCGUGUUGAAUCCAUAUUUUACGGCUGAUGCAAGGGAGUCCCUCAAAUCUUUACAAGGCGUACUGUUGGAGAAAGCCACUGAGAGCGUGUCGGAGGCUGCUGAGAAUCCAGGCCACCACCGGCGCCCAACUCGUGGAAGUGAAGAUGCGCUUGCAGACGAAAGGCAGCAGGGGAUGGGUGUAUCGCCAGAUGAUUUAAUCGUAAGGGAUAAUCUUGGUCUUUUUAUGUUUAUCCCCUCGGAGGACGAGGUUGCAAAUUUUAUUUUAUUUAUUUAUUUAUUUAUUUAUUUUUGGGGUACUAUCAUGUUUGAUGCAGCUAAUCUCUACUUUUUUGGCCAAAGUUCCAUGGAGCUAUUUAUGUGAGCCUUUUUCUCAUGGGGAAAUUUGAUAAUCCAUCGGAAAGUGAAUUUUUGGGUUUACCCUAGAAGAUCACAUUAAGCUCUGAUUAACAUCUGAUAUUUGUCACUUUACCUUUAAAGCCUGUCUAUGCAUGAAGGUCAUGUGAAGUGGAUGUUAAACAAAAUUAGUGGGCUGAAAAUUUGUUAUAGAGGUAGAGAGUCAUCAUCUGUCUUAAUAUUUCAUGGUUUGGUUUACAGAAUCAAUGAUAGGUGGUGCAAUUCUGCUUCUGUUUCACUUUCCUUCUCGGUCUCUUCAUCUUCUGAUUUUCUGGGUUUUGAAAAAAGUUUGGUGCAUAAAAGCUUCCUCUCCGUGCUUUUUUAAUUCUACAGGCCCUUGCACAGCAAUAUAGUUCUGAGUUUCUACAAGCAGAGCUAGAGAGGACUCGGAUUAACACGGCAUGCUUUCUUGAGUCAACUGCAUUGGAUUCGGUGCCAGAACCAGCCAGAGCUGCAUACACUCCCUUCAGGGGGUCAGUGAAUUCUCCCAGCAGAAACUACCGAGGCGCAGCUGUGGUUGGAUCGCCAAGUUACUCACGACAGAGGCGUAGAUAAGUUCAUGACAGCUACCCCAAUUUUUUUCUGGGGGGGCUGAGACUUCGUUGUAAUUUGUAUCUUUUUCCAUGUCUAUAUAUGGUUGGCAGAUACCUUAUUCUUUCAUAAGCAGCCUUUCCCCAUCACCAGAUGCCGACUCUGUUCUGAUCGAUUUGUUUUACUUGUUUCCUGCCAAGUUUCUGUUUUGCUGUUUAUAUCUAACUUGAACUCAUAGCUUGUACAUUUCCGGUUUCCUUUUCCCGGCUGGCCCGUCAUAGCUUGUAAAGAAGUUGAGAUGUUCUCAAUAGUCUUUGGAAUGGUUGUCCUCAUUGUUGGUUUUGUAAUGCGAUGUUGUGCUCGAUUCUCAACCUUAGGUUCCCUCUCAUCUGUAUGCCUUAGUUAGAAGCUCUCCGCUGAGAUGGCUCGUCAUCAAUUUCACUAAUCCUUGUCAGGUUGUGGAUGACGUAAUUUACUUACAGCUCCGCCUCCUUUCUCGAUGCUUGUUUAGACGUUUCUCCACUAAUUCUUUAGAAUAUUUUCCGAUUGGCACUUCCAAUUGACAGCGCCCUCAAAGUCGGCUCAAAGGGAAAGCUUCGGCUCGUUCCAUGAUUUUGUAACCCCAGGCGCUGCAAUGGCAAGUUUGGCCCGUGAGCAAUUUGCAUAGGCUGCGUUAUGCAAUCCCAAGUGAUGAACCCACCCAAGGGAAAGGUCAUAUCGACAAGUUCAACUACCCAGGCUCUUCAUACUUGGACAUCUAUAGCCCCUCCAAGCUGAAAAGCAAUCUCACGAAAGGAAAAAUCCCAACCUUUUCAUUAUUCAAAAGACUAAUUGAUAAUUUUGCAAGAAAAAUAAUCUGAUCAUUCACCUUCCAACGGGUGCCUAUAUUCUUUCCCCACAAAGACAAAUUUGUAAGACUAGCUUCGGAGUUUAUUAAUCUAUGCUAAAGUAGAAAGCUGACAUCACAUGAUUUCCUAUCCAUAUGAAUAUCAUGCGAGUCUCUAUUCAUAGAAUCAUCAAUUUGCAUAUGUAUUCACUGAUGUCAUGCACACUUUCGCCAUGGAACGAGUUAGAUAACCGCACUCAAUAAUGUGUGCAAUAUGGAAAUUGACUUUCUCUGCCUGCGCACCAUUCGCAAAGGAUUCAGUUCUUCCUUGCCGCCUUUUCCUUAUUUUCCUCACAAGUUAGGAGACACAAAUAACAGCGAGGGAACCAUAGGGCUCUCGUGCGGAUUCCCGACGCCUGUUAGUAGGUCGUGUGCUAAAAAGAAUGAACCGUACAACUCUCCUGUGGAGGCUGCGCUAUAUAUCGACUCCACCGGUUUUAUGUGAGUGCCCAAUGGAGGAAGGGGAGUAGGUUUGGGCGUUGGAAGGGACUUUUCCAUCUGUUCUAUCAAAUUAAUAUUCUGCUGAGUCGAAGGACGGCGUACAAAUAACACGAUCCAACCAAUGACUAAAGGAUGAAGACGCCAUUGCGAGUCAAACGUUUGAAGCCAUUCUUUUAUUUGCCUUGUGCUUGCCUUAUGUAUGGUAGUAUAUUAUGAUAGCGAGAUCGGGCGCCUGAGAAAGAAAGGGACAAUGUUGUUUAUCGAUGUAAACACCGAGACGAGAAUGGAUAAUGACCCCAAGGAAACGAAUAGGACAACACCGGGCAUUGUAGACCUUGAUGAUUUUGCUUGGGGCGACCGUCCGCGAAUCACUCCACGUCCUCGUUCAUCACUAGGCGGGAAAUUCGUCCUAUGGUGGGGCGUUAACCUUGUUCCCAGAAUGUACCCAAUUGUCUCUCGCAAAGAGAUGCUGCCGAAAAUCUCUAUAGCAACAAAGGACAAGGGAGAAUAUACCAAAGCAAGCACUUAUCUUGAUCAUUAUAAAGCCUCCUGUUGCUCCUCUCUGGCAUUUGCAGGUGCCUUUUGUGUUUUAGAAGCUCACAGAAUAUUUAGCUAUGGAGUUCAGCGUCCUGGCAAUGUUGGUGCUUCUGGUCGUGUUUGUAGUCUCGGCAGUUUUUCUUCAUUUAUGGAGAUCGCCAAAAGCAAUGGAGGACAUCCCGGGAACCUUGGGUUGGCCGAUCAUUGGUGAAAGCUUCUCCUUCAUAUCCGACUUUUCGAGUCCAUCUGGUAUCUACAGUUUCAUGAAGAAGAGACAAGAAAGGUAAUCAAUCAAGGACCGAGAGUGAGACAGCUUAUCAGAACUUCAAAAUCAGAAUACAUUACCUACAUGAUAUGUGCAUCUGUCAACAGGUAUGGGAAGGUGUUCAAGUCCUUUGUCUUGGGAAGGUUCACUGUCUUCAUGACCGGGCGAGAAGCGAGCAAGAUUCUAUUGACGGGAAAAGAUGGGAUGGUGAGUUUGAACCUCUUCUACACCGGGCAGCAGGUUCUUGGCCCCACAAGUCUUCUCCAGACAACAGGGGAAGAACACAAGCGGCUUCGACGGCUUAUUGCAGAACCACUAUCCAUUGAUGGCCUGAAGAAGUACUUCCAGUUCAUCAACGCCCUCGCCAUAGAAACAUUAGAUCAAUGGGAGGGACGAAAAGUUUUAGUUCUUGAGGAGGCUUCUACAGUUAAGUGUCCACAAAAAAGAUCUCAAGAAAUUCUGCUUUGAUCGCUCUGCACUUAGACAUAAUAGUAAGAUAUAUCCUUUGUGCAGUUCACUCUCAAGGUAAUUGGCCACAUGAUCAUGAGCUUAGAACCAAAAGGCGAAGAGCAGGAGAAAUUCCGAUCCAAUUUCAAAAUAAUUUCCUCUUCAUUCGCAUCCUUGCCAUUCAAAGUACCAGGAACUGCAUUUCAUCGUGGAAUUCAGGUAAUUUUUUUCCCAUGUACACGGACUAUACUCACGAUAGAACGAAAGACUUUGUCUAGUUACUUUCCGAAUAUAACGAUUCAAAAAAAUCAGGCUCGAGAUAGGAUGUAUAGCAUGUUGGACAACGUUAUUUCUAAAAGGAGAGAAGGACAAGGCUUCCAAAAUGAUUUCCUGGAGUCCCUGAUAAUCAAGCACGGCAAAGCAGCAGACAGAGAAGCCGACAAAGACAAGCUAACUGACAAGCAAAUGAAGGACAAUGUACUAACUCUUCUAGUUGCUGGUCAUGACACGACCACCGCUGCUCUGACUUGGCUCAUGAAAUUUCUCGGAGAAAACCCUCAAGUUCUGCAACGGCUCAGGGUACUCCCAUUUUGCGAUGAACUCUGUUAAAUUGAAAUCGUGACCUAUGAAUACUGAAGAACUGGGCUGUAUGCUUCGUAUACAGGAAGAACACAUGGAAAUUCAAGCGAAGGGCAAGGGUGGAGCGAAUCUAUCUUGGAGUGAAGUUAAUAACAUGCCUUACACCGCUAAAGUAAGCAAGACAUUAGCUUUAUCACGUUAACUAUCCUACUGAAAACUGGAAGAUGUAGAAAUUUCUUUUAACUUGGUAUUUCAGGUAAUAAGUGAAACUCUAAGGAGAGCCACGAUAUUACCUUGGUUCUCAAGGAAAGCUGCUCAGGAUUUUGAGAUUGAUGGUAUGCAUCCCAAUGAAAAGACAAAACACGCUGAUCAGAAAAAUGCAAUUUCAAGAUGCUUACUAUUGCUAGCUCUUGGUCUUUUACAGGAUAUAAGAUCGAGAAAGGUUGGUCGGUGAACCUGGAUGUUGUUUCUAUUCACCAUGACCCGGAAAUUUUCCCUCAACCAGAAGUUUUUUACCCUUCCAGAUUUGAUGUAAGCAUUUUUCUGUCGCUACAUCGUGUAGCUCACUUUUUAUUUCUUACUUCCAGCUGAUUUUUUUUUUUUUUUUUCUUUUUGAUUGANNNNNNNNNNNNNNNNNNNNNNNNNNNNNNNNNNNNNNNNNNNNNNNNNNNNNNNNNNNNNNNNNNNNNNNNNNNNNNNNNNNNNNNNNNNNNNNNNNNNNNNNNNNNNNNNNNNNNNNNNNNNNNNNNNNNNNNNNNNNNNNNNNNNNNNNNNNNNNNNNNNNNNNNNNNNNNNNNNNNNNNNNNNNNNNNNNNNNNNNNNNNNNNNNNNNNNNNNNNNNNNNNNNNNNNNNNNNNNNNNNNNNNNNNNNNNNNNNNNNNNNNNGAAAAAAGGAAAAAAAAAAAUUGAUACGGUUGAUGUGUUUGUGUCUGAGACUAUGCUUGAUGAAUUUCUCAAGCGUUAUGCGAGUGUAGAACUUGUUCCGACAAUCUCGAUCUUCUUGACAGGUGGACUCCUCUGGAGAGAGAUGACUCAGUCCAGCCUACUCUAGUAAGGAUGCCCAAGAACAAGUAUCCAGUUCUUGUCGAGCCACUGUAGAUGUAUUUGUUGCUUCACUUGGCAAUUUGGCACAGAGCCAUAUAGCCAAGGAAAGAAGCGACAUGGGGAAUUCGAACUUCAUUGUUAUGACCUGAUCGUCAAUGCAAUACCAAUAUGCUAAGAAUGACAAACUCACUGGGUAAAGGUAGCUAUAAGCGAACGCUUGCCCAGGAGCACAUUGUAUGACAGAAAAUGAGAAUAAGAAUGUCUGAAGCAGUUUAUUUUUCUUUAGACUAUAUCUUGCUGAACAACUAUCUUUCGCUACGAUCCUAUUACUCUAGCCUGUUAAUCAAACGAACAAAUGCAACUCCAACAAGCUUAAUCGCUGAGGGUGGACAAAUGAGUAAAGAUUGGAGAUAUGUCUCUAGUGAAUGAAAUUUUAUCCAUUGAUGCCCGCACAUAAGCAAAUAGGAGAGCCCGGCCGGUUCACCUCGGAGAAUAAAGGUGCUAGAGAUAUUCAAAAUCAGGAUACUGAAGUUUGAAUACCAUUUUUCCUUGAACAGACAAAAAUCUAGGCUACCAGAAAGAUAGUUCUGGACACCCAAUAGAGGUGUUGUGUCAGCUCCAGCUCGAGCUCCCAUUUAUCAGGAGGCAAGCAUUAAUGCAAAAAUCAGAGGCAUGGAAACCUGCUUCCAUUGUAUUUAUGGAUAGUUUAUUGCAGUAGGAAGGUUUUUUUGGUUGCAAAUUGAUAAAGGUAUGGUAACUUCAAAAGGCAGCAAUUUCAUCUAAAUGAUGCCAUAACUAAAUAGGUUUUAAAUUUCCUGUAAUUAGCAUCUUCUUCCCUUUUUGCUAACAGAAAUUAUGCAGUCUCGGAUAUAAGUCGAGGAAGGUCAACAUAACAACCCGUCAGAUUAAGUGGUUGGGUAACUGAUAAACAAGAAAGCAGAUGGCUCACCUCCACUUUCUCAAGUGCUUCUUUUAACGACAUAGCAAAAAGAGGCAAAUGAAUUUCAUUUUGUGCCUUCAUUGCAUGCAAUAAAUCUCACCCUCACAAAGAGAGGCAAACAUGACAUAGAGAAAACCCGUUUCCAAGCAAAGGGGUAACCAUGAAGCACUUAAAUAAAAGGGCCUUUGCUUUCACUUGUCUAGAAUCCCAGAUGGCAACAGCACGGAUGUAAAUUAUCGAUAAGUAAAACAAUGAAAAGCAGAAACAAAUGUCCCAAAACCAUACAAACCAAACAAGCUUAACCCAUUCAGGAGCCAAGCAACAACAAAAGACCUUCCUCCAUUCCAGACUAACUCAAUAGCUCACUAGCCAAAUCCUACAGAGAUUUUUCACAUCGUUGGAGAGAAGCUUUCAAUUAUCUUGGAACAGAAAAAGAAGCUCCAACAGCAAACUUAAUUUUGUAAAUCACCUUUCUAGCUUCGGACAAAACAUGCUAAUGUAGAACUACAUUUCUCUCUUGCUAAACUAAAUGGUUGCAUUCCCAUUCUAAUUUGAAGCUCUUAAGCUUUGCCCUUUAGCAGCCUGCAGAAUAAAAGGGAUCUCUACAAUUUAACUAUUUGCUGAUCUAGCAGAACUAUUCAAGUGUAAAAUGUGCUACCGAAUAGAUUUUGAGGAGGAGCAACAAAAGAACAGAUGCUCUGAGCAUUCGAUGCUUUCCAGCUGUGUCCAUUAUCAUUAGACCACCUGCAACAAUGUGAAUACUACAUGAUGAGACAUGGAAAUAUGCAUCAAGGAACAAACUUCAACUGCUGCAGGUCUGAUGUUUUCUUUAUUCAACAGAGUAUAAGGUGUCGUUCAUCAUAGAAUCCUCCAUAAGAUCACAGAAGUCAACAUCAGAGAUCUCAAAACUUACAUUCAAGAAGAUUACUUUUCUCUGUCAAAGAGAGACUUUCUUCUACGAGUAUGUGUGUAUGCAUGCUCUCUUGCUAAUGUUUUCAAACGGAAGAAAAGGGUGCUGGCAAAACCAAACGAAAUCAGUGUCUAGUGAAGCAACAGAGCAAGUGUGGAAGAAAAUAGGAAUCUUCAUAACAUUAUGAUGUUAGAAAGUUAUCGUCACUUCCCUCAAUAAAAAUUUGUGCCUGACCAUGAUUAUAAAUAGGAAUCUUCAUACCAUUAUGAUGUUAGAAAGUUAUCGUCACUUCCCUCAAUCGUAGUGCCUGACCAUGUUUAUAAAAGCAUAGACCUGAGCCUUCAUGAUCUUAAUCUAAGUUAUCAAAAGCAACUCAAACAAAAUGGCAUACCGUUCCGUAGACCCAGUCAUAUCAGAUGAAACUGUCACAUGAUGGAAGCUCAAAAGCUACCAAGUGAAAAGAAAAUUUUACCCAAACACGAUAUCCAAAAAAGAAUGUGUAAAACAUUCGCCUGGGAGCGAGCUGGGCAAAAUCAUCUUCAGAUUCAUCAUCCUCGUGAUUCACAUCCACUGGUGCCUAAGCUGGGGGUUUCUGCCACUUCUGCUUUGGUCAGUGGAGUACCUUUGGCAAGGUUAUCAUGUUGACAAAGAGCACGCUGCAAACUAUCUUUAAAUGUCAAUAGGGGCACGGCAUCUAACCGCAGAAGCUCCAAUAAUUAUGUUGGAUUGAAGUUCUUGCGCUGUGAGAUUCACAAGAAGCAUGACACGCUCUUGACAAGAAGGACGCUGAUCGACAAGGUCAAUAAACACCUCCCUCCGAAUCGUCCUUGUGCUAAAAACAUGUAUAACUCAAUAAGAAGUUCUGUCCCUAGUCUUCCUGUCAUCCCUCCGAAUCAUAAUCCCAACAGAUGCAUAGCCCAAAAUUUAGCGAUGGGUUUCAUAUUUGGAUGUCUUCAAAAUGCAGUCCACCUAAUCGAUUUGACCGACAAUACUUCUGCAGGAUCAUCACUUAAAAUGUAAUGAUGGAACCUUCAGGACAAAACAAAAACGUUGAAAAGUACAUUCUGUCCCACCGAAGGGAGGCAAGCGGAGUGCGUCAGGAACAGCUGUUGAGAAAUGUACAAGCGUAUAUUAGUUAUACGCAUGAAAAAAAUAUAAGAUUGUUUACGCAAAUAAUUUGCAUAUCUAUGCCAACCCAUCUGGAUUUGAUGCGUAGUUUGAGCAACAACGAAGAUUAAUCUCUUAUAAAUAUCUUCUGAUCAGAUCGAAUCGUCGCCACUUUGUGAAAUUAAAUUGUUCGAAAUUUCAAUUUUAGGUCAAGCACUUGUCUGACUCACACAAUUAAUUAUAUCUUAACCUCUAACUCAAGUGGAGGGAGUUCUCCUAGCAUACAAUUUGUGACGACUCGACUAGGUCUCGAGAAAGGAUCGAUCACAUGGGUGCCCGUCCAAAUGCGCCCACUAAGUUCUUGUCCUGAGGUUCAAGAUAUUUACGAUUUUGCCCCCAACAAAUUAUUUUAGAGAAGUGCAAACAGAACUCAUCUUUCAUUUUACGCCUCCGCACGUAGGAGGGAUCCCAACAGAGAAGAGAAUACAUAAAAACCCUGCUCCCCAAACCCCAAACGGAACUCAACUCUGUUCUAACAAUAAUAAUAAUUAAUAGUAUUUUACACUCAUCAACCUCCCCUCUCUCCCUCUCUCCCUCUCUCCCUCUUCCCUCAAUAAAAUAAAAGAAAGACCCCACCUCGCUCACUCCUCUCCCGAGGCUAGGAAUUCCAGCCUGGCAAUCUUGAUGGACUCAUCUUUGAUUUUACGUGCUGCCUCUCCAUAUGUCAUUUCCUCUACGGGACCCUCGCCAUUCAGCUCCAAAGUGACCCGUGCGGCUGGGUCCCACUCGAACUCCGCCCACCAGCUUUUUUCCACUUUGAUCGAGAAGCUUCCCCUCAUUCCGUUCGAGUCCAACGGUAACUUUCUGAGACCAAGGCAGUCGAAUAUUUGGAAUUCCACCCCUUGAGAGAAAAGUAGAGCGUGGUCGCAAAUGCUCCUUAGUUUUGGAAGAGCGGAGACGCAUAGGACUUGAGACGUGAGAAUAGUCCUGAAGCAGCUAAUUCCUCUCUUGCAAUUCUAUUCCCGAUUAUUUUCUUCAUCGAAUCGCACCACACAACUGUCAAACUUUGGAGUUUCGGAGCGUGCACAAGCCAGGACAAAUCAAAAAAUCCACAAUUUAUAAUCAAAACUUUAACGAGGCUGGGGAAGCAAUAGCAGUUGGGCGCUUGUCCUAUCCCUUGAUUAAUCUCCAUCUUCACAAGCAUACGGCAAUCGACAAAAUUAAGCACCUCUAAAUGCGAGAAAUUGCCGCUCCCUUUUAAUGAGUGACUUAUCGGGAUGUGGGUCAAGCCCUCACAAUUCUCGAUACCUACUCUCCUUAUGCAUCUCUGAAAGGAUUGGAAUAUUUUU